UUAUUUAACAAUUGCAAUUCUUGUGAACAAGCAUUUUGUAAAUUUGGUCUUUUACCACUCUCUAUAUUUGCUUGUUAAAUUUUAAGUUGAUAUUCACCACCAAAAGAUUUUGUUCUCAAAAUAAUCUCAUUACACAUCAUCCCAAAACUAAACAAAUCUAAUUUCAAAGCAUUUACCUCUAGCAAAGCUUCUCUACCUAUAUUCUUUUUUAUAACCUCUGGAGCCAUAUAUCCAAUUGUACCUAAAUUUUCUCCUCUUGUACAUACUUGUGGAUUGUCCUUCACUUCAACUUUUGAAAUACCAAAAUCAAGUAACUUCACAUGUACACAUGUCAUAUCAUCCACUUUUGAUAUAUCUACUAAAUUAACAAUAACAUUCUUAGGCUUCAAGCCACGACAUGCUACCUUCAAGUCAUGCAUGUAACACAUUCCACAUGCAAUUUGUAGCAUAAUAUCCAUUGCAAUUACCUUUGGAAGUGGCCCACUUUCUUUUAUCAUUGUAGAUAAGGUCACCUUUCCUUCUUCCAUAACAUAUUCAAAUUCUUUUUUUUUUUUUUAGAAAAACCACAACAAAAAAACUUAAUGAUGUUUGAAUGACUUAAUCCACCUAAAAUGCCAACUUCUUUUAAAAUUUCUUUUGUGUAUUCCUUUGAUAAAUCAACAAUAGGAGUAACCUUAUUUGCACUCUCCAAAUCCAACCAUUUUGUUGAAUAUAUUGCUACACCUCCUUGUCUUUUUCUACUCAAUAAAAUAGGUGGUCUUCUAUAUUCAAGAAGAGGAUACUCAUCAAGGAGAAUAAUAAUGUCUAAUCCACCUCCUUUAGCCUUUUCAAUAUCCCUUAUCCGUCCUAUAAGAUAAUGUGCAAGUUUCAUGUCUUCACUUCCAAGUAGUUGAUGUAAUAAAAUUCCAUUAAGCAUCUGGAGCAAUGACAAUAAAUCUUGAUCAACUUCAUCAAUACAUGUUGGAAAAAAUUUGGUACUUCUUUUAAUCUCAAUAAUUUCUUUAAUUUGAGUAGAAUAAUAAUAUUGAGAAAUAUUACAUAUGGUAUCACAACAACAUUUAAAGUCCACAAGAAGUUCUCUAAAAGUUUUUUUGUUAUCAAUUUGCAACACUACAAUCUUAAGCCAAUCUUCCUUGCAACAUUCUUCAAUCAAGGCUCUUGCUUUGUAUAUAAUUUGAAACAAGUCUUUUUUUGCUCCAUCAAACACAUUAGUGCAAGAUCUACCAAUAAUGCUUUGAAUUCUUUCAACACCCCUUGAAAAGUUUUGCAAUAGAUUCUUACAUUGUCUUUCAUUCAAUGUUGCUUCUCUCAAUGAUAUUGUAGCUUUUGUUAUAAUCUCUAUUGAUAGUUGCAAAAAGUCCAUUUUAUAAUACUUAAACAACCUUAGUUGCUAAAACUAUUUGUUGCAUCAAUAAGAAGUUUAGAAAUAGGUAGGAUCACAUAAUAUCUCUUCUAAUAUUUAAAAGAAACUUUUUUAAUCCACCACCUAACUUCAUUUCUAUAUCAUUUUAAUUCUUAGAAACAAUCUUAGCAAAAACCAUCAAAUAUGUAACUAGAAUAUAUUAUUAAUAUAAUAAUGCUCUAAACACUUAGUAGUAGCAUACUAAUAAUCCAUGCAUUUAUCCAACUACUCACAAUACAAUAAAAACUUACAAGUAUGACAAGAUCAAUGACUCUUAAUUAAUGAUAUAGAAUAUUGUGCCUAAUCAUUAUAAACAUUAAUGUCAAAAUAUAAAAUCACAAGGUGAACCAAAAAAAAAAACAAAUACCUUAAGUGUUUUAAUAGAGCUAUUCCAAUGUAAAUUCCAUAAGAAUUCCAAUUCCUCCAAAGGCAACUUCAAGUUAGAGCUUUCAAAAAACAAAUAUGCUUGUCUUUAUAAUUUAGAAUAUUUCAAGUUGGUAUACAUGUACACCUAUUGUUCACAAAGACAAGCAUCCUAAGAUGUCAAAACUAAAUCAUUAUCAAUUUAAUAAAUCACAAGAUACAACUCCCUUACAAACUUGAAAGCAUUAUAAUAAUCUUGUUCUAAAUUACUUUUUGGUCUUAGUUAAUAUUAUGAGACUUCUAUAUAUAAUAUAAAAUUAGCAAUGUUAUAACAACACAAUGAUCUAAUGACCUAACUUCACAAUACAAGGAAAAUAGUUCUAUAAAGGCCAAGGAAGGCCUUUAUAAUAACUAUCUUUUUUCCACAACAUCCACAUAGAAUAGAUAAAUUCUUGCAAAUUAAAUAUUCUACAAAUACUUCACACUAUAGAAGUUAUGUUCAUUUAUAACAAAGCUCAAUAAAUCAUAAUUGUUAAAGAAAAUAUAUUCUAAGAUAAUUCAUUUAAUUUUCUCAUAUUAAUUAAGAAUGUGUAAUACAUUAAUUAAGAAUAUGUAAUAUAUAUCAUACAUGAGUAAUAAAAAUGUAUUAUACAUAUAAACUAUAACAAUCAAAAUACUCUAAUCUUGAACAUACAUCUUCACAAAUUCCUCAUUUCAAAUAUAGGCUUGAUUUCUCUCCAUUACACCUCUAAAAUCAAUUCAAACAAUCAAAAACCAUAUAAUUCUCAAAUGAUUAAGACUAUUUACUCACCAUUAGAAAGCUAUGCUUAAUAAUGGAGGCAUUGAAAGUACACAAAGAAUAAAAAAUAAUGGCAAACAUGAUUACAAUUCAAAUUAAAGAAAAAAGAUAUAACCAAGUAAAAACUUCUAACCAAUGACAUCCUACACUUCCUAAAUCUAAACCUAAAUCCCACACUUCUUAAAUAUAAGCAAGGUUAAUAUUCUUCAAUACUUUCUAAUUCCAAAAACUAAAAGAAUUCCAAUCUAAAAUCACUCCCAAUUUUAAUUCCAUGCCAACAUGUUCAUAUCCUAUUUGAUAAAACAUCCUAAACAAAUCAAGACUUCAAUGAUGAUAACAAACACAAAUAUCAUAUAAUUUAACUCAUAUAAUAUGCACCAAGAUUACAUUAUUAUUAUUAUUAUUAAACUAUUCUUAAAAUCAUUUUCUUAAGUAAAAAAUUGUUUUCUUAUUCUACGCUCCACAUCAAAACAAUCUCUAUGUACAUAAUUACCAUCACUCUAUUCCACAACCCACAAAGCUGCAUCAUCGCAUAUGUUACCUGCUACUGGAUAUGGGUGUCAUAGGAACAGUAAACCAUGCAACGCUUGUCCACAACAUCCGCCGUGCUUAGCUUCUCUCGCCCGCGGUUGUCGUUAAUUGCUCCUUGAAACUCAACCAAGUGAUAGCUAUUUUGCAUCUGAAAUAACACAUUAAGCCCACUCAUCGUUAAGAGAUGAUCUCUACAUGUGCAGUGGUCAUCUCCCUCGCUCCUCUGCAACACAAACAAUGACCGCAGAGCUCAAUUUCGACUUCCGGAGCAAGACCGUCGUCAACAGCAAACUCGCCGGCGUCCCGUGACUGAGCCGCAAGUCCCGCGUGAAAAGGGCAAUAAUGAGGAGGCUUUUCCUAUACUAACGAAAAUACAGCAGUAAUUCCUUCACAGAAUGGUCGUGAAAGUGGUCAUGUUCUGUGACAGAAUGGUCGUGCCCUAAAUCUUGUCCUUCUUCAACUGCCCCAAGAGCCGCGAAAGCUCUUCAAUCACUCUUUAGCAUUUUUGAACCUUCGCCUGCGUCGUGCAUCCUCCGCUUCGUUCCUCGAUCAACCAGCUCAAGCACCAUGGCGGAGCAGGUGCUGUUGGAUGUCACAUAGUUGAUUGUCUGAAGAAGUUUUCUUCCUUUGGGAAUUUUGGCACUAGAGGUGUGUGAUUAGAGAUAACUAACUACUUUCUGGAGAAGCACGGAGAGCACAGAAGCCUGUUUCACCUGCUCUAGCCAAAGAGAGCAACGUCACAGAAUGUGAGGAUGCGUGGAAACGAGAAGAGAAGACACACAGCUUUCAGCGAGCGGGAGGCAGAUAGUGAGGGUGAGGCCAGGCCAGGCGAGAAGACAUCCACUGCAUGGCUGUGAAAACGCGUGGCUGUCGGAGGUGGCAGCCUUCGCGCCAGAAUUCCAGCGCUGGCUCCUUGCCCGAUAUAUCUGCAUGGCAUCCGCCCUAGAAGUAGCCGCGUGCACCACGUUGUAUACAGCCCUGGAACCGCGUCGAACUAUAAUAAAUAAAAGUUGACGUCGUCGCAGAACCAACCACAGAAAUCGACACAAAUGGUAUCCUUGAUUGAUAUCACACGUCGACAACUUGGACUUGGUUCUAGAUGAUAAUACACCACCACCCCAUAUGUCCUUCGCAUCCCGAUUUCUGGAUUUCAUUCGGAAACAGACAACUCAUUCUUUUUACCAAUAAGAUAUCAAAGAUUACCAUUUUACUAAGAUUUCUUACAUUUCUGAGUUAAAGCAGUUUCUUGUAACACUACAUUAUUUGAUCUCAUCUUGUAACAUGUUUUAAUGGUAACUCGUACAUUUGUUUUUACUAAUCGAUUUUCCUAACAAACCAAUGUUCAUAUCAGAGCAGCUCUUUGACCCAAAUCUUCAAAUACUGCACUGAAGAAAAUGCCUUCCACUACUCCACAAAGUACAGAAUAAAUUUGAGGCUUGCAGAUUUAUCUACAAGCAACUCAGCACAAGGAACAUGAUGGGGUGACGGCACAAAUUUCUUGCUCCUCAAACAGGCUAAGAGAUGCACAAGUUAGACCGAACAACGAUUCAAGUGACUCAAAUGGCUAUUUCUCAGUAUGAAAUAGGUGAUUUCUUAGGGCUAUUCAUGAGAUCAAAAAAACUCUAAUAGUUGCUGCAGCAGCCAUGCUUGGCUUCUCACUAUGUUCAUCUUCUGUAAGCAAUGCGCCACUAGAAUGCAGCAAACUGCUACUUGGAGGAGCUAACAUAGACAGCACCUACUCUGCCUAAGUCCGCUGCAGUUCCUGCAUCUUGUGGUCUUCAAGGACUUGCCUGUACAGAAACAAAACUCUUGUUUUGUGUACUCAACCUCAACAAUCCAACAGCUACGAGUUCUUUAAGUUAUCUAGAAGCACGAGCACUUUGAAAAUCAGGAGUGUAGUUUAGAAACGCAUGAAUCUAGGCUCCAAGUCCCAGGUUGAGGUAAAUUCCACUUACUUCAGAAGAGAAGCGAGUCGCUCAGGGUGCAUUCGCCAAAAAGAGCUUCCGGAACUACGGGUGAAUUCAAUAAGAUGUUAGAAAGCGAGAUGUACUCCAACUUUGUGCGUGAUUUGAUCAGCCACUCCGUAAUUGGAUUGGCACGGUACGCCACCACACUUGGAACCCUUGCUAACAACAAUUGCAUGCUCGCUGUUCCCGAUGUACACAACCCUGCAUCGCUUGCCUUGCAAAGAAAGAAAAUACAUUAAAAUAAGAUUAUAUUCACACCAGAUAAGCUUUGUAAAACAGCAGAAGUUCAAAUCAAUCUAGACAACCUGUGGAAGCAAAAUAUGAGGUCCUCCUAAAUCUUGAAACACCAGGUUUAGGGUUCUUAAAUGAAACAACACACGAAACAUUUACAUUUACAAUGAACAGCUGCAGCAAGUCAUUUAUACAAAGGUCUAAGCCACUACACCGUCGGUUUCACAGACAAAAAUAUGAAAGGAGAGCUUGAAACUUACAGCAAACGCAUCAUAUUUUUCGAGAUCUGAAGCAGCUGGAACAACUAUGGCAGGGAUUUCCCAUCUGGAUACGGAUUCUUGUACCAUGUUUGUGACAACAGAACUUUGUGCAGUUGGUACGACAGCUUUGAUAUGCGGAUAAUCUUCAGCUAGACGGUGCAUGGCGAUUCUGAACAGUGGCAGCAUGCGCUUCACUUCUUGAACGCGACUCCCAGGCAACACACUAAUAAUUUUUGUCCCUGCAAAUGAUUAGAUCUACUUCAGUGAACACUCGAAAUGACUAAACUCAAAAUUUCUCCAGAACUGGCAGGCAUUUAUUUAAGGCCUAUUAAGAGAACAUUGUUGAAAAUAUAAAGCAUACCAGACUGCACACCAUGUUUUUCUCGAAAAUUGGUCCCAAAUCCUUGAAUCUCCCAGUUCCUUGGUGCGCUAUUCUCUGCACUCUGCACAUGACAUUACUCAUCCUCAAAAUUACUUCGUGAGCUGAAACAAAACAACACAGAAAUAUGAUGUGCAAGAAAAAGAACUAGAAAUUAAGGAGCCUUACUAGAACUAGCAAUCGGAUGAAUUCAUGCAUGAGGGCUUAGGUACCAGAAGGCCCGUACAGGUACAUUCAUAUAGGGGUCUUCCAGUACAGGUUGUCCCACAAAAGUUGCUCCCAGUCCAUGAGCUUUAUACAUCGGAGCUUCGAAGGGCAAGAUACACAAAAGGUGGUCAACAAAUUCUUUCAUACUAUCCAACCUCGCAUCACCCAUUUUCCAUGCCCAGUAUGAUGGUGCUAAGUAGUGCACCAAGAUGGGCGGCUGCUCUGUUUUUUUUCUCGUAUAUGGCUGCACCACAGAAGGCACACGCUGGUCCUCAUUAAUUUCAUGAUGCAGAAGAACAGGAAUAUGAGGAAGAAAUUUCUCGUUGUUCGAACAUGGAAUAAAAAAUGAUGUACAAGUCAUGUCUCUUACUAUAUCAACAGGCACAAUGCUUGCAAGCAGUACCAAUCUCGAAGUGUCCGAACCCGAAAUCAUACUAUAACCAUUACUUGUCAGGCUGCGAAGCACACGAAACGAGAACCCUUUCGCGUCCACUGUGACAACUACAUGCGGCUCGAAAUCUACAACUUCUGCAACAGUCUGACGGAGCCGCCGCUAAUCCAUGACACAGCACAUUCAACAUGCAUGAAAAGUCGAUGAACAUGUCGACAAGAAAAUUGGUUGCACUAACGGACUAAAUCCACAAUAGAAUAUUAGAUACUCUAAUGAGCAGCGUCCAAAGAUUAGGCUAGAAUAUUAAGCGAACACCAAACAGCUGCGUCUCAGCUCACAUGGUUCGGACCUAAUGGAAAUCGAUAAGUGCAGAAGGUGUACCCAUAUGCGAAACAUGUGAGGAAAGAGCUCAGCUGCGCCCAUGACAGUGAUGUAUUCCAUCUUGAAUACAGAAUUCAACCCCUCUUUCUCCAUGUUAGCUCUGCUUGCAUAACCAAAUCUGCUGUCGAAAUGAAAGCAUCGAGAAAGACUACGAGAAAGGAAAAAGAAGAAAGAAAGAAUAUCCCUUGUAGGAUUCUUGAACAUAAUAUAUCUUAACGAAACUGCAUGCGAGAAGUAUGCAUACACCCCGAAUGCUAAAGAUUCAUUACCCGCCUACUCCUGCAAAACGCAAUGGCUUUGGUGACAAGCGGCGCAAGGACCCCAUGAGUCGACUUCCAAUGACAUCUCCAGAAGGCUCCCCUACCACUAUAAAAACCCGGAGCUCUUCGACGCUAUCCCCGACAUCCGAUGCCACAUUCGACAAGGGAGAUGCAAAUCGCGGAUACUUCAGACCAACUGCAUCUAAGAUCCUCCAUUCCGCAGCAACUCCAAGUGACCUCUUCACAAACAGCAACCCCUGCCGCAACAUGAGGAACCCCCGCUUCCUUCCUAUCUCCACGAAAACCCGUCCCCAAAAUCAGCCCUCAACCUACUCGCCCAAAUUGCGAAAUACUUCACAACCAAUCUGUUGCUCAACGAUGAUUACCCAUACAUAACGAUGAUUAAAGGAGUUGAGGUUUAAAGUCUUUUAGAAUUUAAAUUUCUAUGGGUAAAAAUAUAUUUUGGCAGAGGUAUUGAUUUAUUUGAGAUAAAAUAUGUUGAAAUGUUUUGAGAAAUUAAAAAUGUAGGAAGUUUGAACAGUAUGCACAUUAAAACAUACUCAGUAUCAAGUUCUUAAAGUAUGUGCUAAUUUGGUUGUUCUUAAUGAGCUGUAUUUUUUGUGGAUAUUUACAUACAAGACAUUUCACACUCCCCGUGUCUUGUUGUUUUUCUUGUUUUAGUGCUGGUUCUAUUAUCCAUCAGAGGUUUGCUCGUGCUGCAAGGAGUGGCGAGACCCUCGUCCAUGGCCACGUCCAUAGCUGUACGUCGCCUUGUCACAGCGCAGGGCCUGCAGCUUCGCCGAGCACUGCAGCCUGACCCCUGCGCUGCCCGCGCCUGUUUCCAUCUCGCUAGCAAUGGGAGGGGUGUGGUUUUGCUGUGAGUCUUUUGGAGAAUUUUGGGUUGUUUUGAUGCUCGCGUUGUACAGAUGUUUUGGUUCUUUUUUGGGUGUUUUGUGUGCAUGUAUUCAACGGAACGUGGGAUUUGUGUUGAUGUAUUGCGUUGGUUUUGUUGUUAAUCUUGUGUGCUUUAGAGCGCUGUUGUUUCCCAGGAGUCAAAGUUUGGUCAAAUCUCAUGCAACGGUACGCCUUGGCUGUCGUUUCUCUUUUGGAGAUGUUUCGGCUUGUUGUGCCAUCAUUGCAAUUACUGUCGCGACAGCUUGUUUGAUUAGGUUUGGUUUGGUUUUCUUUGUUUGUUUUAAUGAUUUUAUGUAGUGAGGAGUGAGCUGAAAUGCUUCCAAAGAGAUUGCAGAGACACCUUGCAGCUAGAGAUUGUGGAACCUGUUAAAUGAGAUUCAGAAGGUCUGCAGCCUUGGGCGAUGUGGCGCAAAUUUAGAGCGUGAAUUUGCAUAAUGCUGUGGUGUAUGGGAUUGAUUGCACCUGAUUAUUGAGCUGCAAAAGAGUAGUUGGAUUUUUUUCACAGGAACAUGUACUUGUCAGAACAAUUUAUGGGUAGAUCCCAGUAGUUUGCAGUCGUUCUUGGCGCUUGGAAUCGUUGGCCGUCUUGAAUUGCUACAAUUUCAUCCGUCCUUAAAGCAAGCAAUAAAAGUUUGAAAAGAUUUUUCUUCUGGGUUGAGCUAUAAAGAUGCUUUAAAUGAAUUGGCAAGCUUUAGCAUAAUUGUUACAGUUCACUUGGAGGCGCCUUAGAGAACCUAGCUGUAAGACGCUUGCAAUUCAGUAAUAAUCUAAUAGAUUUAGCGUUCAGCUGAGUUAGACGAGAGAGGUUUCUCGCUCAUAGGCGCCGUCCUCGAUGUGGGUCUCAUGACUCGCCGCAGCAAGUUUGUCCUCUCGUCCACAGUUUGAGCAAUUUUGAUACAAUUCGAGGGUUGGCAAUGAAAGAACCAGUAGUUCGACCAAUAGAAAAUUUUGAUGAGAGGACCAACAUUCAUGUAAGGAUUGGCAAUAAGUUUCUACAUUAAUUUUACAUGAACAACAUGAAUGUUAUCUUUUAAUAUGCACCGUGGAAUAUGGAUUUCUGUGACGCUUACUUUUGCACCAUGCAUGCAACAGUGGCCGAAGCAGCUCAAUGUCAAUAUCGUUUAGGUCGAUCCCGAAAUUACUGACAUCAUUGAACACGAGAAAAAUCUUCAAUGGAAGGUAUGAUUUCUAGCACUGUUUCCAUUAUGUUUAUGUCAGAAUAUCAAGUGGUGUUUGAUGCUUGCAUUGCCUUUUUUAGGGCUUGACGAUGUUGUAUCUUCCUCCACUCGUGUCACGAUUGACAGGGCCUCGAGUUGAUCCCAUCAGAGAAUUUCACGUCUGUUUCAGUUAUGCAGGCAGUAGGUUCCGUCAUGACCAAUAAGUACAGUGAAGGAUAUCCUGGUGCUCUCUAGUACGGUGGUAACGAAUGCGUCUUCUCCCCUUCUCGUCUUUAAUCGAUUUUCUUCAACACAUCUUCACUGCGACAUUGGAUGUAAUUUUUCCAUUUAUUAUGUCGUACUGACUUCUCUAUACAAAUGCAGAUUUAUUGAUAAGGCAGAAAGGUAGUGUCAAAACAGUGCUCCCGCAGCUUUCCUCCUUGACCUAGACAAAGGAGUUUGCUUCUUUUAUCUGUAUUUGAACAAACCUUAAGCUAUUAGACUGUGUCUCUGACCUCGAAAUUGUUCCUGCCUUAUUUAGUGUAGCAUACUACACUAAUAUGAAACAUCUGUUGAACAAUGAAUUUGCAGCCCCUCGCUGGAUCACCAGCCAACUUUCAGGUUAACACAGCUCUCUUGAAGCCACAUGAGCGCAUAAUAGUUUUAAAUCUUCCCCAUGGUGGUAAUAUAUCUCGUGGGUCCCGGGUGUGACUGCUGACAAAGCUCUUUGCAUGCUACUUUUCAUUACUGACUUCACAGCGCCACAGAAUUUGUUCAGCUAUUUUUGUGCUUGUUAGUAGCUUUAAAUUUCUCGAAUUGCCAUGCAUUUACUAAUUGGCUCUGGAUUUCAUGGCAACCUACGGAUACAAAGAAAACCUUGGCUGUUUCAAUUUCCUUUGAGACCAUGCCCUGGAGACUAGACGAGUCAACCCGUUACUUUGACUGUGAUACGGUAAUCGUUGAAGUUUAUUGAUUGGGGUUUUUGAAAAUCGUCUUCAUGCAGCUAUUUCAUCUUCUCAAUGGACGUCUUUGUAUCCUCUAAUUUUUUGGGGGUUAACUUUUAAAUAUUAAAUGCAGCAAUGCUUACUCGUCUUGUUUUCCUCAAUCCAUGAUGAAAUUGUGCAUCAGUUAUUGAAAAAAAUAACAUUUACGUUCAGUUGGAGAAAAAUGCAUUUCUUUUCAGGCCAAAACUGAUAGUAGCUGGUUCUAGUGCCUAUGCUCGCCAUUACGACUACACUGGUAUGAGUAAGGUGGGUUUCAAUCUCCUCGUUACAAUCAAUUCUACUGUAUUUUUCUCCAUCUGCAAACGCCAAGAUUAGUGUCACUCACACCGAGAUCAUGUCACCAAUAUAACAAACCAUAGAGACUGAACAUAUUGGUGCCAAAUUGCCGUUUUGUGUAGCGAAUAGAUGCCGAGUUUUCUGCAGUGAGAGGGCAUGCACCUUCGGCUUGUUUUCUGCAGUUUGUGGGACUUACUUUGACCACAACUUUCAAAAAUUUAUCCAGGAUUAGUUUCCAUUGUUUCAUGGACUAAACUCCUAAGGAUAGUAUAAAAUGAUAAAUAGUAAAAGUACUCAUUUUGUUGAAUCUCAUAAGUAAAGCAAUGUUUGGGCUUCCAAGGGAACUGCCACAUGAGAAUGGACGUGGGAACUCAAGGAUGAAACGGAUGAAUGAUAUUUCCCAGAAUUCAUCAACUUCUGGUUUCCACGUCAGCAAAUUCCCGGCGCCAGCUCAGCUUGAAGGGGAAACCCCUCGCGGCGCCAUGACGAGCACGCGAGUGACGAGCCUGCGCCAGCCGCGACGUCUCCGCUGCCGUAUGCGCGGGAUCGCCGUCCCGCGAUAGAAUCCUCACACGAUCGCAGUCCGUAACCUGCAAGAAAACCAAUACGAGCUCGGACCGGACUGUUGUGUAGAUUCUGUCCCACCUGAGCUGCUCACGCACAAGCCCUAGACAGGGUUUCCGUGUGCCCUCGGUGCGUCCGUAGCUGGGGUUUUCCUUCUGGUCAUCACCACUCUGACUUUUUCGCAAUUUCCUCUGUAGAUUUGGUGUUUGAAUAAGUGAGCAUUGAAUUCACGGCGGUGUGAUGGGAGACUCCAGUGCCAGGGCGACAGCGCAGCAGCCUGCUGGAGCUGUUCCGUCGGCCCCUUUGAAGCCGCCGCUGUGGUAUCGGUACAGAGCAGGCGUGGGAGCUCUUUUGCUCGUCAAUCUCGGGAUAGGAGGUUUGUGCUCUCCUGCUGUGUUCUGGUUUUGUCUUUGAAAUUAUUCACAUUUUUUGCGGAAUGGAUUCAAUGUUCGACUGGAUUGCUUAUUGGGGGGAUAGAACUUGUGGGUUGUUUCGAAUUUUUUCUACACAGAGAUUAGUGAAUUCCUGUGUACCUAGUUUUUCUUUUUUCUUUUUCUUCUUUUUUUUUUUUUUUUUUUUUUUUUUUUUGUAUCUUGGAGUACCGGGGUUGUGAAUUUUUCAGGAGUUGCAGCAGGUAUGAUUCGUCACGUUUGAUAUGGUAAUGCAGGAAUGCGAUCUAGCUGCGUCUCAAGUUCAUGACUCCUAGAUAUCCUAUGGACCUGCGAGAGUUGUUAGGGUAUCCGGUCUUAGUUCUCUGUAACGUAAUACUUGUUUUGACGUUGACCGAUUCUAGUUUCGGGAAAGGUCGAGCUAUUUUUCACUUUUCCAAAUAGGAGCCAUUCAUAUCGCAAUAUGCUUUCACUUUCGUCAUAUACUACUUGUUUUGUGUUCAAUGUUUUGAAAGAAGAAUUUUACAGCUGGAUGUUCCUGUCACUUUGAUCUCUUUUUUAUUAUAUUUAGCAGAAUAUCCAAAUUUUCAAACAUUUUUCACGUUUUAAUUAGAGGUGUUUUAGAUUUUGGGUCCACUGCUAAUACAGAAUAUAUGUGCAGAGUCGAGAAAGUGCGUAUGUAUGCGGUGUCUUGGUCUCAACCCCGUUCUUUGGAGUAGAUGUCGAGAUCUGAUUUCAUCUGUGGCAAUUGAAGUUUCCGAUUGUUGAAAUGUCUGUGUGUUUGUUGUGCAGGUUAUGUCUUGUCUCGUCCGAGGCCAGUUCUUGAUGCUCAGCUGCAUAACACAGCAGCUGAGCCUGAGAAAGAGAAAGCCGUCCCUGAGCAGGUACCUGUGGCAGUUGUGGCGUCUGCCGUUGCAGCUGACGAAGCUCCACAGUGGGCACCACCUUCAAAAGUGCCCAUUUCUGAAGACGAGCAGCGGCAGAUGCUGCAAUGGGUACUUGAAGAGAAGAGGAAAGUAAAGACUAAGAACAAAGCAGAGAAGACAAGGAUUAACGAAGACAAGAAGUUGCUGAAGCAGUAUUUGAGAUCAAGCCAACUUCCUCCGCUGGUGUAGGCUUUUCAGAGGACAAACUUGACGAGAGCGGAUUUCCUCUUCAAUUGGUCGUUUGAUAUUUCAAUGAACCAGCAAACUAUGGCAUGUCGUUGAUGUUUUCAAAGCUGCAAGUUAUGUGAGGAAGGAGAGAUUGCUCUAACAUGGGAACAGUGGGUUGAAUAAAAAAAAGUAAUUGAUCAUGGCAUUGUUAGAUAAUGUAUUGUCUGGAAAACGGUCGUACAUAUCAUUGAUUUUUGUAAAUAUUCAUCUUGACGUUGCUUCGACAUUGGCUGAAAUGUACACAUUUGUCAAGUAUUUGUGAAUCAACAUUUUUACCAUUUUUCGGUGCAUCUUACACCAGCUCAAGUAGAAAAAUGUGUUCUCAUCAUCUUUUGCUUUACUGUCUUACUACAUUGAUGUGCAUGUGUGAGUAGGGACAUGUGUUCACUAUGCAAAUGAUUGUUACAUGCCCGUUGAUUAUUUUGAAGGAAAUUGGGAAAUAUAAUUGUCAUUUCAUCAUAAAUUUUACUACGGCAAGUAAUUAUAAAAGCAUGACUUUGUAGGUUUAAUAAUUCGCAUUUGUGUAGGACUAAAAAUUUUUGAAGAUUCAUUAAUUAUUCUCCAUUCAAAUUUUUGUUUGGAUAACAAAGUGGCAGUUUGUGUAUAUUUUCAUUUACCAAGCUGAUCUGCAUACUACUCGAUAGAGCAUAGUGAUUAUGAGAAUCUUUUUCCAAAUUAAAUUUGAGCAAUGCACAAGUUAUCAUCAAGUUAAGCCAAUAGCUUCAGCUGCGUUAUUUUACGAUGCUACAUUAAAAAGCUAUAUUUGACAUGACGCUCACGCGAAAGGAAUCAGAUAAUCUAGUGAUAUUUCCCCAGUUGACCGCCAAUAUCAGAGUACACUUUCAUUGCCCGGCGACUAUGGUAAGCCAGCCAUGAGCUAUGAUGGCACCAACAUGAUACUGAUGAAAAAGCCGUGUAGGCAGUACCUGCAAAUAUCAUCACAUUCCUUCUCAGACUGUAACAAAUGACACGGAAUUAUCAGCUACUACAUUUGAUAACAAAUUAUCUUGAGAAUAUAUUGUAACACAAUCCUCCAAAGGCUCAGCUGAGUAAGAGGUUCAUCACAAGUGAGAAAGACAUAAAUACAAGGCGACUUCAACCUUGCUACCCCAUACCUGCAGCACGAUGGUGAGGGUACAGGUUCACAAGAGAGACCCCAAAACUUAACACUUCCUCACAAAGUCAAAAAUACAAGCUCCAUCAUCGCCUUCAACCACAUGCUGGACACAGAAGAAAUAAACCGAUUACUGGACAUAGACUACGUCAUAUACCAGGCGACUUCCAGGUACACACAAACCAAGUGGAGUAAACUAAUCACCAAACCCUACACUACAAAGAAGCAUAAACAACUACUCAUUAACCAAAUCAAGCCAUUCAUCACAAGUCCGUCAAACAGACCUCCUAUUACGGCACGAAGACAAAAAACCAUAAGACCUCAGUACUGAUUUGAAAGGGAGGGGGUAGCCCGCAGGUCGCAUCACGGCUCUUUGAUUACAGAGCUUGCUUAGCGGGCAGGCGUCAUUGUGCACAACCACGCGAGCCCCUGUUUCUACCCCGAGCGGCACACGAUCCAUACAGCCCAAGCAACCAAGCGCACAGACCGAAAACAAUCGGAGUGACGGCAACGAGGGCGAGAUCCGAGGCCUGAAGUAGAGCAGAAGCCCGCUCGUGAGCACUCAGAUAAGAUCAAGUAGUGUUUUAGGGUUAAGGCCUCACUCACUCGGUUAUAUAGAACGAUGAAGGCCUCACCCCCGUUUGGAUGAAUUCUCGUUUUACCUGUUCGUCGAGCUGUGUGUGAACUUAUGUAUAGAGCUUUGCAAUUGCUUUUUGAUUAAUGGUUGAGUUUGUUGUCAAAUGUAUAUAUAUAAGAAAAUAAAUAACUGAAAAGCAUGUUGUAAAAAAAAAAUUGAAUUUUUUCUUUUGAAAUUAUUUUGGCACACAAUAUAUUAUAGAAUAAAAAUCAUAAUAAUAAAAUUAUUACUGUAAAGAAUAAUAAAGCAAUUUCCAAUAAGCCAUUUCAUACAAUGUACACAAAUAAAGUUCAAUUGCCUUUUAAAAAAAUUAUUCUUGUUCAAUAUUUAAACAGAUUUUAAUAUAUUCAGGAAGACUGCUAUAAGAGAGACCAAGCAAGAAAAAUGUUGUUCUAUAUUAAUAUUUAAGUAUAAAAAUACAUGGCUUUAUAUUUUUAAAUAAUAGAAUCAAAUGAAAGGUAUGGAAUUGAAUAUGUAAUUAGUUGUAUUUUUAUAGUGUCUCAAAAUUUAUAAUUAGGCAACAUAAAAUAAAAUAAUAUCAACAAAAUUAGAUGGAUCAAUAUAUAUAUAUAUAUAUAUAUAUAUAUAUAUAUAUAUAAAUUCAAGAAUAUGAUAGAAAAAAUAAUCAAAAAUAAGAUAUAUGUUAUCAAAGUGAGUUUUUAAAUAUUUGAUAGUUAUUAUAAGAAAUUAUAAAUAUUCUUGUAAUUUUUAUUUUAGGCAUAUUAGAUUUUUAUUUGUAAAGUUAGAAUAAAAAAUACAUUAUGCAUGUUAUAUGUUAAAAGUUUUGACCUCAUAUCAUAUUGAUUGUUUGUUUUCUUUUCUAAGAAAGUAAAAAAAGAGUAAAUAUUCACUCAAAGAUAGUUAUAAUAUUGACCGUACAGUUUCAAAAAAUAGUUUUAAGUCCAUUUGUAAAAUAAAAUAAAAAACAUACGAAUAUCUGUUAUGGAAAUUUAUUUUCUACUACUAAGAUUUUAAUCAUUCAUAUGUUAAGUAUAAAUUUGUCUAAUUAAAAUAAAUAUGUUUAACAAGACUUUAGGUGGUGUUUUCUUUUUAAAUUUAAGAUUUAAAACAUGGGCAUAUUUUUUGGUUCCUUUUUUUUUUAAUUAAAUCUGAUAAACCAUUUUAUUUUUAAUUUGUUUUUAAUAUUCGGUCAUGAAUCUAAAUAAAAUAUAUUGUAUUUAGGUAGAACAACAUCUAAACUUAUUGUCCAUAAUUGCAUGUUAUUUUUAGAUUAUCAUCUAUAGCAUUUUCUUUAUUUGUUGUUUUUUUCAGCUUAGAUAACAACAUAAUAGAAAAAUACUCUUUUUUAUAUAUUUAUUCCAAAAUUCUUUAAAUAUAGGAUAUAGUAGAUACUGUAAAAUAUAUGAUUGGAAAAAAUAACAACAUAAAUAUGGUUUUAUUUCUAAAUAUAAGCACCAAUGAAUAUAUAUAUAUAUAUAUAUACAUACAUUCUUAGUGCUUAAUAUUUGUGCUUGCUUAACCAUUUUGAGUCUCAGUAUCUAUACUUAAUUCAUCACCUUCAUCAUUCUUGCACUUCAAAAACAAGUAAGUAUAAUAUUAAAAAAAAGUCAAUUGGAUCUACCAAAUUCUUUAUUUAAAUAAAUGAUUAUUACAAACACUUAUCUUUUGUAGAUACAAGUCUAUGGAUGCUUUUUCUAACAUUACAUAUAAGGUUUAACAAAUAAACUUCUUAAUUAAACCUAAAUAUAUAUAUAAAAAAAAAAACUAGUACAUUAUUAUCCAUUGUACAUUAAGUAUACAUGAGAGGUUUUUAUUUUUUAUUCAAAUUUUUUAAUUUAAAUUAGUACACAAGCAACAUGUAAACAAAAAAAUACUUUUUUAUAUUAAAUUUAUUUAUUUUUAGAUUAAAAUUAAAUACCAAAAAUAGUCUAUCAUAUAACAAGAAAAGUACUCAAUAUCCCAUUCUUGAAUUUGGAUGGUGGUAGUGGCUACAAUUAACUAAUUUCCCUCAUUAUUUAAUCAUGAACUGAUUUAUUUUUAAAACAUUGCAAUUUCAUGUAGGUUACUCUUAUCUUUAGAUAGUCUCUUCUUAUUUUUUUUUUUUUUUGUUAAAUUCUCAUUACCCUUGAAUUAUAGCAAAGCCACUUUAAAUUGGUUUAUGACAUAAUUAUUGCAUUAAGAAUAAGUGUGGUUUUUUUAAUUAAAAAAUCAUAUGUGAAACAAGAUUAAAUCAUCUUAUAAAUUCUAUGUAAUUUGGAAAUAUCAAUAUUUAGUUUUUAUCUAGAAAUUUAUAAUUAUUUUUUUUUUUUCAAAGAAAAUUACUUAUAUUUUUCUGAACACUUGAACCACAAGCAUUAUAGUUUAUGAAAGGCUUCCAUAUAUAUAUAUAUAUAUAUAUAUAUAUAUAUAUAUAUCUUAGAAGCAAAUGUAUAACAAGAUAAAAAUAAGGUAAUCUUUAUCCUUCUUAAUUUGUUUAAUAUGUAUAAAACUUGAUUCAAGCGUCUUUAAUUUCUUUGUAUUUGACAAUUUUUACUAUGGUUUUUAUUUUUUUUUAUUUUUUUUUAUUGAUACAUAAAUAUAAUUUACCUUUACAAGUUUUUUUUAUAUUUAUACACUUGAAUUAUUUUUUUUAAUAACAAAAAAUAGAGAUAAAUACUAUUGAUUGUCUUGGCCUUGAUGUUUAUGUUCUUCAUAAGAUUUUAAUGUAUUUACAAGUAAAAUUAGGGUAGAACUUUUAAAAAAAAAAAAUAAGUAGAAGUUUAUAUAUUAAUACCAAGUUGAUAUAGAUUACAUUAAAAAUGGUAAUAGUCUAAAAAAAUACAUUAUUUAAACUAAAUCAUGAUAUUUAAAAUUUUUCCUAUCACCUUAAACUUUCUAUAUAAAUAAUUAAAUUAUUAUUUUUUUUUACAUAUAAAUAAGAAUAUCCAAAGCUCUACAAGCAUGUAAAUAUAUAUUUUUUCUGAGAUUCCAAUUAUAUAUUAGAAUUGCAAGAAUCUCAGAAUUUUAAUACAAUAAAAAAAAUUCCAAGUAGAUCAUGAUUAUGUAAAUAGAUAUAUUCAUUGCAAUAAUUAAAAAUAAAAUAAAAUCGAGCAAACGAUUGUAGCAUUGUUUAAGGACUUAGUGUAUAUACAAAAAAAAUAUAGUUAAUUAGCUUGUUUUUAAGUACAAAACUAUUGAAACUAAGCUAGUUCAAUAUUUAUUUCAUUGUCAAAGUUUGCAAAGCUAUCUAAAAAAAUGUCUUGAUUUUAUGAUAAUUCACAAUAUGAUUAAUUCAAGCAUGAUUUGCUAAAUUAAUGCAAUGCUGUGUGGUCUUGACAUUCACAACAUUGUUGAUGUCUUUAAAUUUGUAACUUGUAACAUUACAUUUAAAAAAUUGAAUAUGUUUUUAAAAAUGAUAAUGACACACUCUUUUGUGAUCUUAUUGUGUGCAUUGUCAAACCAACAAAACAUCUUGCUAAUAAUAACAUCAAUAAAAGUGUUGUCCACGUAUACAUAAUAUUAUAGAUCAAGAACUCCUAAAACGUAAGUUAAUGCUGAAGUGAUAAAACAAAGAAGCAAUGUUGUUCAAAAAAAAAAAGAAAAAAAGAAAAUUAGAAAAAACUAUCCUUUUUAAGAAACAAUUAGUUUAAAGCAUUUCUUCCAGUGUUUAGUAUGCUACAACUCCAUGUGUUUUUGGUAUAUGUUGGGACAAAAUGGCUUCUUAAAAUACAUCACAUGGGAGGUGUAAUUGUAUUUCCUACCAAUGUUCUCAUUAUAACCAAAAUGAAAGGCAUGGCAUCACAACUAUCAUCAUUGUAGCAUUGCAAUUGCACACUUUCACAGCAAAUUAAAUUUUUUUUUCUUGAUUACGAGGGAUAGAAUGUGUUUAAGUCAUUGAAAUAAGAAUACUUGAUCAAAGCAAAAUACAAGACCUUCUGCAAGUUAGGAAGUCUCUAUGGAUUCUACAAGGCUUUAAAUGUGACACCACACAAAAAUCAAGUGUGACUUAAUGCGAUACUUGGGUCCAAAUUGCCUUGUUUAAAGUGACCUAACAUGGGUGACCAAAUUAAAUGGGCAUGCUGGUUUUAUUUUGAGCAUACCAGAAUACUUCAUUUGGAUGGAACACUGAUUCCGCACUUUUAUACUCCAAGUGUGCAUGUGGGCACUGUGCAGUUAACACUUCAUUGUGAUGAACGCUCAUUCCACACAUUCACACUCCAUCGGCGACUACUCGGGGAGAGCGGUGCAUGAAUGAGAGAUUGUGGUGAGAGGGGGCAACUUCCGAUGCAUCAGCUGAAGAAAUGGCGAGAGCACUGGCAGAAGGUGCCCAGGUGGUGCGGCCACGGCGGCACAGCAGCCAUCACACAUGGCCUCGCACACACGCCCCGCACGCAUUAUUCGCCCCACCCAGCUCGACUCCCAAGCUGCAGUGCAUGUGCCCGAGCUCCCCCUCCGAUUCCCCCACUUCGUGUUCCUUCCUCCGCUGACGUGAUUUGUUGCUCGGUGCUUCGGAGGAAUGUGUGCAUUUCACUUUGCAGCACCCCUUUCUUUUUGUUUUCAACUGGAUACUGUCUCGAGGUUUUCAUUAUUUCCUCGUACUUAUCAUUCGCACUAUUCCAUGUCGUUUCAUGUGAUAUUUGCACGUGCGUUAGGUGGUGUGAAGUGGGUUUCGGAGCGGGUGCGGAGUGCGGAGUGUGGGUGUCUAAGUUGGACGUAUAGUUAGUCCGAUUGGUGUUCAUGCAAUGUCGAAGAACUCCAAUCUUGUGCAGGAAUUGGACAUUCUAGGAUGGACCAGAUUUCAGCUUCAGUGUGUUAGUUCGCGGGUUUGAUAGGAACUUGCGUUCAAUUAUCAGCAAAUUUGCUGGACCAGGUCAAGACGAUUAGUGUUAGCGUUUGCUCGUAAUUCAAACUAUCUGCUUAAAAAUUCUAACUUGAGUGGUUAAUUUGGCUGAAGCAUUAACGGGGGUUCAAUGUGACUUUUGGAUUUAGAAAGUUUUCGAAGCGUCGUGUUGAUGCUUUCGUCGGACUAGUUGCUCUGUCGAAGUUAAAAGAGCAGUAUGAGUUAGUAACCGAAAUUGGAAUCAGUCACAAUUCGUUUUUGGCAAGUCUUCGUAGGGCGCAAUCGGAUGCAACACGCUUGCUAGUGAUUUGAAUGUUGAUUUCUUGUGAAGAUGGCAGGUGAUCUGAAGGGAUGGUGGAGACAGGAGAGAGCGGAAUUUGCUUUGCAAGAGCGUGAGUCAACUACUGCAUCUUUUUUUAUCCCCUCUCCUGUUGAAGGCAAGGACACCAAGGACCGGGAAGCUGUGAAACUGAUUGCCGAAGAAAAGCGUGCGAGGGCGAAGGCUUGUACUGAUGGUAUGCUGUAUUCAUUGUUUUGAAUAAUAGUUGGGAUAUCAGGUAUCCUUCUCAGAUUUGAAUAUUGGCUGCACGAUGUUGUUCGCUGGGAUUCAAGUAACCCAUAGCAUGCCCACACCCGUGUGCGCUACCGUUUGUGGAGUAGAAAUCACGUUAAUUUAUGAGUGGAGUUUCUGAUGCGUCCCACUGCGUUUAGCUAUCCAGAACCAACUGAUAACGCAUCGAAUACCCUGGUACUGAAAGAUUGAGUUCAGUAGUGAAGUUUUGAUUGACUUUGUGUAGAGGGUAUGAAGGAGGGUUUGAAGGCGGCUUUUGUUGCAUGUCUUGCCACUGCCAUUCCAACGGUAAUCUCUCCCUGACUCUACAUUUCUUCAUUGGGGCGUGUUAGGUUACUGGAGUUUAGUUAAGAGAUCCUGGAUGUCUAGCUUCUACAUCAAAUGAGAGCGUUGCUUUUUCCGCUUUUCCUUCAACUUGGAAAGAAUGGCUGUGAGAUGCAGCGUUGUAGCCUUCAAUGUUAAAUAAGUUUGGUGGAAGGAUGGAAAGGUUUCGGAGUCGCACUAACGUGUGAUGUUUCCAUGCAUCAUGAAACCAGCUUACGGCUGUUCGGAUGGUUCCAUGGGUCAAGGCGAAUGUCAACUACACGGGACAAGCCCUGAUCAUCUCCGGAGGUGAGGGAUUCAUCCGGUGUUUAUGAGGCUCUAGAGAGUAGCUUAAUGUUCCGGAUUAUGACUUGGAUGCUGGCCUAUGCCAUUAAAUUUCUUAUUUUAUGUUGUAUCUUAUGUUAUUUUAAUUUUUAAUCCCACCAAAAUGUUGAAUAAUUGCGUGUAUCAUGGUGAUAUGCAUAUAUAUAUAUAUAUAUAUAUAUAUGGGUGUGAAUGAGUACCUCAUGUCUUCCUGUGUGGCGUGUGCAGCCACUAUAGCAACUUACUUUGUUGUGGCAGAGCAAACUAUCCUCGAAUGCUCUCGCAAGCAAAACGCAACUAAUCUUGAGAAGAGCCGGGCUGGAUUAUCAUAGACAAUCUGGUAACUACUUACUGUAGAUCAUUGAUGUUGAGGUAGAGUAUUAAUAAGAAGAAUAUUAAUAAGAAGAGCAAGUAAGCAGACCUUUACCUUCAAUUAUAAACAACGGCAGGCUGUCAAUGAGGACAUUUGUCACGAAUUCUGAUGCUUUUAGUGAAGGUGCACAUUUUCACUUAGCCGUAACCACAUUUUCAAGGUUAUUUGGUCAUGUUUAGAAUAUGUGUAUUCAUGCUUUAAUUUCAAUAAAUAUUCAGAACAGAUAUGACUGCAACUGUGUUUCAGCUCUAAUAGUUUCACUGUUGGAGAUCAAUGGAGGUUUGCUAACUGUGCGUGACAGCUAUCUUUAUUCAUUACAAAGAAUCUGCGGCAAAGCCUCAUAAAGUCUCAUACUUUAAUCAGAAAUUCUUAGAUUCAAGAAUAUACAUCCCUUCAACAUAUUACAGUUAGAUACAAAUAAGUCUGACCUAUACAAGAUUCCUUCUCAAUCCCCAAAAAACACGGCCCGAAAAGGAAAACUCAUAUGUGUUGCAUUGAAGUAGACUACCACCAUGGCAAGAGAAUAAUGAGUUCUUGUAGCAUGGUGGGAAAGUCCGAGAAUGAGAGGAGAACUAAAUGACUGGCGAGGUGUUGAAGAAUCAUGAAUCAUUUUUGGUUCUGAAAGCACGUCGGAACCUGUCGCGCAAAUGCUUGAAAGGAUGCCUGUCCUUUUCCAUUGCUCGAACCAACGAGUUAUCUCUGCUCUGACCUUCCACAAUCUUGCUUCCAUCGUGUAUCUUCUCUUUCUUGGAGCUUUUCUCUUUUGUUCCGAACGGCUUCGGCUCCACAACGUCGCUUGGUCGUAUUUCAGGUGCCUAUAGACAUCGCAGACCGUACACAUCGCAUAAGGAAAUAUCCUUCGACUGAGUGCCAAGGUUGUCGAAGGUUCUGCAAAAAGUCUAAGAUAAAUCCCAAACACGAAAACAUUCUGUAAAUGAUUUCUUCAUCGUUCACAUUUAAACUGCAAACUUUGGGGGGUGGCAUAGCACGUGUAAAACGCCACCGUUGUUUCAAACACGAUCAAAAGCACUACUCCAGGACGAAGAAUUUCUGCUUGCUAAUUAACACAGCAUAGUCUUAACGAACAAUCUUGCGUUGGUGCUGCCACGUUCGGGUCGAGGCAAAUAGCCUCGGCGCAUAUUCCUUCGAACAAGCAAAUCCUGACACUUUAAACUGAACACAGUAAAUUCCCUUCAUUUUGUUCCGUUCCGUUCAAAGCAACACCUGCUUGAUAGCUUAGUCACGUUUUCAAGUACUUGAUAGUUCUUAUAGCUAAGGUAUUGUAAUCUGCGUAACGUGAUUAAUAACAACCAAAUAUGCACUCUGGUAGACAUCUUACCUUAGCAGUUGCUUCGACAUCCUCAGCUAAUUUAUACUCAGCUUCAUUUUGUGUAGGCAAUGAAGAAGACUUGGCCUCCUUUACAGAUCCGCCUGGGGCGUUCUGAGGCUCCUCCACUCUGGAUGUCGAUUGUGAGACUGCAGAUACAUUUGCCGCACCACUCUUUUCGGCGUCAUCCUCCUGUACAGAUUCUGGCCUUGGAACUGCUGCCGAAGACCCCUUUGCAACUGCUUCCCUUGGUUCCUUAAGCGUGGAUGGCAAUCCCAGUUCCGAAGAUUCAAGUGAGCUGGGAAUAUCUUCCUUAUGUAUAGGUUCUAACGAUGUGCCACUCGGUACAGCUACUGAAGAAUCUUUCACAAGUGCUUCCUUAGAUCCUUGCUGCGUAGAUGCCAGAUGUGAGGGAUCGAAAGACGCAAGAGCAGUGUCACGCUUGUCACCAUGAUUUUCUUGUAUAGAAGCUGGAAGUUCCAAUUGCUCAUGCUUCAAUUUGGAAUCAACUCCAGCCAAUUUGGAAUCGAUACAUGAAAGAGUCCUCUCAAUACUUUCCAUGUGCUGAACAAACAUACAUUAAAGGUCAUGAAUAUCAGAAACGGAAUCACCCUAACUUGUCAUUUAUAAUCCUCACAAAACUGCCAGUAACCUUCAACAUUACAAGGGUGUAGAAAGACUCUGAUUUACCUCAGUUAAACGAGCCUCGAGAAAAGAAACUCGCUCAACCAAUGUGCCCUUUGACUCCGUUUCUCGCAGCAGGGACCGCGCAGUGCGAAGCCUCUCUCGGGUUCGAGGAGUAACCAGCUGCGAAUUUGGUGACAAGUUGUGUUCCGUCGAAAUUGUCUUAGGAUUGUACUUCUCUUCCAACAUAGACAUCUGAAUAGCAAACACACAGAAAUUUGAGUAACGACAUUCUUCAAACGGCUUCCAACACAACUCUCAAUCGCCAUGAUUUGAAUCCAAAGGAAUUUUCGAACUCGAUUGAGAUUGGCUUGGUUCGUAAUCUUCAGAAUUUGAGAAGAAGUGAUAUCGACUGCAAUGAGGCACAACCUGCAGCUCAAGGUGUUCAAUACGAUUUAGGAUUGGUGUUCCGCGGGGGGUAAGAAGCCGUGUCCAGCGGGAGGAAGUGGGAGAGUAAACAUUCAGUUUAUCUCCUCCUUGUGGUGUUUGAGGAGAACUCGGCGAGCUAACAUUUUGCAGACCUUCCUGCACUGCUACGUCCUUUUCCUCUGGCUUUGAAUCAAAACCUCCCACUAAAUUUGCCAUUAUGACCUGGUUGCAAGAUACACGUUUCACUACUUCAGAAAUAGAUACUUCCAUAACACCAUUCUUGGAAAGCAAAGCCAAGAUGCUUCCUGCAACAUCAGAAGUCACACACUUUUGUGGGUUGAACAUACCGUUGGUGCUUGGGCCACCCUUCCAACGACUGUUGCUACGGGCUGCAAUGUAUCCACCACCAAGUCACCGAUCGACUCCAACCCUUUUCCGACGAGGGUUUCUGGUUGACCACCUUCUUCUUUCGGCUUAGAAUCUUCCUUGACAGGCAUUUCUGGCGCACCACCACCUGAUUGAGGUGCAUCAGAUAUAACUGCUUCACCACCUCCUGUCUCGCCUGUAAAACUCUUCUGUACGAACUGGUCUUGCUUGCUUUCUCCUCCACUCUCCAACACUGUGUCAUCCUGACUUGACCCCGGGGAAGCCUCAUUGACAAAUUCCAACGACUCACCAGGUGGGACCUUGUGGACAUACGCCAUGGUGCCAACGAACGCUAGACCGCCUGCAAGGAACAUUAAUUCACCUCAAUACUGCCAGUUCUCACUCCGAUUCCUCUGGACACUAGAGUCUCAGCCCGAGUAAGACAACUGUCCAAGAACAGGAACCUAUACAUGCUCUUCACAACCUCAAACAUCAAAUCCUUAUCUGCCAUCGCAAUGCCCCUCAUCUGAACAACUACAAUCAUCACAACUCCACUGGGUCAAUAAACAAGCACAACUCAUCUCAUCAAAUCCAACCGAAUCCACGUAUUCCGCAGCAAAGCACUUGUGCAUCACACAUCCUCCCUCAUCGUAUCUCCAUGAACCAGCCACCCCCGCAAAUUGUGCACAAACAUCCACACAUACCUCCCGAAUUUCGCUGAUUCCACCCGGUACAAGUAAGCUACAGUGCAUGAACUAACUCCCCCCCUUUAUCAAGAUAUUCAUGGUGGCACCGCAAAGGAUCAGCUACCUGAAACCCAAUUGAGCUUAACCCCUUCACGAGCAGUGGUUGCGAUUAAAUUAAGAAACUAGUGACGAUUCCCAUGCUCAUGUUUGUCGCUACGCACUGCCCAACCACACUCCCCACUCUGAAUGGUCUCGCAGUCGUAGAUCUUCAUGACUUAUUUAGUGGGUAUAUAGGAUAAAAGGUAACUGGGUCCGACGCCUAGAGUGGAAUCGGACACGACCCUGAAGCAGUGGCUAUGAAGCGAGAGGUGGCAACAAUUGGCUCGACGCCGGAGGAACCGAGGCCCGCGAGCAACGCGACUACGGCACUAGUUUGGUGAGGAAGGCGGUCUCGUACUGCCAGUCUUCAUGGAAAGUGUCUCACUUAUAGGGGUGAGACGAGUCAACGACUGACACCUGGCGAAACCAGAUCCUCAUUACGCUGACAUGGACUCCAGCUCCUCUCACCUUUCCCUGCUGACGAGGAGUCGGCUAGAGCAGUACCAUUAAAUGGAUCCGUGAAGGUAACUCACACGUGUACUCAAGCAUGAUUAGUAUCUGUUUAGUUCAUGUUUACUUUACAUGUAAUAAUAUAUUGUUACGUUGAAAGUGGAAAGUACCAUAAUAUGGGGAUAUGUUUUACCAUGUAAGCAACUGUUUUGCGUAUUCAGGUGAACUAUUCAGACAAACAGUUAUUGAUGGCAUCAUGUUAAAAUUUACUCCACAUCAGAGUUUCCCAAUUCUUACAAAGAAUGAAUUCCCUUUCUCACCUGAACAAAUAUAAUAGAACGUGCAAAUCUAAAUGUACUCUUACUUAAAGAGAUAAUUUAAAGACAAAUUUUCUUGUUAUCUCCAUUACUCACAACUCUUUGAAUGAAUUACAGCAUCCACCAUUAGUUUAACCACCAUCAUCGAUUUGUGAUCACAAAUGUCGGACUAACCAUGAAACAAUCGCAAAACAUCAUGUGGACCCAAAGCUAGUUGUAGAUAAUGGUUAGGAUAAUGUUAACGGUAGAUACACUGCAGAAAUAUCUCCAUGAGCUCUAGAUAGGAAAGCGACGGUACAAAAAUGUUCCAAGAGAGCCGACAGUUUCGUUCGUCACCAUCGCCGUCGCCGUCGCCGUUGAGUUUAAGGAGAUCCUCAGUGUUCGUAGUGCAGCCACGCAGCUAUGGCGUCCGCUUUUGCUGCCUCAGCUGCCGUGACGCCGGCGGCGUUUGCCGAGUCUUCGUCCUCCGUGAAGGCUUCCUCCGGUCUCAAGAGCCUCAUCUUUUUCUCCCGUAAGUCGUAGAGCUGGAGCAGCUCCAUUCCGAACGGCAGCUGCGUGCAAUGCAUGCAGGUGUAAAGCCCCAUCGAUAAUGUAAAGUUCGAGAUGCUCUCGUACUUGCCGGCUCUGUCCGAGGACGACAUUGCCAAGCAGGUGGAGUGCAAGAUCCGGUAGAAGCUGAUCCCCUGCCUGGAAUUCGAUCCCGUAGGCACCGUCUCCCGAACCCUUAACUCCAAUCUCGGGUAAUACGAUGGCGUUACGACAAUGUGGAAGUUGCCCAUGUUCGGAUGCAACGACACGUCGCAAGUGUUGAAGGAGAUCCAGGAGUGCACGAGCGCGUUCCCUCAGUGCUACGUGCGAGUGCUGGGCUUCGGCAACUUGAAGCAGGUGCUGAUCGCGGAAUUCUUGGUGGGAAUCCCCUCGGUCUGAAGCCUUUGUUGACAUGAUUCCUGGCCCUUGGACAGUGACAUGCCAUGAGAAGUAAAAAUGCGAGAAGAAUGGGUCCGAUUAGUGGCAUGGCUUCAGUCCGAAAUUUGCUGUAACCGAAUAAGGGCAUCCUGCCAUUUGGUUUCCCACUCAAUAUGUCCUGUCCCGCUUAAUCAUGGGCUGCGAUGUGGGAUACGCGUACAUUGUUGGGAAUAUCAUUCGAUGUGAACAUGUUUUCCACGUGGGAAGUUGUGCAUUGUACACGUCAACGCGGACAACAAUUUGGCCUAUGUCCCUUCACGGAGAUGCUGUAACGGCGCAUCCGUAAUCGACGGAAUUACACGAAUGGUUGUCUCUCACGACUAUGAUCUACUGGGUAGCAUGAUCCUGUAGUGACAAACUCAUAUCAUUUCCCUCCUGUUACCUCGCUAUGACUUGUGUCAUAAUCACAGAAUUAGGCGUGAAAAUCUUUAACCCAGAUCCAGAUUCGUUCGAUGUUGGGGACUUGUGGGUAGUUUUCGUGUAGGAUCGAUGGAUUAUUCUGAUUCUGGAUUGUAUGACAGGAAUAUGAAGAAUUUGUGUGAAAUGGACCUAUCGGACAUGAGUAACAUGAAAAAAAUGAGUUCAAUGACAUUAGACGAAAAAGAUAGAAACUAUGGUAGUUCGAAGCUUUCUUGGCACACAGAGGAGACGCUCACUCACCGAGAACCUGAAAUGACAAUCCCACUUGUUAGUCCAGGAAUAGAAGUGACGAAGUGUAUAAAAAAUGAUGGCAGCUGCAUUCCUCUCCGGAAGCUUGGCUGCUUUGAAAUUCCGGCCAUCAUCACGGGUGGUGCUUCUUGCACAGAAUUGUUUUAACUACUCAUGGCUUAGGUCAUUGAUCGAUAAACGGGGAAGGCUCUCUUGUCCAAUUAUUAGGUUUCGAGUCGGGAUGAACAAUGGGUGGUCUCAAAUUUUAGCAAUGAGCAGGCUAUGAAAGGAGAACUCAUAAAUUAAAUUACCUUCUUUGUUCCAUGUUUGCUGUCCCUUGGACCACCCUUUUCAGAUUUGUGACAUCAGACGUAGAAGUCGUCAAAUAUGUAUCCCAAGGAAUGGAACUACAUUAUGUCGAAAGCCACUACGCACUUUACUGAAACUCGCAUUUGAAGCCUCAAACUUUGAAGGCCUGCUAUCCUCAUUUGAAUCUAUGUCAUGAUAGGAACAUAUAGAGGACGAGCUUGAAAAUUCUUGUUUCUAUCAUUAACAAAUACUUCGAAAGUAACGUGACGUAGAUGUGAAGAAUCGGCCAACAGUAGAGUAUCUGUUUUUGAAAUAGCGUGCUUUUUGGACAGGAAUGCACCAGGUGACUGGAGCACACAGACCUAUUGAUAUUGAAAAAUCGGUGCAUGACAUGAAACUCUAUGCUUUUGCCGGGCUUGGAGUUUUUGACGUGGCCGAUACAUGUGAGUCUCUGGCUUUUGGAGAUUCCAAUAACUUCAGGCCUUAGUAUCCCAUUUAGCGGUGUCAGAAUGUAUAUGAGCAUAAUGCGAGGCUGACAUACCCACAGCGAAGUUUAGUGCAGGGUCUUUAUUUCACGAAGCCCUCACUUUUGCUCUACAGUCAAUAUUUUCUUUCCAUUCUGCAGAUGGACCUGCUGAAGAUAUUUAUGGCAGGUUUUAUGAUGAAUAUUGGGGCCGCAGGCCAGUCCUUGGUUUCACAAAAUUUGACCCUGGCUACGGUGAGGUUCGUUUGCCUGCACGUGAAUCACUGUUCCAGUCAUUGCAUCCUUCUCAAUAUGGCACUCACUUCUGGCUAAUAUUCAUGUAAAAUUAACCUUGCUGGUGGUGUAGGCAAUACUGGUGCAGACACUCGGCUUGUGGUGGAAGCUAUUAUAGAUCGGUCUCGGAAUCGAAUGAGAGUGGCCACCUUGGACAUGGUCCAGUUCCAUUGGUACGUUGUCGAAGAGCUUGCCAACUGAACGACAACAUACUCACGGUUUAGAUGUCUUGGGACUUUUCUCUGCUAAUCUCCAUUUCCAUAAAUUCCAGUUUUUUUCUUCUUCAAACAAAAGACCUAACUGGACGACAAUGAGUUUGAGAUCAUGAUUUCAUCUUUGUUAGACUCGUUGUAUGUCCAGCACUCAUACUGAAGAGCGAAGCCCAAUUUUUUGUUUUUGUUUUUGUCAAUUCUUGAAGGUGGGAUUAUAGCGAUGAGCGUUAUUGUGUUUCUGUGAAGUGGCUACACACUCUUCAACAAGAGGGCAAAAUCAAGGAGCUGGGACUAACAAAUUUCGACACUGAACACAUGGCGAAAAUAGUUGAGGACUGUGGGAUCCGAGCAGUGUCCAAUCAAGUUAGUGAUUCACCCUCACCGUCCUCUCAAGCGGUAAUUUCUUGAAGUUUCUGUUGCUCGGAAAAGAUCAGGCUAGUUUAGUCUUUCGGCAAUUCACACAUGCGUACUGAUGCCGUUACUUGGCACGUAUGAUCAGCGCUUCACAAGAACAUGACAUUUGAACCCCUAUUGUUGCUGAAAUCGAUUGUGGUGCUACGCAGGUGACAUACUCUGUGAUUGAUACACGGCCCGAGAAGAAAAUGAUUGCAUGGUGCUUACAACAUGAUGUGAAGCUUCUUGCUUACGGGUGUGUAGAUUCCGGGGUUUUGUUCAUUUGUCGCAUGCAACAGUCUUCGUCCGGACACUUCAUUCUGGACCUUGAAUUUUUUGUUUCAUUUUAUUAUUAUUAGUAUUAUUAUUAUUAGUAUUAUUAUCAUUAAUAUAACAAUAGUGCUUGAAGGAUAGGCAAGAGUGUAGUUGGUGGGCAGCUCUCUCGCUUGUUUACUUCGUAAUGUAUAAGUAUGAUCGGUUCUUAGAUUGUAAGAUGUCUCUUUGAACCGGUCAAUAAUAGAAUUUUCCUGCAUUCUAAAGAGUAUGUGCAGGACGUUAAUGGGCGGCCUUCUUUCAGAAAAAUAUUUGGGACAACCUGAGCCCCUGAGGACAGACCCUAUCAAUACACCGUCAAUCUCCAAAUAUAAAUAUAUUAUAAAUGCAUGGGGAGGUUGGGCUCUAUUUCAGGUAGGUCGUUAGAUUGUAAUUAGUUUUCAUAAUUAGAACGUUUAGUUUGAUUGCUAAUGUGUAGUUUUUUCAUUAUCUCCUAUAUAAUUAGAAAGCACUGCUCAAGCUUCAAGUUGGUUAAAUUUUAUUUUUGCAGGAACUCCUCCUUGUUUUAAGCAUGAUUGCCAAAAAACAUAGGAUUAGCAUUAGCAAUGUGGCUGUGAGAUAUAUUGCAGACAAGCCUGCAGUUGCCGCAGUUAUUGUAGGUGCUCGGCUUGGGGCGUCACAACACAUUGCUAGUAACCAGGCUAUAUAUUCAUUCCCAGGUGCUGUGAAAACAUGACAUAAUUCUAAGUACUUUGCUGUUGAUCAUUCAGCUUUCAUAAAAAUAGUAUCAACUUUUCUUUCAACAAAGGAAGUUUUAAAUUGUGAAACAGCUUUGGUGCACUUAGAUUAGCAGUGAUUUGCACAAAUUUCCCUAAACCUACUUCUAUUUUUUAAGGUGAGUGAUGUAUUUUUUCUUUCAUUCUUAAAGCUCAAACUCAAAAAAAAUCGCUUUGAAGAGUUUACAACUACAAAUAUGACCCCAUCAAAAAUGUGGUUUUUGUACAGGUCUAGAUGAGGGAGACAUUGAUCUCAUACACUCUAUUGUGAAGAAGGGAAGUGAGCUCCAUGGAGAUCCUGGAGAUGAGUUCAGAUAGUUUGUGGAAAUUGUCUUGAUAAUAUUAUUGGAUACAACACAGUGUCUCUCUUGGAUGUUUUAGUAUGUUUCAUAUUUGAAUCUCAGCCUAAUGAUCACGCCUUGACUGAUGGUACCAUUUCUUUAAAGAAAUUUGCACCCAUUAUGGAAUCAUGACCACAAUCUUGCAUUUUAACUGUUACACCAAAAUCAAGCUGCAAGAUGAAUUUGGAACUGAGUCCAAUUUCAGCUUUUAUUUUCAAAGCACACUUUAAGUCAUCUGUUUUGUAGCUUACCUCCCGUCACAAGUAUUCUUAGAUGGUAUUUUGCUUGUAUUUAUCUCAGGCGUUAACUGAUUAUACUUACUUUAGCGAAAAAGCAUACACCAAACAAGACAUGAGUUAUAUAAAAUUGUAAAAGCAAUCAUACUGUGUAAUCACUGCAACUAGUUGGGAUGUUAACAAACCAUUGGUAUAGUGUUUAUUAAAACAUUGAACACUGCAUCUUGUAUGCUAAGUUUCAAAUUUUUGUAAAUCACUUUAAAUCUUUGAUAAAAAAUGAAAUUUUUAGGUACAGAAAAAUAGUAGCAAAACAUUUAGAAUAAAAUUUGAAUAAUAAAAAAUUAUCUCUGGAAUAAUAUUACCUAAUAACAUAUAUCUUUACAAAUGAAAAAAAUGAAAUUAUUAAAUAGAAUAAAAUAUGAGAAAAAAUUGAAUUAUAAUUAAUUAAUUUUUAUUAAGGAUAAACAAUAUUAUCAUAUAUAAAGCAAAGAAAACAAAGCUUAGAGAGAUUGAAUGCAUAUUAUCAUUUUUUAAAAUGAAGUAAAUUAAAAAUUUCUUGAAAUAUAUAUAUAUAUAUAUAUAUAUAUAUAUAUAUAUAUAAGUGAAUAUAUUAGCUUCUAGAGAUAAGUAUACUAUUCUACCUCAAAAAAGAUUUGUACUCCAAUAAAUGAUUUGUUAAAAUCUUUCUUAAUUCUAUUAUUGACAUGGCAUGAAUUUUUUAUAAAAAUCCAUUACAAGGUUUUAAAAUGUCAAUGAUACAAUACAAAUUUGGUAACAAUUAACUAACUUAAAAAAAAUUGUAAAAUAGUAUCAACUAAAAAUACCAAAUUAAAUUACCAAAUUACAAGUACAAUUUUAUAAGUUCAAAAACACAUUAAAAUUUAUCCAAAGUUAUAAUAUCAGAUUUAGGAUAAAAAAUUAAUAAGUAUAUUUUGAGAAUAAGUUUUCAAAAAAAAGAUGGUUUGAAAAAUGUAGUUAUAUCAACUAUCAACAUAAGCAUUUGAAAUCAUACAUUGAAAUCUCAACUAUAAACAACAAGCAAAUCCUAAUUCCAAUAAAAUGAUACAUACUUUAAAAUAUAUAUAUUAAAAAAAUAAAAAUUACUAAAAGAUAUAAAUCAAGGUCUAAAUAAAUAUAACAAGAUUUUUUUAAAAAAAACUCAAAAUGUAAAGAAAUUUAUAAUGUUAAUAAAGCUUAUAUUUGACUUUAUCUUAAAAACUUUUAGGACCUUUUUUUUUAAUUAAAAAAUGUAACAAAAUGUAAAAAAUUAAAUUACUAAAUUUUAUCUAAAGUUUUUUAUUUCAUUUUUUGAGCUAUAUAAUAGAAAAAAAUUUCUUCAAUCUUAAUCUAAUUAUUUAACUACCACCAAUCUUUAUAAGAUAAUAAUUGAAAUAUAAAAUGAAAGAAUUUUUUUAAGAUUUAAAAUUGUAAUAAUUUAAAAAAAGGUUAAAAGAUAAAAAGAUAAAAACUAAUAUGAUAGAAAAAGUAAUCUUAAAAUAAUAAUAAAGAGUAAUCCACACUAUAAAAUUCUUUUUUAAUGGUAAAAGUCAUCUAUUAUCAAUGAAGGUUUGAGGAUUAGGUAAGUUUAGAAUCAAUUUUUUAACCUUAUAUUAUAAUCCAUAGACAAAUUAGCUAAUGAAUACAACAUCAUAUGACUUGAUAUCAAUUACAAGUUGUCAAAAUUGUGAAGCAUAUGACAUCCCUAAUAGAUUGCAUUCUCGCAGUAUACAAAUCUUGUUGGUUGCAAUACAAAUUGUAUCAUGUUCUCCAUGCAUAGAUCAAGAUUUUGCCAAAAAAACCUCCAAAUUAUCUAAUAUUAGAUUAGAUUUUUUAAAAAAAGAAAAAACUAAAAAAAAAAAAAAUCUAAAAGUUAUGUUUUAAUAAACUAGUUUUAGAAUUGGAGUUGGAUAGCUUUAGAAUUGGAGUUCAAUCACAAGUUAUACUUAAUUGAUAAAUAUUCAAAACUUUGAUCUUGUACCAUCAAACUUCUCAAAUAAGAAAUUUCUUGGUUUUUUUGCAUUUAAAAGAUGUUCCACCAUAGAAGAAAUAACAUAAAUUAAUAUAGAUGUUAAAGCAUUUCAAACCUUCUCUAUAUCUUUAUUUCUUGGCAAUCUUUGUACUCUUUGUGGUAGUAAAUUAAGUUGAUGCAUCACAAGUAUUAACUCCCUCAAUUGCUUAUGUAUUUGCACUAUUGCAGUCUUCAAUUCUACAAGCUUUGUCAUGAUAACAUGAUAGAAAAGAUUAAAUGUCUAAUAUCUUUCAAAAUAAGUAGAAAGUAGGACUUGAGAAUAAAGAAAAUUUUAAGAACAAUAUCAAUUUAGAAGUAGAUAAUCUGCAACUUCUAAUAGACUUAUGUCUUAUUAAGAAAAAUAUAUAAUUUGAUUUUAAUCAAGAAUAGAUAAAGCUUUGAUAUUGUACGUAUAUUUUUAUGAAUUUAUCAAAGAAAAGAACUCAAAUAAGAUACAUAAAAAAGUGAGAUAUGUAUCAAAAAUAGAUGAUAAAUAAAAAUAAGAAAGCCUCACUUUUGCCUCUAUAUAUACCAUCUAAUUAAGAAUUCAAUAGCAAUACUCAAUAGGACCUCCAAUAUAUAUCUAACUUACAUAAUACAAGUUUAACUUGCAAAAAAAAAAAAAAAAAAAAAAAAAAAAAAUCUAUGUAUAUGCCACAUGAUUAACUUAUAUUACAAGCUACUAAUAUGUAUAACACAUAACUAACUAUAAGGGUAAAAAAAGUCGACCCUCUCAUUUGCUUACUUUUUUGAAGAAAUCCUUGAUGAAAUAGAAGAGGUAAGUUAAGCUAAAGUAAUCUUGAUGCCUAUAGAAAUGCUACAAAAACAUAGCAAAAGAGCUAUUGAGAGGACGACUUUCUUUAUUCUAAAGUUGAUCUUGUGUAGAGGCAUGAGGCAAGUGCAUAAUAAAUAAUAAUUGGGAGUGAAUUUCAAAUGCUUUAAAAAAAAGAUCCAUGAUUUUAUUUUAUUUUAUUUUUAUUUUUAUUUUUUUUAGAAUUUGAACUGCAUUUAAGGCUUAAAUGAGAAGUUAGAAAUUAGUUUGAAGAUAAAAAGCAACAUCCAAAGUAAUUCAUAGAUUUUGGAAUUGAAAUUCAAAUCAUAGUAUAAUAUAUUCUAGAUUGUAUUAUAAUCUAAUGUAGAGUUUUAGUGUAGCAUAUUGCUGCAGAUGAUCUUAAGUUACAACAAGACUACAUGUCAAGGACAAGAAUCUGAUUAAAUCAAAUAAUCAAAUAAAACUUAUUUCAAAUAAGUAUGAUAAAAUAGAAGUAAAGAAACAUAUAUAUUAAAUAGAAAUUGGAAUGGCUAUUAUCAAAAGAGAAGAAAACUAAAGCCUCUUGAAUCUAGAUUAGAGUAAGAAAAGAAUUAAUAAGAAUGAAGAAGGCUUUACUCUUGCCUUUAAAUAUACUAUCUACCUAAGAACUACGUGGCGAUGUUCUAUAAGACUUCUAAUAUGUGUUGACUUUACAAGCCACAUGUCUAAACUUACAAGUUUCUAUUUGUGUACUACAUAAUUAACUUAUUUUAAAAGCUAUCCAUAUGUGUGCCAUGUGGCUAAUUUAUUGAAUAAGUUUCUAAUCUAAAAAUCAACUAUAAACAUGUUUAAAGUUAAAAUCAUGUCUAUAAAGCUUCUAAGAAGUUUUUUUUAGAAGAUAUUAUGAAAUUAAUGUAUUUUUAUCUACUUUUAUCUACUUCUAUUUAAUCAUAUAGGUAAUUACUAGAAUAAAUAUGUAUAUUUUUGAUAUUAUUCCUCCUUUUAGGAAUAAAUUCCAUAAGGGAAAAUUAUCAUAUAUUGAAGAAAUUUAAGAUGAAAUGAAUUAUAUUUGCUUUGAUCUUUCUUCUCUUCAAUGAUGGUUGAUAGGUCUUCUUAGUUAUUGAUAAUGUUUCAUAUCAAGGCAAGAAAGACCACUCUAUUAUUUGAUCUUUGUUGAGGCCUUCAUAACUUCUUUUAAAUAAAAUAUUUGGAAUACCAUCACAAAUUAUUUUUACCUCUAAUGAAAUCAUGAAAUAUAGAGAGUCUCUUCAAAGGUUGUAAUAUCAAAUAAGUUAUAUAUUACUAUCUAUUCAAGGAAUAACAUGUUAUUUUUAAGGAUCUUCAUCUUGAUUACGUUGUCUUAAAGGUUGAAAUAAUUAUAAUAUUUCAUCUGACAAAUUACCAAACGAUAGCUCUUGAAUAGAAUCUAUUGAUUAUUGGUUCUACAUCUCUUUAGUGCCAUAAUAUCUAUAGAAGCUACAAAUAAGGAUAAAAUAUAGAAUAUUAUCUUCUCUUGAUUUUUUUAUAGUAAAGAUUUGUUAUUUUUAACCUAGAUUUUGAUAGAUGUUAUUGAUAAAAAGCUUCUACCUUCUUUGAUGUAUUUAUAAGAUUAUUUGCUAAUUUCCAUGUAUAUUUACUAAUAUUAUAUCCAUGUCAAUGAAUAAAAUAUUCUAACCUAUUUUGGUGCCACUUUGAGUCUAAGACUUCUUCUACCUCAAAUUCUUUAUUAUUGUCUACUUCUAUAGGAAGAAGUGGUGCUUAUUUUUUUCUUGAUAUGUUCAUUAUCUUCUAUGGUUCAAAAAGAAAUACAUGGAAUAUAGAAUAGAUCUUCAUUGAUUCUAAUAGAUGUAAUCGAUAAGCAAUUGAAUUGAUUUAUUUACAAAUAAGAAAAGGUCUAAGCUAACGAUAGUCCAACUUGUCACAAUAGCAAGUAGACUUGAUAUUAUAACUAAGUAAUCAUACCUUAUUACUUAUAUUGAAUUGUGGUUAUUCUUUUUGAUAGGAAUGUGCAUUUAUUUUUUAUCAUUCUUGAACUUCUUUUAAUUGUGCCUUCAUUGUUGUAUAUAGUUGUAACAAAUGAUUUGUCAAAUCUUUUGCUACACAAUUAUCAACUCUUGAAAAUUCAAAAGCAUUAAAUCAUGGAUGAUAAUCUUAAUGAAUAAAAAAAUUUAUUUAGUAAAUAAAAGAAUAUACUAUAUUAUUAUAGGAAAACUCUACGUAUGGCAAAAGAAUCAUCUAAUCAUCUUAUUAAUAAUUGAUGGUAUACUUCAAAUAUUACUCCAAAACUUGAUUAAUACACUCUCUUUAUCUAUUAAUUUGAGGAUAAAAGGCUAAAGAUAACUUUAUAUCUACCUUUAGAAUCUUAAAAAGGAUUUUCUAAAAUCUUGAUACAAAUUAGGUCCUUCUAUCUAAUGUAAUAUUCUCAAAUAAUCCAUGAUAGCAAUAGAUAUUUUAAAAAUAAAGCUUAGCUAUUUUUUUGCUUGUGAUAGAUUUUAUACAUGGUACAAAAUGUGCCAUCAUGGUUAAAUGAUUUACUAUUAAGAAUAUAUAUUCAUACAAACCUAAGAUUAAAAGAUUUGUGAUAAAAUCCAUAGCAAUAGAAGACCAUAAUUGUUCAGAUAUGGACAAUGGUUGGAGAAGUCUUUAAGGAUAAUAACAAGGAAUUUUUGACCUUGAACAAACAUCAUAUGACUUGAAAAAUUCUUUCAUUGCCUUUCACAUUUGUAGCCACCAAAAUUUAUUGGAUAUUAGUUCUAAAGUCUUGUUAUUUUUAAAAUGUUUGAUUACUGGAUAAUCAUGACAUGCUUGAAAAAUACGUAAACAUGAUUCUCCUUUGAGAAUAUAUAAGCAUCCUUUGAAAUAGAGUAGGUUGUUCUUAAACUUAAACUGAAAAGUAUUAUAAGAUUUAAAAGAAUAAUUUUUGAUAUUAUGAAUAAGAAGAUCAGAGGACAUAUUUAAUUGAAUUUAUUUGACAAAAAUUAAAUCAAUAAUCAAUGUCAAUUUUAUUACUCGAAGAUAAAAAUACUUUGGCUUCAAGAGAGUGAUUCUUUAUUAAUAAAAAGAUGUGUCUCUUUCUUUUGGUGUAAGAUAAAAAUAUCUAGAAACGAAAUCUCACAAAUAUUAUUAUUUUUUGAAUCAAUAACUGAUCUUAAAAUCAAAUCUUGACAAAAACAUGCUCCAAUGGGCUAGACAAUAAUUCAAAAUAUGUGUUGAUAUAAGAUAUUCAAGAUUAUUUUGGUCCAUAUAAAUAGUGAUUGGAUUAGAAGUGCCUUCUAGAUAAUAACACCAUUAUUGAAACAAAUUAAUAAUUUUGAGAAGUUCUUUAUUGUGAAUCUCAUAGUUGAUCUUGAUUACUAAAAAAAAAUUUUAAAUGAAAAGUUAUUGAAUAAAGUUUAUCAUCUAUUUUCAUUUUUCACAAUACAACACUCAAAGCAAAGUCCAAUGUGUCUGUUUCUAUAAAGAAUGGCUUAAAAAAGUUGAAGUAAUACAAGAUUAGUAUAGAAAUAAAAGCUAUCUUUAAAGCUUCAAAUAUUCCUUCUAUUUCUUAAUUCUAUUAAAAUUUGUCUUUAUAAAAUAAAUAUAUAAGUGGAAUUGUAACUUUAAAAAAGUCCUUAAUAAAGAUCUAAAUGUAGUUGAUAAAUUUCAAAAAAUAUUGGAUAUUUUUUACCGUUUUUGAGAUCUUUUAAUCCAUAAUAGUUUGAACUUUCUUAAGAUCCACCAUAAGUCCAUCAUAUGAAAUAAUGCAUCCUAAAAAUUUAUCUUAUAUAGUAUAAAAUACUCAUUUUUUUUUUUUUUUUUUUUUUAUCUUGGCAUAGAAUCCUGUAUCUUUUAGUUUUUGUAAUACAUAAUGAACAUAAAGUUCAUAUUCUAUUGUGUUCUUAGAAUAGAUAAAGAUGUUGCCUAGGUAAGAAACAAUAAAGUCAUCAAAAAACUUUCUAAAGACAUCAUUUAUUAGUUGUUGAAAAGCUACUAAUACAUUUGUAAGUCCAAAAAGAAUGACAUUAUAUUUAAAAUAUCUAUACCUAGAUUAAAAUGAAGUCUUCCAUUUAUCUCCUUCUUUGAUGUAUACCUAAUUAUAUGCUCUUUAUAGAUUUAUUUUUGUAUAGAUGUUAGCUUAAUUCAAUUGAUCAAAAAGUUAAAAUAUCAAAGGUAGUGGAUACUUAUUCUUGAUGGUGAUUUUAUUGAGUCAUUGAUAAUCUAUAAACAUCUAUAAUAAUCCAUCUUUUUUAAUGAAAAAUAAAAUUGAAGCUCUUAUUGGAGAUUUGGAAUAGCAUAUAAAGUUUUUGGUUACAUUUUCUUCAAUAUACUCCUUGAAUUCAGCCAAAUCAUUUUGUGAUAAACUUUAGAUUGAUUCAAACUGUAAUUGGACUUUUUUUUUAAGGUCAAUUGAGUAGUCAUAACAAUAAUGUUCCGAAAGAGUAUCUGCAUUUUUCUUCUCAAAUACAUCUUAAAAAUCUUGAUAUUAGCUUAGAAUACUACUUGAAGUCUUUUUACCAUUAAAAAUACAUGUGGUAUAAAUAAUUUAAGAUAAUUCUUCUUUAGUAGCAUGCAAGAAAGCUCUUGUACCUACAAAUAUAUAUUUAGUUUCAUUAGACUUAUAACUUUCUACUUAAUUACUUAUAUGCUUAGUUAUACUUUAAAAAAAAUUAAGACUAUAAGAAAUUCAAUCCAUUUUAGGAUUAUAUUUUUUUAGCCAUGAUAAAACUAAAGUGAUUGGAAUAGAGGAAGACUUAAUGAUAUCAAAUAUUUCAAAGCUACUAUGACCAUUAAUUUUUAUUUCUAUAGGAAGGAUUUUACAAAUAACAUCUUUUGAAGAUAAUGGACGACCAUCUAUGACUUCUCUAAGAAAAAGUUUAGUUUUCUUCACUAAAAGUGUAUUAUGUCUUUUAAUAAAUUCUUUAUCUAAGAAACACAUUAAAGCUCAUGAAUCUAAUAGGCAAGUCCCUUUGUAAUAUUUAAGUUUAAAUUUAAUAUUUAUUAUAAAACAAAAAGAAGAUUUUGAAGAGAGAAUAAGACCUUUAUUAGGUGUUGUACAAGGUUCCAACUGCAUGGUUCCUAUUUUAGUUGGACAAACUCAUUUUUUGAUAUGUAUAUAUAUAUAUAUAUAUAUGUAUAUAUAUUGAUUGUUAUACUCUUUGUUUUGUAGUUGCGUUGCUUCUUUGAACAAUGUUGAGCAGUAUGCUCAGAUUUUCCAUAAUACAAGCAUAAUCCUUCCUGGCAAUAAUGAAUCUUUUCUUAUUGAAUAAGAGGUUUGAAAUGUAGUACAUCAAUUUGAAUAUCUUCUACUUUCAAAUGUACAUGUUGAAGAGAUGUUGGUAUUGUCAUUGAACUAUAAUAAUGUUGUUGUGAUAUAAUACAACUAAUGAAUGAAAGAAAAAGAAAAGAAUAUUGAGAUUCCAUUUAUUAUAGGAUUUUUUAAGAGUUUGUUUAAGAUCUAAGAUUUGAUAAGGAUUUGGUUUUGGAUUUGAUCUAGAGUUUGCUUAGGAUUUGAUUUAGAACUUAUCUAGGAUUUAUAUAGAAUUUAGAAUUUCAUUAAGAUUUCAUUAGAAUUUAUCCUAAGAUUUGGUUAAGAUUAAAUUAGGAUUUCAAUCAGGAUUUGAUCUAAGAUUUGUUUUAGGAUUUGAUUAAGAUUCAAUAAAAAUUUUAAUUAGGAUUAUAUUAAUAUUUCUAUUUUUAGUAUUUCUUUAAGAUUCUUUUUUAUUUUUUUAAAGAUAUUUAUUUUUAGUAUUUCUUUAAUAUUAUUGUUAUUUCUUUAAAAAAAAAUUUUUAUAUUUUUUUAAGAUUUUUUUAUUAUUUUUCUUUGAAAUUAAUUUAAAACUUCUUUGUAUUUCUUUUAUAAUUUCUUUUUAAUUUAUUUUAAAAUGGUGAAAGUUUGUUUAAGAUUAUUAAGGUCUAUUUAAGAUUAUUUAAGAUUCUAUUAGACUUAAUAGAGUUAUUCUUGUAUUUUUGUUUAUCUUCCACAGUUAGGCACUUGUUACUUUCUUAAGUAAGAACCAUGUAAUAUAAGAAUGUUAUGGGACACUUGUAGAAAUUUCAGAUUGAAAUUCAAAAAGUCAAUUCUUAUACUUUAUAAUUAAAUUAAUUACUUAUCUCAAUGUUUGAAGAUCAGAUAAAUUGACCAGUAAUUUUUUUACCUCAUAUUAUAAUUUGUAAAAAAAUUGGCUAAGAAGUGCAAUAUCAUCCUACUUGAUAUCAGUUGCAAGUUGUCAAAACUAUUAACCAUAUAACAUAAUUGAUUGAUUGUCUUAUUGUAAAAUAUAGAUCUUAUUAAUUGCAAUACAAAUUGCAUCAUAUUUUUCAAACAUGGAUUAAAACUCUAUCAAAAAAGCCUCCAUGUAACAAGGUAUAUAUAAGAUAUUUAUAGUACUGACACGUAAGGAUAGAUAAUUGGAACCAUGUUUGAGAAAUUAUGGAAGUCUCUAGAAUUGGGGCUAAGUUAAUAGGCUAUGUAGGAUCCAAUGUGGAACAUUCUAAAAAGAACUUAGGGCAAUUAUCUAAGUAGUAUCUAUCAUAGAACCUUCUAAAAAGGAUUUAAGGUGAUUAUCUAAGAGAGACUCAUCAUCUAGAAAUAUUCUAAAAAUUUCAAGGUAGUAGAAUAAAGUAUAAAUAGGACUUACCAAAGUCUUUUGGGCAUCAGAUUAGGUAUGGCUUUGGACCUUUUUUUUUAGUAAAAUUUGGUUUUUCAUCUUCCUAUUCAAUUUUGUUUGUUCUAAUUUUCUUUCUUCAAUUUUACCUUUUGUUUCUUAUUUUUUUUUUAAAUUCUAUUCAAUUUUAUUUUGGUCCAUUUUAUCCUACUUUGUGAUGAGGUUUUAUGUUGAUGUAGAUUAGAAAGAUCUUAGACUCUUAAGAUAGAAUGGUCAUGUUUUAUUAAUAUUAGAGCAAGUGCUAGACUAUUCUUUGGUAGUAUGUCGAUAGUCAUCAUCUAAUUCAAGGUUAAUUUUUGUAGUUAUACUGGGUAUUAAGUUGAGGCUACCAUGAGUUAGUCUUAAAAAGUUAACUAAAAGAUGAGAAGACAUUAUAAUAGUGGAGUCUAGUGGAGAAUUACAACAUGAAAAAUAUGGUAGAAUAAUCCCAAAUGGAAGCUCAAAUACAAUACUUUUUAGCCUAGAUAACUACUUUGCAAGGGUAAAUCAAAGCCUCUAGAAUAAGAGAGUCAACAUCUAUUAGGCUGAAAUUGAAUAAGCUUUGUACAUAUUCUAGGACUUCAAGGUAAGAAGGUAUAUGUCAAUGACUCUUCAAUAUGCGACAAUACCUCUAACUAUCUAAGAUAAAUGCCACUAAAUGAAUUAUGUAUGUAACUAGUUAUUUGAGAGAUGUAGUAGCCAUUUGGCAGCAACAUCGAGUUCAAAGCUAUGAAGCUGAAGGUAGAUUUUGUGAUUAGGAGGAAUUUGAGACCAAGUUCAGAAAUCAAUUUUGAUUCAUCAAUGCAAAAAAAAUAAUACACAAUUAAUUGUCAAAUCUUACAUAAUUUAGGUUAGUGCAAGAUUAUGUUUCUUGAUUCAAGUCCAUUUAUGUCCAAAUUGGUAAUAUUUUAAAGGCGUAGAUGAUGGAUUAAUUUUUAGAAGGUUUGAAACUAAGAGUUGAAUGAGAGUUGGAAAUAAGGGAUCCACAAACAUUUGAAGAAGUAAUUAAGAUUGCAGAGAAGGUUGAUGCUAUAGAUUUUAGAAAUCAUGGAGCAUGACCUAUAGCACAAAGUCCUAUAUUAUUAUCUAAUACUAUGGCAUAACAAUCAAUGCCAAUAAAAAUUGAUGUCCUACAAGAAUCAUUGACACUACAAAGAUGAUAAAUAUUGGUACAAAAGAGAUUGUAUUUCUAUUGUUGGAAGCCAUACCACCAAAUUGGAAGUUAUCCAAAACUCCAAAAUUCAAUCACCAAAAAAAUAAGGUAGGUUUACAAUCUCAAGUCUCACUAAAUUGAUAAUAAAAUAAAGCAGGAAAAUCAGGCCUUUGAAUGAAGGCACCAAGGAUUAGUACUGGGAAUAGCUACUCUCUCUUAGAAACACAUGACAUAGCUUUAUAUAACUAUAAAAAGAAUUGACUAGUACAUCUAAUGGGACUAUUAAGAAGACAGCCAUGUUGAGUGCUUGUAGAUUGUGGUUCUAUAGAAAAUUACAUCUUAACUAAAAUUACCAAUCAACUUGGGAUUAAAACUAAGAUAAUCAAGAGAGAGAGUAUAUACCUUACAAAUGAUUGAAAGAACAUAUUAAGUGAGACAUGUAAACAAGAAAUCUUGAAGUUGACUGAUACCUAUAUCUUAGGAGAGAGGUUCAAGAUAACAAAGCUAAGAUAUGAUGUUAUCUUUAAUAUACCUUAUCUAAAGGUGAAAAAUAAGUAAGUUGAUUCAGUAGAAAAGACAAUUUUGUUUAAAGAUGGUAGACAUAAGAUAAUUGGAUAGUAAAAAUAAUCUCCUUUUAAGAUGGUGGACGUAAGGUGAUUCUUCCUACAUCUGCAUUGAAUGAAGAAGAAAAACAAUCGGCAACUAAAAACUUAUUUAUAGGGAUGAUCUUUAUAAAAAAGCAAAUACAACAUAAGCAAUUGGUAUAUAUAGUGGUUCUAAAUCUUGCAUCAAUGGUGGAAAAGACAACCAAAGGAAUAGAAUAGGCAGAGCAAUUUUUAUGAGAAUAUCAAAAUAUCUUUCUAAAUGACCUACUUUAAGGCAUGCUUCCUGAUCGAGGUGUCUCCUUUUAAAUAAAACUAGUGCUUGGAGCCAAAUUAGCAAAUCAAUCAAUUUAUUAUCUACGACCAAAUAAACUUCAAGAUAUUGAACGAACUGUUGGAAAAGGGCCUUAUUUAAAAAAACACAUCACUAUGGGAGAGCACCUAUACUCUUUGCAUCUUAGAAGGAUGGUAGACUUCAACUUUGCAUCGACUAUCUAGGCCUUAAUAAGCAGAUUGUUAAGAAUGCAUGUCUACUUCAACGCAUGGAUGAUCUUUUUGAUUGACUUUGAGAUGCAAUCAUUUUUAGCAAAUUAGAUCUUUGAAGUGGCUAUUGGUAGACAUUUAUCAUAAGAAAGGAUAUAGAAAAAAUGACAUUUUAUACACGCUAUGGAUAUUUUGAAUGGCUUUUGGCCUCAUCAAUACUCUAGCUUCUUUUAUAGGUUACAUGAAUAGAUUGUUUCAAGACCUAUUAGAUAAGUAUGUAGUUGUCUUUAUUGAAGGUAUUCUUGUAUAUAAUAAAAUUUCUAAGAAGCAUGAACAACACCUAUCAAAAAUAUUGUGUUAGCUGCAAGAUAAUUGCUUUUAUUGCAAGCAAUCAAAAUGUGAACUUUAGAAGUUAGAAGUCACCUUUUUGGAGCAUGUGGUAUCAUUCGAAGGCAUGUACAUGGAGCAAGAUAAGAUAAAAGCAAUGGAAGAUUGACUAACUCCUAAUGAUACUUUCAAAGUAUACUCAUUUUUAAGUCUUGUUGGAUAUUAUUACCAUUUUGUUCGGCAAUUUGUACAUAUUGUUAUAUCAUUGAUAAACCUAUUAGAGAAGGAUGCCCUAUUUGAAUGGAAACUAGAGCAAUAAAGCACUUUUGAUAGGUUGAAGAAGGUACUUAUUAUUGCUCUAAUAUUGCAACCAUAUGAUCCCAAUCUUUCUUGUAUACUUGACAUUGAUGCUUUCGACUUUGCUAUUGAAGCAGUCUUUCAACAAGAUUUUAAUAGGAACCUUCAACAUAGGCAUUUAAAUCAUGCAAGCUCAGAAGGACAAAGUAUAAUUACUCUACAUAUGAUCGAGAGUAAUUAGCAAUUAUACACGCCACAAAAUUAUAGUGUUACUACUUAUUGGAGAAGCUUCUAGUUGUUUGGACUAACCAUCGGUCCUUGCUAUACAAUUAGUAUCUGAAAAAUAUGAAAUCAUAAUAUAUUGUUGAAAAGAAUAGUUGUAGCUUUUUAAUAUCCAUCUUGAAUACAAGUAAGAGUAACAAUAUAAUGUGUCAAAUAACUUAUUGCGAAGACUAGACUUGAAGGCUAAAUUAAAAGACAAGGCAAAAGUCACUAACAUUAGAAGUAUCAUUUUAAACCUAACUAAAAAAAAAAAAAAUAGAAAGAAGCUAUGCAUUGAAAUGCUUAUUUUAAGAUGCUUAGUGAUUGAAUGAAGGUGGGCAAUAUACAGUAUUAAGAUUACAGUCUUAGUUAUGACUUGCUCUAUUUCAAGAAGCAAAUUUAUGUACCUGAUAAUGCUAUACUCUACAAAUAUAUACUUCAAGAAGGACAUGACAUCCCAAUAUCUAGGUAUUUAAGGCAUAAGAAGACUCUAGAAUGGAUCUCAAGGACAUGAUUUUGGAUAGAUUUGAAUUGUGAUGUUUGAGCUUUUGUGCACUUUUUCGAGUCAUAUGAAAGUAAUAAAGUAGGCAACAUGGUAUCUCUUAGAUUAUUGUACCUAAUUCCACUAUCUAUGGCAUAUUAAGGAUAGGUGAUUAUAGAUUUCAUUAUGUGUUUGUCACAGACUCUUCAUAAUGAUAUUACAAUUGUCAUUUUUAUGGAUCAAUUCUUGAAGCAACUUUAUUUGAUUAUAGUGCACUCGAAUAUUGAUGUUUUAGCACUUACACAAGUCUUUUUUAGUAUUGUCUUUUGUCACUAUGGAUUAUCUCAUGUCAUCAUUUCAAAUUGAAAUCCACACUUUAUGAGAAGUUUUUAGCAAGCCUUUUUGAAGAUAUUCGACACUUAACUUACCAUGUCUAUAGCCUUCCAUUUCCAAACAAAUAGGCAAAUAGAGUGUAUAAAUAUAACCUCAAAAAAUAUGUUGUAGGCACUUGUAAUAGUUCAUCAUAAUGACUGGAAUGUAUAUUUGAUGUCUUUAGAAUUUUUUUACAAUUAUAGUAUUUAAGCAAAUACCAAUCAUUUACUAUUUUUCUUUAACACUAGGCAACAUCUAAUUAUACCAAUAAUUCUUUAUCAUCCCAUCAACACCAACAACUUGAUAAUUGAGGAGUUUGUACAAUGACUUACAAUGAUCUUAUAAGAGGCACAACACUACCUUUUUAUUAUACAAAAUCAAUAGAAAUAGUAUGCAAAUAACCACCAACAAUACAAGAGCUUCUGAAAGGAUAAUAAAGUGUUAUUUUCUAAUACCAACUUACCACUUGCUACAUCAAUCCAAAUUCGUAAAUUAACACCUAGAUAGCUUCGACUUUUUUAUAUUUCUAUAAUAAAUUUUGAUGUUGCAUACUACCUCAGGUUUUCACCACAUAUUUGAAUCUAUCCAAGCUUCCAUAAUUUUCAAUUGAAGGAAAUUUAUAUUAAGCCAAAGUGCUUUUCGGAUCGAUACCAACUACCACCACUACUAGUUGUACUUGAUGACCAACAAGAAUAUGAAGUAGACAACAUUUUGGAGCAUCGCUAUAUUUGUAGUGGUAGUAGACAUCUACAACUUUAGUACAAAGUUCUUUAGAAAGGUUAUCCCAUCCACGAUCUUGUGUUAUAAUACGACUAUAUGGUCAAAGAUGAUAAUAUGGAUCUUAUUAUAGAAGAGCCAAGUUAAAAGAUAAAGUAAAAAAAUAUAGAUAAAAGAUAGAUAGAUAGUAAAACUUUUAGUAGUAAUGCUAUCUUUUUUAAAAAGUAACUUCUACUUACCUUGUAGGGCCAUAAAUAAGGCAAAAAAAGAAAAAAAAAGAUUGAAAAAAUAAAUGAUAUAAGUAUCUUUAGGAAGAAGUUAAGAGUAAAUUCUAGCAAAAAUUAUUUAGAAAAACUAGAUAUUGAUAUCUAAAGAAGGCCGGUUAAGAACUAGGAUCGAAAUCAGAUCCCAAGGCACAAAACUGAGUCUCAACGACAACUCUAGGACUCUUUUGAAGAUCGAGGAGUGGAAUUAGAGAACAGACCUAAUAAGAUUUCAAUGAGCAUUGGUUUUGGGUGAUUUGGAUUUGUAUUGACUUUGUAAGAGCUUUGCAAAGUCAAGGUUUGUUUUGGAUGACUUCGAUUUUGUGAAAAAAAAUAGGGUUUAUAUUUUAGGUGAUUUCAAGAGUUUUGUAAUAGAUCUAUGAGUGAAAUUUUGUUGGUUAAUGGUUAUAGUUGUGUUCAAUAUAUGUUAUGAAUUUGAGCUCGAUCUAAUAGUUGAAUUAAGGAUUAUUGAGGUUUAAGUGAGUCAAGGUCUCAGAAAGUAGAAUUUUAGGUCUAAUGAGGGUUUUAAAGAUUUUUUGCAAUCUACUAGUUGGAUUGGAGUGAAAUUUAUAUGAGAGGAUAUUAAACUUGUUUUCCUAUAUUUAUGAGAAUUUUUAGAUCAAUUGAACGGUGAAAAGGAGAGAUAUUGGCUCUGGAAGAUUGAUAUCAAGGUUAGAAAAGGAGGCGAGCCAAUACCUGAGCACGUUUUUGAGGAUAUCGACUAUUUGGUAAUUUCAAUCCUUUUCAAAAAUUUUGUGCUUGUUUUCAACUUAGUUUUUAAGAAGUUUGCAAAAUUUGAGUUAAGAUCAACAGUUCAUUCAUUAGUUAUUGAGGUUUAAUUCUAUCAUAGAAAUUAUUAGAGUUUGGUUAGGGUUUGGUUAGGGUUUGAUUUAGGAUUAGGAUUUGGUUAGAGUUUAGUUAGGAUUUGAUUAGGAUUUGGUUAGAGUUUGGUUAAGAUUUGAUUAGGAUUUGAUUUGAGAUUAGGAUUUGGUUAGAGUUUGGUUAGGAUUUGAUUUAAGAUUAAGGUUUGGUUUAGGGUUUAGAUUAGGAUUUGGUUAGGAUUUGAUUUAGGACUAGGAUUUGAUUAGAGUUUGAUUUAGGAUUUAGGAUUUGAUUUAGGACUAGGAUUUGAUUAGAAUUUGAUUUAGAAUUUAGGAUUUGAUUUAGGAUUUAGGGUUUGAUUUAGAGUUUAAGGUUUGGUUAGGAUUUGAUGAGGAUUUGAUUUAAAUUUUAGAAUUUUAUUUGAAUUUGUUUAGGAUUUAAGAUUUAGUUAGUUUUUGGCUUAAAAUUUGAAUGAAGUCCAAUAAGAUUUCAACUAGGAUUAAAUUAAGAUUGAAUUGAGAUGUAUUUGAGAUAUGUUUGUAAUCAUUCAAAUAUUUCUUUAAGAUUUUUUAUUAUUUCUUUGGAAUUCCUUUGAGGUUUUUUUGAAUUUGAUUAAAGCUUAUUUAGCAUUAUUAGUGUUCUAUUAGAAUUAAGAUUUUGUUGUUGCAAUUUCUAUUUUACCUUCUACAUCCAGGUGUCCAGAGCAUUCUCAUGUAAGACUUUACGUAGUACGACAACGAUGCAUUGUAGGAACCUACAUAGAACCUCAUCCAUUGCCAAGAGAUAAUUUGGAGAUACCAUCGAGAGCAAAGCAAGGACAUUUUGUAUUAGUAGAGGAAGUUUAACUAUAAUAUGAUAAAGAUAACAUAUUUGUAUUGUUGACAAAUAGGGAUAGAUAGUUAGAACCAUCUUUAAGAAGUUAUGGAAGUCUCUAGAAUUAUAGCUAAGUUAGUAGACUAUAUAGGAUCCAUUGUGGAACAUUCUAAAAAGAACUUAAGGUAGUUAUUUAAGUGGAACCUAUCAUGAAACCUCCUAAAAAAGACUUAGGAUGGUUAUUUAAAUGGAGCCUACCAUAGAACUUUUUAGAAAGAGGUUAGGGCAGUUAUUUAAGUAAAAUCCAUUGAUAUACCAAUGAAUCUAACUUUUUUCAAAAAAAUAUGACAAAAUAAAAGUAAAGAAAUAUGUAUAUUAAAAAGAAACUAAAAUGGCUAUUGCCAAAAGAAAAGAAAACUAAAGACUCUUGAAUCUAGACUAGAGUAAGUAAAGAAUUGACAAGAGUGAAGAAGGCUUCACUCUUGCCUAUAUAUAUAUUAUCUACCUAAGAAUCAUAUAGUGAUGUUCUAUAGGACCUACAAUAUGUGUUGAUUUUGUAAGCCAUAUGUCUUAACUUAUAAGGCAAGUUUUCUAUGUGUAUGCUAUAUAGUUAGCUUGUUCUAUAAGCUAUCAACAUGUGUGACAUGUGUCCAACUUGUUGACUAGAUUUUUAAUCUAAAUGUCAACUAUAAAUACAUAUAAAGUUAAAAUCGUAUCUAUAAAGCUUCUAAAAAGCUUAUUUAGAAGAUAUUAUAAAAUUAAUCUACUUCUAUCUAUUUUUACUUACUUCUAUUUCUAUUUUCAUAUAGAUAAUUACUAGAAUAAAUAUAAAUAUCCUUGAGAGUAUGUCUAUGACUCUACACAAAUGAUUAUACCCAAGGUUGAAGCUUGAUAGUGUCUUAGUUUCAUUUAAAGAACAUAUGAAGACUUUAAUGGAUUAUUUUGGAAUUACUUUGUAUUUGUUUUAAAAGAGUAAUAUUCUUUUAAUUGGAUGUCUUCAAAUUUGAAUAAAAGCCCGAAGUGAAUUAAUAUUACACUAACUUAUUAGCCAGGUUUUCAACCUAUCAAUCACUUAUAAAUAUAUAUUAAGGUGAAAUCUCAUCUAUAAAGCUCUUAAAAAGCUUCUCUACAAGAUAUUCUUAAAUUUAUUUACUUUUAUCUAUUUCUACCUAUUCAUAUUAUCUACAUAAUUAUUAGAAUAAAUAUGUAUAGUCAAGAUAAUAUCAUGAGUUGUAUCAAACUAGCAAAUAAUAUAGUUAUGCAUGCAAGAAAAAAUAUAUAGAAUUACAACAUCAUUAUGUAAGAGAAAAGUUAUAAGAUGGAACUAUAGAAGUGAAAUUUAUUCUCAAUAAAUAUCAAUAAGGUGACAUCUUGAUAAAAUCUCUUAAGAGAUUUUAUUUUCAGCAAAAUUAUAAAAUAGGAGGAUUAUUACAAAUCCCAUACAAAAAAGAAAUAGAAUAUUGUGCAGAUACUAAAAUUAAGAAAGACUUGAAGAUGAAGAAAUUUCAAGAUAGCAUUGUGCUUCACGCAAAGUUUUAAAACCUCUUAAAUUAAUAUGAAAGAAAUAAUUUAUUUUGGCUUCAUAUGCUGACUAAGACAUAUAAAUACCUAGGUGCAUAUCGUGUUAAAUUGCAUAAUCAGUAGGAACAUCCUCACUAUUGGCCAAGGAUUAAUCUCUAUUUAUUGUUGUGUAUUAACUGAAUGAAUUUGGAAGCAAAUUUCCAAUGAAACUCGUGGAUGAAGUUCAUCCUCGGGUUGCUUAUUAAGCCCUAUCGGCAUUCCAGGGCCUAGAGCCUAAGUUGCAGCUCAAGCUCUCGACUAGGCCUUCAAGCCCUAAUUCGACGACGUGAUCGUCGUCACAAUGCGGCGUUGUGGGUACGAAACGCAGCGAUGCAUGGACGAUUAGCUUGCGGCGACGCCAUGAUCCACGAGCACAAUUCAUCGUCGAUACAGACGAGGAGUUGUCGAUGCUUAGCCUGCGUCCACUUUGCAUCUUCUGGGUUCAAAUUCACAGAGCCCUUUCGGUCUCCAAGCUUAGCUAUAAUCGAUGGUGUACACGCACAAGGAAUUAGUGGACCACGUGAGCUCCUUGCACCGCUGGCUCAUCAAGCUCAGCACCACAUUCGAUGUUGUGGCGAUGGCGUAUCGGUAGCCGUCGGUGAAGACGGUGGGCAGCUCGGGUGAGACGUGGGUCCAUGUCCCGUUGGCAGAUUUCGUCACUGGUUGAUGAAGCCUGCGUUUGACAGGAGAAUAGGAGAUGUCCCACGUUAGCUUCAAAAUGGUUCAAUGAAGGUAUGGUGUUCUCUCUCUCUCUCUCUCUCUCUCUCUCUCUCUGUGUGUGUCUGUGUGUACGAUUAUUUCAUCAGAAGCGUGAUUCAGGAUUUUGAAUUGGAAACAUUGUUGCGAGAGACUAUCUUGUGGAAAUUGAAAAAAGGAAUGGGACCUCAGUCGACCAUUAGUUGGGGCUCACCAGUCGGAGUUGCCUCUUACAAACACGUAAGGGAUCUUGGACUUGGUAGCGUUGAGGGCGUUAUAUGCGUCGAUAGCUUGAGCUACACCAACAGCCUCCAUGGCAGACCUGUAUAACGUUUUCAGAGCAUGAAUAGAAUGUGGAUGCGCACAUUUCCUGUCGGUUCGAAGAUUAAUUUGCAGUUCGUAACCAAUGGAUUGCAGAUCACUUGAACCGUUUCAAAACCUAACUGAUUCCUUUCUAGUUAUCCUGCCAUGAACAGUAAAAUGGCGUUUCUUCUAAAAAUAUUAUAGACUAGUUCGAGGCUCUGUUUGAAAGCCGCUCUACUCAACAUCCUCUUCAGGUUGGGUACCAAUUCUUAUCAUGGCGUAUCAUGUGGUUUACCGAACUCUCUACGACUCAGCGAGAGAACAACGUUUGGUGUGAGUUUGUGUACUCACACUGCAACAACGUCCUUCGGAGUGACUGAGGAAUUGAAAGCCUGGUUGAUGGUGAGUGCUGUGUAGUUCCUUGCCGUGAUCUCCCACGGCACUCCCGAGUAGAAAAACUGCGAAUCCACCUCCACACAUUGCCUGUAAUCAUACACAGUCGGAGUCUUUUUGGAGUUCAAGUUAUAUGUUCUGUUCGUACUGGCGCUGAUGUACGCGAAGUACUCCUGCUCAUACUCCUGCAAUACCGGAAUGGAGCGAUUUCAAGCAUCGUUUUUUCAACUGCCCGUCAGAUAUAUUCCACAAUGAGCUCAUCUUGCUUUCAGGAAGCAAAACGUGUAUGAAAGUAGAGAAAGGGGUUUUUAGUGAUAAUAUUCGAUGGCAAUCGAAUCAAUUUACCUGAAGAAAGGUGUUUCGCAGGGGCGCUUGCCUGAUACUGCUGGAUGUUAUGGAAGCUGCGAGGAUCUCAUCCGCCAAAGCCAGGCUUCCUGCUGUGUGGGUAUCGAAGAUGCAGUCACCGUAGAGGUAAGCGGCGGUGGGCCCAUUAAUCUCUUCAGGGCUGAAGCACAAGUCCGGGUAACCCUUCGCUUGGCCGAUCCAAUCCGCAAGCUUGCAGUUCCAGUUCAUAGACAUGGGAGUCACGCACACAUCGCCGAGACGCGUGAUCUGCAAAGUAGUAGCGGAUCAAUUGAAGAGUUAUUCUUAAAAUCUAAUUUAAAAAAAGUAAAAACAAGAGAAAAAAAAAACAAAAAAACCCAAGCUCAUUAAUCUCGACACAUUAAAAGUCGAUUUCCUGGUGCUGACAACUAUAGUUUCCCACACAUACUUUGUGCGUCGGGUUGGCCUUCUCGCAAUUGUCAGGGUUCAAUAUACCACCCACAGCAGCAGACCAGCCAGAUGUCCCCACGUAAAUUAGCUCCUUAAAUCUCGAUCCGAGGCACUUCGCGAGGUCGAUGGCGCACAAGGCAGCUGUUGUUGGACCAAUGCCUGCAACCAAUCAAUCGUAAACUGACGUUAACAGCAGUGCGGGUAUUUGCGUGUCGUUGGAGAUUUGCGAUGGACUGAAGGAGGUCAUGAAUUCCUAUGCGCACCAGAGGUUGCAACAAUAGUGGGUUGGCCCAUCAACUUUCCCACAGUGACACGAGGGCACAGCAAUGAGCCCCUAGGAAUGUACACCGGAUUCUGCAACGACUCCUCGAAGUGGACAGCUUCUGGAACUCCCGAGAAUUCGCCAGGGUCAGCGACCAUGAGCACCGUGUAUCCCUCUGCUCCGCUGAGUUCAUCCAAGCAUGCUUUGGUCCUUGUCAGGCUGCAACUGUUUAUCCACGUACAAAAAGCACAACAUCAGCUUACGGUCCCAUCCAGAGGUGUAUCCAUUGGUCACCAAUUUGUGGAGUUAAUCUCAGCAAAGCACAGGAACAGAAUUCAAUGGCCGAGACUCCGAUUUUCGUUACCACGUCGAGCGCAAUCUAGCAGUGAGCAACAGUAGCAGCAGCGGCAGCAGUCCUUUCGCCAUCUUUCCUCCUGGGUGGGUACAUGAACUAAGUGAGAAAAACUGGGAAAAUUUCAGCGGGACCAGAGGCAGAAACGAAGCCAAAAUCCAGGAUAGGAAAAGUUCUGAGGGUAUAUAAAUAAACAAAUUACAAUUAGAAGACUGAAGUGAUCAUUGGAAGGCUAAAAAUAACAAUUAACGGGGAUUAAUUUAGAGGCGGAACUUGUCUGCACGACUCUGUCGAACAACGAAAAAUCACGCGAAGUGUCACCAAAACUUAUACAUGAAGUAGACUGCUUUAAAUGCUCGUGUUUUCUGUCAAAGCAGACAACUGCGCAUGGGGGCAUCACAAGGAAAUAGAAAAGAAAAAGAGUUCAAUCGUCUCCCAGCUUGGCAUUCCAGGAUUACAAACUAAGGCAAGAGGACAAGACACGAGUUUUCACGCUGAAAACUAAUUUGGUGCAAAGGUUUUGCCAUCACUAAAUUCCGACAGAGAAAAGGUUACCUCGCUUCAGACCAACUUAGACUUCUGAGCUCCGGAAAACAAAAGGGUCCCUGCAGCACCACAAUUAAUCGAAGCAAGAAUGUAAAUUUGCAACCAACAUGAGCAGUACAUCGGUGUUCCAAAGUGUUUCCAAACACUGUGAUCCACUCCCAGCCGAUCGUAUUGACGUCUAACUGCAGCCUUGGAAGGUCCGACUUAUCCCCAUGCGCAACGCAUGGUAGCAGCUAAACUAUCCGUAUCUCCACAGCCAAUUUCCUUUUACGACAGGUCCCUGUCCCUCUACCGUCUGAGCAACCGAUUGCUUUUGUUUGCCGCACAUGACUACUGCAAUAAGUUGAACUUCCACUUGGAAUUAACAACCUCCUUCAUCAAACGCUUCCGCACCCGGCUUCCACCGAAGUCCCGGAAUGAGUCUUGACACAUGGCGCCAAAAAAGUCAAACCAGUCGCAACCAAUCAUACGUUGUUAAACGAGGAUCAACACCAAGAAUACAAUAUAAUAUGCCAUCACCAUACCAACCGGCGACUACCAAGCAGAUGGCAGCACCCGAGAAGCCGCAGAGGAAGCUCAUUCGGGUUACAACUGGUGACCACAAGUGAACCUGUCGGAGCUAGUCAGAGAGAGGACAAAACUCAACAUUAAAGAAGAUGCAGUGGGGUCCGCAAGCUCAUAGUCACGCCACCGGAUAGGCCACGAUGGAAAAGUGAGCAAUUUUUUUCAGAAACUUGGUCAGAGCUGUACAGAAAGAGGCAACUCCACGCUACGCUGACGACUCUGUGGGUGGCGGUGAAUCGCACCCUACCGCGUGCAGCAGCAUUCUUUAAGUGUGUCCCAGCGUGGGAUACGCAUGUGACAGGGUUCCAACCACCUUGCAAUGGCCUCGUGCUUGCGGCAUCGCAACCGAGGGACAUGAUGCAGAACCAGAUGUGGGUUCCUGCGAUUCGACCUCGCAGUGUGCGGCCCUUGAGCUCGCGGUCCAUGUAGUAGUCGUCGUCGUCACGCACGGUUGUUGCUGCUGUUGUCGGUUUGUGUUUCCUGUUAGUUGUUGGGCUUGUGCGAGCUUCACGUGCCCCCUCACUCUUGUUUAUGUUUAGAGAAUUGUUGAAAUCUACAUCCCCCAAAUUGAAAUAGCUACACCCCACGUGAUCUCCUCGUAGAAAAUUGUCCAAUUUAAAAUUAUAUUUUAUAUUUUUGUUUUUUAUUCAUUCUUUAUUAACAUUUUUUUGGUUGCCAAAAACACAAAAAAACUCAUUUUUUCCAAUUUUAGAUUUAUAGAUCAAAAUUGGGAUGCCAAACUCGCCCUAAACGUAGAAACGUGCUUUUUAAUUGUAGAAACUUGCUUUUUAAUCAAUUAAAAUUCUGUAGAGGUCAUGUCAGAUGUAGCAAUAUCAAUUCGAAAUCUAACGUUAACAAUUAUAUAUAUAUAUAUAUAUAUAUAUCUGAAGGUGUGUCUUUGUGUGGGUGUUUGUAUGGUAGUUGUAGAUUCUGGUUUUGAUGUUCUAUGUACAAAUAUGAUUUGAAAUUGUUUUAUUUUUUAUUAUUUUGGGUUGCGUGCAAUGAAAUGAAUACUAUUUUUUUUUAGAGAUAUGGGUAUCUUUUCUUGUACUUUGCACAUAAUGAGCCUGGCUUUGAGCUUGGAGUGAUGGAGCCCACCAUUUUUAAUAAUUUUGUUUUCUUCCAUGCUUGGUGGGAUGGGUGCUUGCCAUGUGACAAACCUAGUUUGUAGGAUAAUUGUUUGGUGAUUGUUAGUGAUCUUGUAAUUAUGGAGAUUGGAGGACACACCAACUAUUCAUGUUUGUGUGUCCAAGUCUACAUGUAACUCUUUUGUGAUUGAACAACCAUGUGUAGGACAAUUGCCCAUGACUAUUUUGGUUUGAUUUUUUAAAAUUUUAAACUGACCUUGUGAAGAUGUUUUUAAGGAUUUUAUUUUAUUUUAUGGUUUAGUUUGAUGAGAAUUAUGUAAAGCUAAUUAAUUUUAAUAAAUGGUGUGAAUUGUUGCUAACUGAAGCGACUGAGAGUCGGUUUGUUCUCAGAACUAUUCUGAAAUCUGGAAAAACUGCGAAGAGUGAGAAGUUGAGUGAGAAAACUCUUCGCAGUUCUGAGAAUAGACAAAUUUGCUUGUCUCAGCAAAAUGCAGCUUCAGAUGUGGAAAGAAAUCAAAUGGGUGCGAGAUAACGUGACAUAGUUUGAAGUGCGUUCGUUCAAUUUCAUCACUUUCAAGCUUCUUGAGUCUGCUUGUGCAAAAUGCCCAAUGUUAAGAGAUUGUGAGCUUCAGCUCAAGAUCAGGUGAGGAAGAUCUUCAGAAGUACCAUGCAUUUGUUGCUUCCGACUAAGUGUGAAGCAAUGCUCUUGGAUUUGAAUAGGAAAGUUGAAAAUCGAAUAUGGAAAGAGGUAGUCUGCGAAAGCUGUCAAUGGACAAGUGAUCAAACCUGAAACCUGUGAAAUUUCAACAGUCAUUUGUAUCACAAGCCCCAUAAGACAAGAAAAAGUUGUCACAUGUACAUCCAGCAUGUGAGAAUCGAUAGUUGCUGCUCAUUUUUUUGAAACAUUGUAUAGACAAAUAGCUACCCUAAAAUGGCUGCACGGAACACAUUUUGUAAUGCUUUUGAGUGCACCUAAUGGUACAGAACAGUAAGAAACCCUGAAUAUUUGCAUCACAAUGUCUCUGCUUCGAAACAAAUGUCGUUAAUGAUACAGCUGAGUUAGUCGAUUGGUGAUCCGACUCAUCAAAUAAAAAAAUUAAGUGUAAUUACUCCCUUAAAAUGGUAUUGUCUCGUAGCCUCUUGUUGCACCUUUUCAGAGGCAACCCUCAGUCAACGAGAAGUUUCCAAUGACGUUGAUUAAGAGCUGCAAAAUUACUUGUGAACAUGAAGAAAAUAAGCCAGGUGGGACUUUCUUCAAGGAGUAAGUGAGUUCAAUUACCCCGAUUGACAUUGCAGACGCAUACCUCACAGCGUCAUAGACCUGGAUUAUCUCGCAAUGUCCUCAAACUCUACAAAUUUCAUUACUUAACAUUUAAAAAGUCAUCGACUAUGAAGCGGAAUGGCAUGAAUGAUUUGAAUAUUCUCGAUUAAUCCACUUGCAGACAACAGGAUGAAGAAUUCAGUGGAGAACCUCACGAACCAAGCAGUUGCAAAUCUUUUUGAUGCUAAGUAAGAGCUGUAAUAGACAUUGAUUAUGUUCAGUCAUCACUAUUCAAGGUUCAGCAUGAACUCCAAUUUAGGUGACGGCAGAAGAGGAGGGUAAUCAGGAGUAUAAUAGCUCCAACAGUUCUGUACUCGGGGGUUGAAGACAGCAACACCAAGAAACCUGCCAUGAGCGAGAUUGCAGUGCUUGUGAAAUUGCUUACGAAUCAAAAUACAAAAAAUUGAGUAAGAAUGUGUUAGCUCAUUGAUAGGGUAGACUUGUCAUGGUUGGAGCAUAAAAGUGGGAGACCAUGAAGAUGUGAAAUAAAAUUACUCAACUUCUCUAAUUUACACAGGCUUCAAAUUGUAUUGACCCACCUUAUUGAAUUUCUUCAUAAUCUUCCAACUGAAUUCGUUUGUAGGAAUGAACGACUAAAAUUGCUCUGUAAACAGAGUCAUCGAUCGGGUGCAAAGAUUAUGUUCUUCUCAGAACUGCAGCUGGCAAGAUGAUGGGGCAUUGGGAGAACUCUAUAUACACAGCCUUCAGCGUCUUCUCGAGCUUUAGACCUUUUUUCAUAACCCAAGCUCAUGUCAAUGAUAUCCUGGGUGAUGCUAGACCUCUUCUCUUCGUCGUCUUUUGCCUUCAGUCAUAGGAUGGGUAGGGGACUACCACCAACCUAGUUCAAAACAUGAGACUAAGUGGAGAAAGUUACUCCGCUACAGAGACACUUUUGUCAAGAUGCAUGUGCUUGUGGACCAGGGAUAAGUUUUGGCUGCUUGUCUUCAGCUGAGGUCGUGGCUUCAUUUGGGACUUCUAACACGUUCACUUUCUCCGAGGAACUGUUGAUUGCAAGAGUCGGCAAAAGUGAAGAUAUCAUGGUCGAGCACCAGUCAAUAAUUUCAAUAUCCUGAAUCUCCAAGUAAAAGUUUAUUACAAGUUUCCAUCUUGUCACGAACUGCUAGCAAAGGCUUCUUUGCUUGCUCAUAACUUCUACUUAAGCUGGGAUGUGUUCGAAUUGCGGAAUUGGUGUUCUUGUUGCAUUGUAAUGACUUUCAAGAGCGGAUUUUGGUGGCCAAUUGCUACUUCAGUAGAAAAUUGGUUAGCAAUGCCCUUAGACUAUCAGGGCUAUGCAAUUUUGGCCUAAUCCAAUGCAUUAGCUAUUAAAGAGAUUCAGACUUGAGGUAUUUGCAAAACCAAAUAAUUGGAGGUUGAUUAGUGAUAUUUUCAAGAUCACUUGAAGUAUCAAAUCCAAAAUAUCAUUGUUCAAACUUCAUUACCAUCUUUAAGUUUUUGAUCUAUCACUUAAUAUUUUCGUAAUUUGAAAAAUUCAAAGAGUUGUGUGGUAUAGAAUCAAAGAAGGAAGAGAGUUAAAGCAAGUGAUACAGUUUUUGAUAUUUCACCCACCUUUCUUUUGAUAUUUUGAUUUCAAAAUCAUAUAUCUUACAAGGUGAGUGAUUUGGUGAAAUAUCAUUAGAUACUUCAAGAUGUCAUUAUGGAUAAAAUAUUAUCCAAAAAGGCCAAGUCUAAAUUUUCUUAUUGAAUUGACCAUCAGUCAUUGAAGUGGUUGAUGGUAAGCAAUAUAUUGACUAGCAAGCAUGUCAAUUGAACUCUCACCUUCUAAGAAUAUAACUUCAAUACUAUGUCAAAGAUAGGAAUGACGAAUAUGAAUGAAGAUUAACUCAUUAUGAACUCAAACCUUGAAUUGAAAGACAUCAUAAAUUGGUAAAAUGACUGGAUUAAACCAUUAAUUAAGUAUUUAGUAAUGUUGGUGGUGGCCUAUCUAGCAUUAAUUUUAGGGACCAAAACAAUCUCAUGCUGUCAUUGAAAAUAGUGACAAUGGAAAGAUCUAGAGUUGAAAUAUGCAACAAAAUCCUACAAAUUAUUUGUCAAAGACAAAUAAGACUAUUUCUCUCUACUUUUGCAUUACACAUUUUAUUUUAAUUUAUUUAAUGAGAAUUAAUCUCUAAAAUACUUUGACUUAGUGUUAGUUUUUUUCAUAUGAGUAAUUUAUUUUUUAUAAUAAAUCUCAAUAGUAAUCUUCAUAAUAAACAUCAAUCUAUAACCAAUUUUUAUUUUUAAUAAAAUAUUAUUAAAAAUCUAUUUAUAUAUAUAUGUAUAUAUAUAUUAGAAUUUUUUAUCCUUAGAAUUUUAAAGAUGUAAGCUAUGAAAAUAUUUACAUUUUCUAUAUUGAUAUCAAGAUUAGAAACAAUAAUCAUUUUUACAAUUAUAUGAUUAAAAAUAAACCGAAUUUUAGUUUAUUAGAAGUAUAAAAUAUUAUACUGAUAUUUAUAUAAUAAUAGAAAUUAUAUUUGUUUGUUUUUUUGUACAAUAAUGUUUUUUAGUAUAUAUAUAUAUAUAUAUAUAUAUAUCAUAUUUACAAGAUGAAACUUUAAAAUUAGACUUAUAACAUGUAGGACUAGUUUUAAAAUAAAAUAUUGUACUAUAAUUUUUAAUCCCUAUUUAAGAACUUUAAAAAAAAAUCUUUAAUCUUAUUAUCUACUUCACGUUCUUUGGUCUUCUUAUUAUAGUCAUCUAUUUGAAUGGUUAAGUUUUGAAAAUAAUUCAUCAUACAUAUCUAAAUUAAAUAUAAAAGACUUUAUUUUUUUAAUAUUAAUUUAUUUACUAAUUUUUAGUAUAAUAUCUUGAAAAAAUAAUAAAUAUUUUAAAUAAAUAUAUAGGUAUAUUAUUAUUUUCUAUGUUUUUUAGUAAAAUAUUUUAUAUAUAUAAAUAUUUAGUUUUAUAACUUUAUAGUUUUUGCUAAUGUCUACUAUAAGUUAUUAUUAAACCUCUUAUUAAAAAAUAAGUUAUACAAGUCAAAGAAAUAAAUAUAACUAUGUUAGAUGGAAAAAAUAGUUAUAUUAUUCUUAAAAGAUUAUCUUUUAUAAAUAUUCUAAAUAUAAACUAUACUAUCAUAUAUAAAUUUAAUUAAUAGUAUUUUUUAUGCCAUAAUUAUCUUAAUAUAAUUUGUAUAUAUUUUUUUAGUUAUGUAUUGUGAAUAAUGUUUUUUCCUCUAGAUUUUUAUGUAAUAGUAUUAUUUUAAUAUAUUAGACCAAUAGAAUUUGUAUGGUAUUGACUUUUCUCUUUUAUAUAAAAUAUUAAUUGGACAUAUUUUUUAUGUUAAGUAAGAAGUUUUAGAUAAUAAUAAUAAAGUUUUUGAGUCAAUCUUUAUGCUAUUUAUUAUUAAUAAUCAUAAAAUUAGACUCUAAAGUCUAAUAGAUAAAAUGUUAUAAAAGUUGCAAUAGUAGUUAUGGCUACAUGUCUUAUAUCUAAGUGAUCAACUAAUUUAUGUAUUCAACAUUUAUUUGUAUAAAAAAUCAUAUUAAAGGUUGAAUUAGGAAUUGAAUAUUUUUUUUUUUAAUAAAAAUGAUGUAAAAGAGUCUUUUUCAACAAAUCUCUUUGCUUGCUUAUAUUUAAUAUUUAAUAUUUAAUAUUUAUCUAACUUGUAUAAUUUUCUUAUAAAGAAGUUUUAAAUUAGCAUAAUUCUUGAAAGUCAAUAAUCAAUUAUAUUUGUAUAAUAGAAAUAAUACAUAUUAACAUCUAUAAGAUUCUAUAAUAUUAAUAUUUAUAAAUGUGUAGAUAAAAUAAAAAUAUAAAUAAGCUUUACAGAUUUAAUAAAUAAAUAAAAAUUGUUACUUAUAUAAGAUAUAAAAGAAGGACAUCUACUAUCAAGAAUAAUAUAUAACUAUAUUUUGGUACUUAUUAUGCAUACAACAUAUGCAAUAUAGAAUGAAUAUUGUGAAUGUUAGAAGUAAGAAAGGUGCAUAUACAAUGUAAAUAAAGAUUGUGAAAUGGAUGUGCAAAUAAUCAUUUUGUAGUUGUUAAAAAAUGUCUAUGUGAUUCUACAUUGAUUUAAGGCUUAGAAUGUAUUGACUUUUAUUUGACCAAAUUAUAUUGUGAUAAAGGUUCUAAGAAAAUAACCAAUUCCCAUAUUUAUGUUUGCAAUUUGAACUAUCUUAUUAAAGAUAGUUAAAAAAAAAAAAAUACAAUCAUUGUAAUCAAAUCAAGGAAGUUAAUAAGUAAUUGUAUAUUUGAGAAUUUUGAUGCCAUAUAUUCAAAGAUUGUAAUAGAGCCUAUUGAAUGGUUUUUUAGAUAGUUAUUUUUUAGAAAAAAUAAUAAAAAAAUAAAAAAUUUAAUUUUUAGAUAUAAAGUUAUUCUUUGUUGUGUGCAAAUUAUUUUAGAUAUUCAUCUUGUUGAAGUUUCACCACUUAGUAUUGCUACUUAAAGUACUCUCAAAACUUGACUUUAUUAAAAUAAUUAUAAAUUUGAUCAAAUCAAGUAAUCAUGUGUAUAUAUUAAAGGUAAAAAAUUCUUUAGAUAAGAAAAAUAAAAAAUCUUUAUAUUGAAGAUAAUAAAAGCAUGUCAAGGAUUUGGUUUUUAAAUGCAACCAAGAAGAGGUUUUUAAGAUUAAUAAAUAAUAUUUGACCAUGUCAAAUAUAUAAAAUAUUUGGAUAACUAUAGCAUAGCUUAUUUACAAAUUGGACUAUUACAAGAUCUAGACUUUUGUAGUUUGUAACAUAGAAUUGGUACAUGUAAAUAAAUAAUAUUUAUAAUAAUACUUAUUGAGUGUUAUGAUACAAGUUUGAGAUAAAAAUUUGUAUAAUUGACUUUUAAAUUCUACCUAAGAUUUUUUUAAAAAAUAUAUAUCUAAUAAAAUUAUAAAUUUUUUUAUAAAAUUUAUCUAUUUGAUGGCUUUUACAACAAAAAAUCGUGUUCUUAACAUCCCAACUAUAUUAAUUUUAUAAUUAAUGUGUAAACUUGAAUGGUAAGUAUUUAUAAUUAAUGUAAUAUGCACUAUUUAUUGAAUAGGACUCUUUGGUUGUUUUAUUGGCUAUAAAUUAAGUCUGUGUGUAAUGCCCAUUAUAGUUAGCAAAAAAUUCAUCUAUAAUUUGUAUAUACUAUAGAGUAUUUAUUAUUUUAAAUAUUUUUUUUAUUAAAGUGUAUUAUUAACUAAUGUAAUAUAAAAUAUAAAUUAAGAACUUAUAUUUCAAAGGCAUUUUAUAAAUAGUAUGAUACACACUAAUUAUAGAUAAGAAUAUAAUACCAUCUUAAUUCUAUAAUAAGGCCUUCAAUGCCAAGUAAAUCUAACUUAAAGUUGCUUCAAGAAGGUGCAUAUCUACUACAUUGCAAAUAAAAAAGACAAUUCGACUAGUUAUUGAAGUUUUAAACUUUUUAAAUCUUUUUUGUUUUAAGCUUCAACAUAAUUUUUUUAAUACAUAAAUUGAUGAAUGUUUGAUAGUCAAUGCUAAUUGUAUUGUUGUUAUAGAUUACAACAUUUUAAUAGAGGCGAAAUUCUAAUAAAAUAUAAGAUUUCAAAUAAUGAAUUAUUAUAGAUUAUUUGUUUUGAUCAUUAAAAAAACUUUAAUACUAAUUUAUAUAAAAAAGUUUAAAUUAUUAUUUUUUUAAAUUAUUGAAACUACAAUAUUAAAUUUAUGCACUUAUUUAUUUUAUGCUAAGUCAGAGAUAUAAUAUUUUUUGCUUCUUUAGAUAAUAUUAUAAAACUUGAGUGCUCUUCUAUUCUAAAAAAUUAUCUAAAGAUAUAAGAUUUUUUAAUUCUUUUUGUAAUAAUAUCAAAAUUGAAUAUCCACUUAUAUCAAUAUUUUUAAAAGAUAUAAGAUCUCUUAAUUCUUUCGAUAAUGAUAUCAAUAUCAAGUGCUUAUUCUCAAUAAGUUUUGUUAAAAAAAAUAUAUUUUUUUAAUUCACAAAGAAGUAAUAUCAAAUUUAAGCAUCUAAGAAUGUUAAAUUCUAUUAUAGAAAUUAAAUUACCUAUUUUAUUUGAAAAUGUUAUCAAACUUAAGCAUCAAUUCAUAUUAAGGUUUUUCAAAUAAAUAAAAAAUUUCAAUCCAUAUUGAUUUUAAAUCAUUUCCAAAUUUUUUAAUUUUAAAAUUAAUCAAAGAUUAUUCUUAAAAUAUUUUAAAAUUUGUAGUCAUUGUUUGAUUCAGCUAUAUCCAAAUCUUUUCUUUAUUCUAACCAUAAUAAAGAUUUUUUUAAAAAAAUUGAUUUUUUUAAUCUUGUAAUUACUCAUGCAUCAUUCUAAUUCUAUUAUUUUUUACUUUUACUAAUAAUUUAUGAUUAAAUUUAUCCAUUAUAAGAUUUGUAUCUUGAUCUAUAGAAUUUUUUUUAUUACUAAUAUACAUGUAUGAUGCUCUUUCUUUCAAUGUGCAAUGUAGACACACAUUACGACAAAAAUAACAACACAUAUUUAAAAGUAUAUAUAUUUUUUUAUUUUAAAAUAAAUCAAAGAUUAUUUUUAAAAUAUUCUAAAAUUUAUAGUCAUUCUUUGAUUCAGCUAUAUCCAAAAAAAUUCUUCAUUUUAACCAUAAUAAAGCUUUUUUUAAAAAAAAUUGAUUUUUUUUCUCUUAAAAAUAUAUCUAAAAGUAUUGAGCUCAAAAAAAGUCCAUUGUAAGCUUGAGCAAUCUUUUUUUUAUUAUAAAUAAUUUUUUAAGCAAUUCUACUUAAUAUCUAUAAGAAUAAUAAAUAAUUAAUUCUAUACUAAUAUAUUCAUUAAGUUUUUUAAUCACUAUUUUAUGAAUAUUAGAACCUAACUUUAUAUUCAUUUUCAAUCUUAUGUUGUUAUAAUUAUUGUGCUACUAUUAACAAUAUUUAAAGCAUCUAUGAUUUGUUAUAGGUUAUUUAGGUGGAAUCGACCAUAGAACCUUCUAAAAGAAGUUUAAGGUAGUUAUUGAAGUAGGAUCCAUCAUCUAAAAAUAUUCUAGAAAGUCUAGGGUGGUAGAACAAAAUAUAAAUAGGAUUAGCUAAGGAUUUUUGGAGUAUUUGGUCAAGUAUGGCUUUGAACUCUUUCUCUUAAUACAUUUGGAUUUUGUAUCUUCCUAUUUUGUUCUGUUUUGUUCUAAUUCUAGUUGCUCAAUUUUUUCUUCUGUGUCUUAUUUUAUUUACUUCUGUUUAGUUUUAUUCUAGUCCAAUUUGUCCUAUCUUGUAAUGAGGUUUCAUAUUUCUAUAAAUUAGAAGGAUCUCGGAUACUUGAAGUAGAUCAAUCUUGUUUCAUUGAUAUCAAAGUAAGUGUUAGACUAUUCUUUAGUAGUAUGUCGAUAGUCAUCAUUUUGACCAAGGUUAGUUGUUGUUAUUAUACUAGAUACUAUAUUGAAGCUACUACAAGCUAUUCUUAAAAAAUCAUUCAAGAAGUGAGAAAGUAUUAUAAUAAUAGAAUCCAGCAGAAAAAUUAUAGCAUGAGAGAUAUGGUGGAUCAAUCCCAAAUCAAGACUCAAAUACAAUACCUUUUAGAUUAGAUAGCUACUUUACAAGGACAAAUAAAAGCCUCAAGGAGAAGAGAGUUGACAUUUGUUAGGCUAAAAUUGAGAUUUUAAGACAAGAAGAUGUAUGACAAUGGAGAUAAAUGUCCUACAAGGAUCAUUGACACCACAAAAACAACAAAUAUUGGUACAAAAGGGAUUGUAUUUUGUCACGAACAUUCGCAUGUAAGCCAAUAAUUAUGUGUAUAAAUAAGUAGAAAUAAAUAAAAGUAAAUAAAAAUAAAUGAAUUCUAUAGUAUUUUGUAUGGAAGCUUCUUAGAAGCUUUAUAGAUAUUGUUUUGACUUUAUAGGUAUCUUUAAUUGACUUUUUGGAAUUAGAAACAUGGUCAACAAGUUGGCCAUGUGCCACACAUGAUGUUAGUUUGAAGACCAAGCUAACUAUAUAGUCCACACAUAGAAAAACUUGUCUUGUAAGUCAAGGCAUGUGUCCUACAAAGUCAACACAUAUUGGAGGUCCUAUAGAAUGUCGCCACAUAGCUCCUAGUAAGAUAGUAUAUAUAGAGACAAGAGUGAAGCCUUCUUCACUCUUGUCAACUUCUUUCUUGCUUCAAGUCUAGUUUCAAGGGUUUCUAGUUUUUUUGGCUUUUGGCAAUAGCCAUUCCAGUUUCUUUCUUAAUAUACAUAUAAGUUAUUUUUAUUUUUUCAUCUUUCUUUGAGAAAAGUCUCACUUUUUUAUUUAUCUUUACGAUGUUCUUAUCCUUGACAGAUUGACAAGAGUGCACUUAUAAUAUCAGAGCUUUGUCUAAUCUUGAUUGAAAGUGGAUUAUCCUUUUUUUUUGAUAAGACAUAAGCAUAUUAGAAGUUGCAGAUUACCCUCUUCUAAAUUGAUAUUUUUUUUAGUAUUUUCUUUGUUCUCAAGUCCUCUCUUCUAUUUGUCUUGAGCGAUAUUAGACAUCUUCUCUUUUCUAAGUGUUAUUAUGGCAAAACUUGCUGAAAUGAAGAGUGCAAUAGCACAAAUGCAAGAGCAAUUGAGGAAGUUAAUGCUUGCGAUGCAUCAACUCAAUUUACCACCAAAAAGAGCAACAAGAUUGGGAAGAAGUGAAGAUAUAGAAAUGAUUAGAGCUGCUUCAAUACUUGCACUAAAUCAUGUUCCUUUUCCUAUGGUGGAACGUCCUUCCAGUGUUAGAGAACCAAGAAUUAUUCUACCCGAGAAGUUUGAUGGCACCAAAUCAAAGUUUAGAGGAUUUAUCAAUCAAGUACAACUUGUGAUUGAACUUCAAUCCCAAAGCUAUCCAACUCCAAGAUCGCAAGUUAGAUUCAUUAGUACGCUUCUUUCAAGUUUAGCAUUGUCAUGGUUUUCAUCUUUUCUUGAACGACGAGAUUCAAUAUUGGAUAAUCUAGAGGCUUUUUUGGCAGAGUUUUGAUCCAUGUAUGGAGAACAUGAUGCAAUUUGUAUUGCAACCAAUAAGAUCCAUAUUUUACGACAAGGCAAUCGAUCAGUAACAUUAUAAGCUUCACGAUUUUGACAACUUGCAACUGAUAUUAAGUGAGAUGAUGCUACACUUAUUAGCCAAUUUCUCUAUGGAUUAUAAUAUGAGAUAAAAAAAUUAAUGCUCAAUUUACAUGAUCCUCAAACAUUGAGUCAAGCAAUUGACUUUGCUAUAAAGUGCGAUAAUUGCCUUUUUGAAUUUCGAUCUAAGAACUGUAUAAGUGGACCUCAAUGUUACUAUAAUUCAAUAGCAAUAUCAACAUCUCUUCAACACAUACAAUUGAAAGUAGAGGAUAUGCAAAUUGUUGCAAUACAUUUCAAACCUCUUAUUGAGCAAGAAAAGACUUGUCAUCAUCAAAAAGGAUUGUGCUUAUAUUGUGGAGAACCUAAGCACAUUGGUCAACAUUGCUCAAAAAAGUGAUGCAAUCAUAAAAUGAGGAGUACGACCAUUAAUAGAGAUAGCAUGUUGAAUUUUUUUUUUGUCCUGCUACAAUAAGAACCGUGCGGCUGGAACCUUGUACAAUGCCUAGUAAAGAUUCUAUCUUCUCUUUAGAACCCUCUCCUUGUUUUAUGAUAAAUGGUAUUCUAUGACCUAAACAUCUCAAAGCCUCUGCCUUGCUAGAUUCAGAAGCCUCAACAUGUUUCUUGGAUGAAAAAUUUGCUAAAAGACAUAGCAUAUUUUUAGUAAAGAAAACUAAACCUGUUCAUGUAGAAGUCAUAGAUGGUCAUCCGUUGUCUUUAAGAGAUAUUAUUCUCCUGAAGAUAUGAAGCCCUUCCUAUAAAAAUAGCAACUAAUGGUCAUAGUAGCUUUAUAAUAUUUAAUAUCAUUAGAUCUCUUUCUAAUCCAGUCAUUUUAGGUUUAUCAUGACUAGAAAAAUAUAAUCCUAAAAUAGAUUGGACUUCUCGUAGUCUUGAAUUUUUUGAAAGUAUAACUAAGAGUGUAAUUAAUCAAGUAGAAAGUUAUAAACCUAGUAUAAUUAAACUUAUAUUUGUAGAUACAAGUAUUUUCUUGCAUGUUGCAAAAGAAGGAUCACCUUGUGUCAUUUAUGCCACACUUGUUUCUAUUGGUGGAAAGACUUCAAGUGGCAUUUUAAGCCAAUAUGAAGAUUUUCAAGAUGUAUUUGAAAAAAAUAAUAUGGAUACUCUUCCAGGACAUCGUCCCUAUGAUUGAUCAAUUGACCUUCAAGAAAGAGCACAACAACCAUUUAGAUUAAUCUACAAUUUAUCUCAAUAUGAGUUGGCUAAACUCAAGGAGUAUAUUGAAGAAAAUUUGACCAAGAACUUCAUACGCCAUUUCAAAUCUCCAGUAGGAGCUCCAAUUUUAUUUGUGAAGAAAAAAGAUGGAUCAUUGUGGAUGUGUGUUGAUUAUCGAGGACUCAAUAAAAUCACUAUCAAAAAUAAGUACCCACUAUUUUUGAUAUCUGGACUUCUUGAUCAAUUGAAUCAAGCUAAGAUCUAUAUAAAAAUAGAUCUAUGAAGAGCAUACAAUUUGGUAUGCAUCAAAGAAGGAGAUGAAUAGAAGACUACGUUUUGAAUAAGGUAUGGAUAUUUCGAAUACAACAUCAUGCCUUUUGGACUUACAAAUGCACCAACAACAUUCCAACAUUUAAUGAAUGAUGUCUUUUGGGAGUUUUUAGAUGAUUUUAUUAUCUAUUAUCUAGACGAUAUCUUAAUUUAUUCUAAGAACUCAGAAGAACAUGAACUUCAUGUUCAUCAAGUAUUACAAAAACUAAGAGAUAGAGGACUCUAUGCCAAGAUAGAAAAGUGUGUAUUUUAUACUACUCAAGUCGACUUCUUAGGAUACAUCAUUUCAAAUGAUAGACUUAUGAUGGAUCUUAAGAAAGUUCAAACUACUAUGGAUUAGAAGAUCCCAAAAACGGUAAGAGAUGUCCAAUGCUUUUUGAGAUUUGUCAACUACUAUCGGAUCUUCAUCAAAGACUUCUCUCAAGUUGCAGCUCUACUUAUACGUUUGACUUACAAAGACAAACUUCAAUGGAAUCAAGAAGCAAAAGUAGCAUUUGAAGCUUUGAAGACAGCCUUUGUUUCUACACCAAUCUUGUAUCGUGUUGAUUUUUCUAAGCCAUUUUUUAUAAAAAUAGAUGCAUUAAACUUUGCUUUAGGUGCCAUAUUGUCACAAAUGGGAAUAGAUAAUAAACUUCAACGAGUAGCUUUUCAUUCUAGAAAAUUUUCAAUAGUCAAGAUCAACUACAAGAUCCACGACAAAGAACUUCUUGCAAUCAUAGAUUACUUUGAAGAAUGGUGCCAUUAUCUAUAAGGUGCUUUUAGCCCAGUCAUAAUGUAUAUGGAUUACAAGAACUUUGAAUAUUUUAUGUCAACACGUAUUUUGAAUAGUCGCCAAGCUCGUUGGAGUAUGUCUUUGUCAAGAUUCAAAUUCAAGAUCACUUAUCGACCAAGAAAAUAAAAAGGUUUGUCAAAUAUACUCUCUAGAUGAUUUUAUCUUGUACCAAAGGAAAGAGAUGCUGCUUUUGAUCAACAACAAAUAAUUCUCUUGAAGCCAAAGCAUCUUCAUCUUCGAGCAAUGAAAUCAAUACUAAUUGUUGAUUCAACUUUCAUUAAGAAAGUUUAGUCAAGUAUGUCUUUUGAUCCUCUUAUUCAUGACAUUAAGGAAAAUCCUUCAAAGUCUCAUGAUACUUCCAAGUUUGAAUUCAAGAAGAAUCUACUAUAUUUUGAGGGCCGCCUAUGUGUUCCAGAAGGUGAAGCUCGAUUACGUGUUCUUCAAGCUCGUCAUGACUUUCCAAUAGCAGGACAUUUUGGAUACAAUAAAACUUUGGAACUAACAUCUAUGGAUUUUUGGUAGCCACAAAUGUAGAAAGCAGUCAAAGAUUUUGUACAAUCUUGUGAUGUUUGCUCAAAAUCAAAAACUCCUCGUCAUUGACCUUACGGACUUCUUCAACCAUUAUCCAUUCUAGAACAACCAUGGUCUUCUAUGGAUUUCAUCACGGAUCUUCUAAUCUCAAGUUCUUAUGACUCUAUAUUUGUGAUAGUAGAUCGUUUUAUCAAGAUGGCACAUUUUGUAUCAUGUACAAAAUCUAUCAUAAGUAAAGAAAUAGCUAAGCUCUUUCUUGAUAAUAUCUAUCGCUAUCAUGGAUUAUCCAAGGAUAGUAUAUCAGAUAAGGGAACUCAAUUUGUAUCAAGAUUUUGGCGAAUUCUUUUCAAGAUUCUAAAAGUGGAUAUAACAUUAUCUUCGACAUUCAAUCCUCAAACUGAUGGACAAACAGAGCGUAUUAAUCAAGUUUUGGAGUAGUAUUUAAGAUGUACCAUUAACUAUUAACAAGAUGAUUGAACAAUUCUUUUACCAUUGGCAGAGUUUGCUUACAAUAACAUGGUACAUUCUUCUACAAAAUAAACAUCGAUUUUCUAUAUGGUGUGGAUAUGAUAUUAGUAAAGAAUCUUGCAAAUGCAGCAAAGACGGUGGAGGUUUUUUAUCAAUGACAUCCAUCAAAAUCAACAUGAAAACCUUCUUUAUAAAAGAAACAAGAUCUAGGUAAGAUAACAUUCUACUUUCAAUCCUUGUUUAUAGCUUCUUUGUAGUUGUGAUGCUCAGGAGAUAGAGAACCAACAACCAACGGAUUUGACUCAAGAGCCUUUAUUUGCUAACUUGCCCGAUGAGACAUUACGAUUGUCACAACCUUCAAGACAAUGCAAUCGAGAUGAAGAUCUUUUAGAACGACAUAUUCUUCCUUGAAUAAAUCAUGAAAUACAAUGCGUUUGGUAUCACGACCUUAGAAAGAACUCCUAAUGUUUGGUGAUUUUACUAGAGGUAGGAACAACUCUUGAUGGUGUUUCAAAUAUUUUAUUCGAAGGAAGUUAUAAAGGCCUCAACAAUGAUCAAAUAACUGGGUGGUCUUCUCGCCUUGUUUUGGGACACUAUUGAUGGUUGAGAGGCCCUAUCAAUCAUCUUCGAAGAGAACAAAGAUCAGAGUAUGUGGCAAAUAUAAUUUGUCGCAUCAUAGAUUUUUUCAACAUAUGAUUACCACUCCUCAUGGAAUUCAUCUCUAGAAAGAGAGGUAAUGUCACGGACAUAUGCAUGUAAGCCAGUAAUUACAUAUAUAAAUAGGUAGAAGUAAGUAAAAGUAGAUAAAAGUAAGUUAAUUCUAUAGUAUUUGAUAUGAAAGCUUUCUAGAAGCUUUAUAGAUGCUACUUUGAUUUUAUAGGUGUCUUUAAUAGAUUUUUUGGAAUUAGAAACAUGGUCAACAAGUUGGCCAUGUGCCACAUAUGAUGUUAGCUUGAAGACCAAGCUAACUAUAUAAUCUACAUAUAGAAAAACUUGCCUUGUAAGUCAAGGCAUGUGUCCUACAAAGUCAACACAUAUUGGAGGUCCUAUAGAAUGUCGCCACAUAGCUUCUAGUAAGAUAGUAUAUAUAGAGACAAGAGUGAAGCCUUCUUCACUCUUGUCAACUCCUUUCUUGCUUCAAGUCUAGUUUCAAGGGUCUCUAGUUUUUUUGGCUUUUGGCAAUAGCCAUUCCAGUUUCUUUCUUAAUAUACAUAUAAGUUAUUUCUAUUUUGUCAUCUUUCUGUGAGAGAAGUCUCACUUGUUUAUUUGACUUUAUCAUGUUCUUGUCCUUGACAUAUUUCUAUUAUCAAGAGUGAGGCCAUUAAAUCAAAGAUUGUCCAAAACGUCAAAAGUCUAGCACCAAUAAAAUGAGGCAGAUUUAUAGUUUCAAAAUUCACCAAGUCAAUAAUGAAACAAAGUAUGAAAACAAGGCUUUCCAAUAAAGGCAUCAAAGGCCAAUAUUGAAAAUAGCUAUUGUCUCUCAAAGACAAAUGGUAUGGCCUCAGACAACUAUAAAAAGAGUCAAUUGGUACAUCUAAUGGGACUACUAACAAGACAACCAUGUUGAGUUCUUAUAGAUUGUGGCUAUACAAAAAAUUACAUUUCAACUGAAAUUGCUAGUUGACUUAGAAUUAAAAUUAAGAUAAUCAAGAGAAAAAGCAUAUACCUUGUAGAUGACCAAGAGAAUAUAUUGAGUGAAACAUAUGAAGAAAAAAUCUUAAGGUUGAUUGAUAUAUAUAUCUUAAGAGAGAGAUUCAAGAUGACAAAGCUAAGAUAUGUUAUUAUUCUUAAUAUGCCAUGGUUAAAGAUAAGAAAUAAGUAAGUUCAUUGGAUAGCAAAGAUAAUUUCUUUUAAAGAUGAUGGAUGCAAGGUGACUUUUAACACCUCCAUAUCAAGUGAAGAGGAAAGAUAAUUUACAACCAAAGACUUACUUGUAGGGACGACCCUUAUAAAGAAGUAAAUAUAGCAAAAGUAACUAUUAUAUAUGGUGGUUCUAAAUCUUACAUUAGUGGUAGAGAAGACAACUAAAGGAAUAGAAUAAGUACAUCAAUUUAUAUGAGAAUAUUAGAAUGUCUUCUCAUCUAACCUACCUAUUAGCGGGCCUCUUGAUCGAGGUGCCUCCUUUCAAAUAAAACUAUUUCCUAGAGCCAAAUCAAUAAGCCAACCAAAUUACUACAUAGCACCAAAAGAACUUGAAGAACUAUAGAAGACAUUCAACAAACUCUAAGAAAAAGACCUCAUUUGAGAAAGCACAUCACCAUGGGGAGUACAUGUACUUUUUCCAUCUAAGAAGCAUGGUGGACUUUACCUUUGCAUUGACUUUCAAGGCCUCAAUAAGUAUACUAUUAAGAAUGCAUAUUCACUUCUAUACAAGGAUGAUCUUUUUGACUAAUUUUUAGAUGCGACCAUCUUUCUUAAAUUAGAUCUUUGAAGUGGCUAUUGAUAGACACCUAUUACAUAAGAGGAUGUAAAAAAGAUAAUAUUUUAUAUAUGCUAUUGAUAUUUCAAAUGGCUGGUUUUACCUUCCAACCUUAGCAAUGCUUCAGUCUCUUUUAAAGGUCACAUGAAUAGAUUUUUUUGAGACCUUUUGGAUGGAUAUAUAGUUGUCUUCAUUGAUAAUAUCUUUUUAUAUAAUAAAAUCCCUAAAGAGUAUAUACCUACAAAAAAUACUAUGUUGCUUUUAUUGUAAGUAAUCAAAAUGUAAACUUUGGAAGUCAAAAGUUAUCUUUUUGAAGCAUGUGGUGUCUUUCAAAGGCAUGCAUAUGGAAUAAGAUAAGAUAAAAGUAGUGGAGGAUUGACCAACCUCCAAGAAUGCUUUUGAAGUCCACUCAUUUUUAGGCCUUGCUAGAUAUUAUUGCCAUUUUAUUUGAUAAUUUGCAUACAUUACUGCCUCAUUGACAAACCUAUUAGAAAAGAGUGUCCUAUUUGAAUAGAAAUUGGAGCAGCAAAGCACUUUUGAUAGAUUGAAAGAUGCAUUCAUUAUUGCUCUAAUAUUGCAACCGUAUAUUUCCAACCUCUCAUACAUUUAAUAUUGAUGCUUUUGACUUUGGUAUUGGAAUGGUCCUUUAAUAAGACUUCGAUAUGGACCUUCAACUUAUGGUAUAUGAAUCAUGCAAGCUUAGAAGGGCAAAGUGCAAUUACUUUAUACAUAAUUGAAAGCAAUUAGGAAUUAUAUAUACCACAAAGAUGUGGCGAUACUAUGUGUAAGGAAAGCAGUGGUUGUUUGGACUGACUAUUGAUCCUUGCUAUACAAUUUUUAUUUAGAAAAUAUGAAACCAUGACAUCAUUAUUGUAAAGAACAGUUGCAAUUUUUUGAUAUACAGCUUGAAUAAGAGCAAAGGCAACAAUAUACUAUGCCAAAUAGCUUAUUACGGAGACCAGACUUGAAAGGUGAAUCGAGAGAUAAGGUAGAAGUUACUACUAUUAAUAGUGUCAUUUCAAAUUUAAGUAAAGAGGUAAAAUGGAAAGAAGCUAUGCAUUGAGAUGCUUAUUUUAAGAUGAUUAGCGAUUGACUAAAAGUGGAUGAUAUACAAUAUCAAGAAUAUAAUUUUAGUGAUUACUUGUUCUAUUUCAAGAAGCAGAUUUAUAUAGUCAAUAAUAUUAUACUUCAAACAUAUAUACUUCAAGAGAGAUAUGACAUCCCAAUAUUUAAACAUCUAGGACGAGAAAAGAUUCUAAAAUAGAUCUCAAUGACAUGCUCUUAGGCAGGUUUGGAUUAUGAUAUUUGAAGUUUUUUUGUACUCUUAUAAAUCAUGUCAAUGUAAUAAAACUUACAAUAUAGCAUCUCUUAAAUUAUUACAUCUAAUUUUGCUACAUAUGGCACAUUAGAAGUAGAUGACUAUGGAUCUUAUUACAAAUUUAUUACAGACAUGUUAUAAUUAUAUCGUAGUUGGCACCUAUGUAAAUUGACCCUCAAAGCAACUUCACUUGGCUGCAAUGCACUUGGAUAUUGAUGCUCCAAUGCUUAUAUAAGUCUUCUUUGAUACUAUCUUUUGUCUUUAUGGAUUAUCUUGUAUCAUCAUUUUAGAUCAAGAUCCACGCUUCACAAGAAGUUUUUAGUAAGCCUUAUUUAGGCUAUUGAGCAUAUGACUUACUAUGUCUAUAGUCUUCUAUCCCCAAAUAAUUGGACAAAUAGAGUAUGCAAAUUAAACCUUGAAAUAUAUGUUGUGGACAUUUGUGGUGGUUCAUCAUAAUGAUUGGAAUGAAUACUUGAUACCUUUAGAGUUUGCUUAUAAUAAUAGUAUUUAAGUAAGUUCCAAUUAUUUUUAUAUUUUUUCUUAAUAUUGAUCAACAUCUAAUUAUGUUAGCAACUCUCUAUUAUUCCAUCAAUAUCAAUAACUCGAUAAUAGAGGAAUUUAUACAACGGCUAACAAUGGCCUUAUAAGAGGCAUGACACUACCUCUUUACCACACAAAAAUCGACAAAAGUAAAUUGUAGAUAACCAUCAGUAACACAAGACCUUUUAAGAGGGUGAUCAAGAGUUACUCUUUAAUACCGACUUGCUACUUAUUACAUCAACCCAAAUUUUUAAACUAGCACUUGGUGGCUUGGACCUUUCCGCAUUUUUUUAAUAAUUUCUAAUAUUGCAUAGUGCCUCAAGUUUUUGCCAUAUAUUCAGAUCCAUCUAGUCUUCUAUGUUUUGUAAGUGAAGGAAUUUCAUACCGAGCCAAACCGCUUUUCAGAUUAAUAUCAACUACCACUACUACCAAUUAUAGUUGAUGAUCAACAAGAAUAUGAAAUAGAUAGCAUUUUGGACCAUUGCUACUUUCGUAGUAAUAGUAGAUAUCUACAACUUCAAUACAAAGUUCUUUAGAAAGAUUAUUCCAUCGAAGAUGCAAUAUAAGAACAUGCACAAAAUCUCACCUAUUACCAAGAAAUAAUUUGGAAAUACCAUUGAGAAUAAAAUGAGGGUAUUUUACAUUAAUAGAAGGACAUUAAUUGUAUUAUUGACACAUAUGAAUAGAUAGUUAGAACCAUGUUUGAAAAAUUAUGGAAGUUUUUAGAAUUGGAUUUAGAUUAGUGGACCUAGUAGGAUCCAUUGUAGAACAUUCUAAAAAGAAUUUAUGGUGGUUAUCUAAAUUGGGCCUACCAUGUAAUCUUCUAGAAAAGACUUAGGAUGGUUAUAUAGGUAGGGCCUAUCAUGGGACCUUCUAGAAGAAAUUUAAGGUAGUUAUCUAAGUGGGAUCCAUCAUUUAAGAAUAUUCUAGAAAGUCCAGGGUGGUAAAACAAAGUAUAAAUAGGAUUGACCAAGGCCUUUUAGAGUAUUUAAUCAAGUAUGGCUUUGGAUCUUUUCUUUUAAUAUAAUUAAAUUUUGCAUCUUCUUAUUUUUUUUCUAUUUUAUUCUAAUUCUAGUUGCUUAGUUUUGUCUUCCGUGUCUCAUUUUAUUUACUUUUGUUCAAUUUUUUUUUAGUUCAGUUUGUCUUACUUUGCAAUGGAGUUUCAUGUUAUUGUAGAUUAAAAGGGUCUUGGAUACUUGAGAUAGACUAGUCAUGUUUCAAUUGGCAUAUAUCUCCUCAUUGAAUUAUAAAUUGUUUGAUCAACCUAUAAUGCAUAAGGUAGAAGUAGAGGCCAUUCUUUCACUCUUUUAUUAUAAGCUUUAAUCAAGGCUUUUAUAAUUGGUGGAUUUCUAUAUUUACUCUUUGUAUUCUCCUUUAGAUUAUAAACAAUAGUUAAUGAUAAUUUAAUUUCAUAUUUCUUAAAGAAUUCAAAAGCUUCAUCUCUAUCCAAUUUUCUUUAAUUUACACUGAUCUUUUCUAUACAUCCAUAGCAACAAAUAACAUCCUCAAGUAAAAAUAUGUAUAUUUUUUCUAUGGAAUUUAUUCUUAGUACCUUGCCUUUUACUUAGUUUGAUAAAUCUUCAUGAGCCAAAAUUAAAUAUCUCAUUUUCCAUAAUCUCAUUAGUAUAAUAACUAAAUUAACAAUCCAUUUAAAAUGCAUAGCCAAAAGAAAUGUCAAAUGUAAACCAUCUCAAUGUCAUGUAUUUGAAUUCAUUUGACAAGUUAUAUAAGAUUCUACAAAUGAAUUUGUAUCUUGAUACAUAUUCUUCUAUCAAUAUUAUUCCUUCAAUUUAGCAAAAGUAACUCAAAUUCUUCUAUGCAUGCCUAUAGACUAUCAUGAAAUUCUUUGAGUAGUCUUUGUUGAUCUUCUUUGGUACCUACUACUUGUUGUGAUAUUUCAAUAUUUGAUUUUGGCCUCUUUCAUGGAAAUCCUCCUUAUUAUACAAACUUAUAUGCUUUUUUUUUCUAAUCUAUUUAAAUUUUUCAACCAACCAAUUAAUAUGCUUGAUUAAUAUGUUCAAAUAAUAUUCAAUAUUAAAUAAUUCUUUUUCAUAAUUUUCUUCAUGAAAUGACUUAUCUUCUUUAUUUAAUUUAGCAACCGAAUAAAAUUUUGUAUCUACAUCAUCAAUAUCCUCAAUCAUCUCAUCUUUUCUAUCAUAUAUUGCUCAAGAUAAUAUAUUUGCUACCAAAUUGUCUUUCCUUCUAACAUGUCUAAAUUUCAAAUUUAAUAAUUUGAUAUAAGCAAUCUAUCUCAAUAUUAUAAUAUCUCAUGUUGUAUAAUUAGUAAUCAUCCCAAGUAAAGGCAAACAAUCCAUUUCAAUUACCACCAUUUUCUUAAUCAAAUAAUCUUUUUCAGCUUCCAUAGCUGAAACAACUCUCCAUAAUUUCUUUUUUACUUGUGAAUAUACACGUUGGCAAGUACUUAAAACCUUAGCUCUAAAUUGCAUUGCAAAUCUAUAUCUAUUCAAAUCAUCUUAGCCUGUAGUCCAUCCAAUGGCAGUUGAACUAAUAUCCACUGUAAUAAUCCUUGGUCUAUUACACUUAUAAUCAAUUCUUUUUUAACAUUGGAGGUAAUGUCAAUAAUUUCUUUAAUCUUUACACUAAUUUAAUAUAUUUUUUUCUUCAUUUAGACUAAUAGCCCUUGCAUAAUAGUUCAUACAAUGGAUUUGUUAUGUGAGCAUAGUGAAGAAUCCAAUUACGAUAAAAUACACAUAUACCUAAAAACCUAUGAAGUUCUAUUAAAGAACUAAAAUCCUCUUUCAUUCUUCCAAUUACAUCAAUCUUGAUUGGAUAUGGUUUUCUUCUAUAAAAUCCACAUAAAUGUCCAAAAAUUAUGACUUCUUGUAUUUUAAAUUUAGAUUUUUCAUCUAAUAAUGUACAAUGAACUUCUUCAAGCUAAGUCAAUAUUUUUUUAUAAUCUUGUCUAUAAUCAAUAAUAUAUUUAUGACAACUUUUUUUAUCUAAAGUUUUAUCCUUGUCUUUUUCUUUCUACUUCUUAAUACUAACAUCAACUAGAAAAGGCAUAGUUUUUUUUUAGAAUAAAAUCCCUCAACACUUUUUUUUAUCUCGCUCAUCAUAUGCACAACUGAGUUAGUUAUGCCUUGAGAAAGAAUAUAUAUUUUAAUUAGGCUAAGUAAUAUUUUCUUUAAUUUCAUAUUUCUAUUCUUUGAUGCAAGUUGAAAUUGGUCACGGCUCAAAUACAAAUCAUCCAUUGAAUAGAUUUUCCUUUCUACAAAUACUUCAACAAAUUCAUCUACUAUCGAUCCAAUUCCUACAUUUUCGAUAGUUACCGCUGUUGGAAUAGAGAGAAUUUGCCUCAAGAAAAUGUUGGGCUUCUAGCUGUCACUAAUCAUUCAAUCAAGCUUAAAAAUAAGGAAAGCCCUAAUUUUAUAUAUAAAUUUCUCCUUUUGAGCAAUUACACCAAAUAUACAAGCCUCAAGUAACCAACAACAUCCAAAAUAUGAUAAAUUCUUUAAAACCUUGUAUAUCUUUAUGUGGAAAUUUUUCCAAACUUCAAUAGCUCAUAUCUCCUAAUCCAACCGUCCAAAAAAACUCAAAUUUUACAUGAAGUACCGAUAUAUUCUUAUUAACUUCUACAACAAAUUUCAACUGAAAAUUCAUUGCGGAUCUUGAGAUAUCUUUAAAACCCUAACAGUCGCUUCAAAACCUUGUCUUUAUACACUUGCAUGUAAUUUUCUUUAUAUCUCAUAAAAUAUAAGCUCAAAUGCCACGAAAUUUAUAUAUAUAGCUUCUUAACACAAAAAAUUACAUUCUCUAAAAAGUUUGAGCCAAAAAUUUGUCCAAAAAUUCAAGUUAUGGCUCCAACCAUUACUAUAAAUAAAACUGCUCACUUAUUGCCUUUGAUUUGGAAGUGCCGCCUUCAACUCCUUAUAACUCCUUUACAUAAAAUCUAAAAGCAAUAAGUUUUUCAUAAAAAUGUAGGCCUUAAAAUUGUUGUUCCAUUUGCACCUUCCAAUCUUCAAAAGCUACUAUACAACUCCUCGUAUCUUCAAAAGAGUAACAGUAUGUCUUAAAUAAACACCUUAACUUCAAACGGCUAUAACUUCUUCAUCCUAAUUCUAAAUCCUCUAAUUUUUAUACACAAAUUGUACCUCAGAUUCUAAACUUUACAACCCUAGAUUCUAUUCUCCGAAUGCUUUCUUUGAAGUCGCCGAAACCCUUGUUAAGGUCGUGGGCAGCCUCCUCAAAGCCCAUUGGGCAUAGUAUUCGACCAAUAGGGAUGAAGUUUCCCAUUCCUUUCCUUCAUCCGACCAUGCCUUACUUUCAUCCCUCUCAAUUAGCCUCCUACUAGUUUAGAUUUUCAUCCUUAGGCUUCCACCUUUUCUCAAGGCUUCAUACUAAACAUUUAGGUCCUAUAUAUAUAUAUAUAUAUUUUUAAAGUCAAAAUCAAAAUAAGUAAAGAAACAAAGUAAAGUUUCUUACAUCAACUCCUUUUAAUUUAAUCUACUAGCCACUCUAACACACAUCUAGAUUUAUUAACAUAUAAUAUGUUUUAACUAAUUUUUACAUACUAUAAGCAUUUACAGUACAACACCGCAUUCAUUGGCUCCAUAUCUUGAAUAAAUUAUAAUGAUCCAUUUUUCUUAGGCACUAUAAACCAUCGACUAGAAUAUGAUGGAAAAGAUGGCUUCAAAAUCUUUAUCUUCAUCUUUUCUUUCAAUAAUUCCACCAAGCUUGAUAAAUGAGCCAUUGGUAUUGAAAUUGGUCUUAAAUUCUAAAGUAUAUGUGGUACAAUAAAAAUGACCAUAGAUAUUAUAAUAUUUGGAUCCAUACACACAAUUUUUUGAGAUUCAAAGGCAAAUGAUCUACCUAAUUUUUUCAACAUCUCUUUGAAGCAAGCAAUUUCUUUUGGCAACAAAAAACCAUUAGAAUCAAUUUUUAAUUCUUCAAAAGUUUCUUUAGUGAACCUAUGCCUCAUAUUCCUUAGAUCUCUUAAGCUUUUUUUCCUUGAUGCUUCUUCUAUUUGUUCUUUAGAAUCUUCUAGCAAAGGUCUAAAAAAAAAUGUCACUUUCUUAUCUAUUGUCUUAUAUUUUGUCUCAACUAUAAUCUUUGGUGCUUGAAAAGAAUAAAUCAUAUCAUAAACUUUUCUUGAAUGAAUUUGUAUAACUUUAUCAUUGUUAUUUAAUCCAAUAGAUGCAAUCCAUUUCAAAGGAUCUUCUAUUCUAUUUUCUUUAUAAAUACCAAUAAUCUUUUCAUUAUCUUUUAAUAUUUCUAAUUCAUACAACUCUUUUUCAAUAGCACAUAAUUCCUUUCUUUCUUUUCUUUUUAAAUUUUCAAUUAUCUUAUAUAUAAUACUUCUAUUCUAAAAAAUAUCAAUAAAUCUUGUAUCAAAGACAUCUAUAUCUUGCAAGAAUACCUCUUCUUUUUUACCUCUAUAAUCUUACUUUAUAGCAAUAUUUGCAAAAAAUCCUUGAAUUCUUCAACAAUCCUUGGCAAUGGAUUUUCUUUCAAUUUGUGUUGAUUCCGCUCAUGAUUUGAAGGCACAGUCAAAAAUUAUAUUACCCUCCUCCCAUCCUCACUAAAAAUUCAUGUAUAAACUAAACCAUCAUCAAGUACAUUUGUUUCCAUCUGAGUUAUAAUAAUAUAUGGUUUUUUUGAAAUAAGAGGAUAAGAUGUUGCAUCUUGAACAAAGAAAUUUUGCUACAUUGUAAUAUCACCAAUUUGAAUUUUCACAUCUAGACAAGUAUUAUAUAAUUCAUCUCAUAUAUUAUUAGUUGCUUGUAUUGCUCAUCUAUGCUCUAUAUCAAUUGGCCAUCUUUGUUUCAUGUAAAGAUCCUUAGAUAUAAGAUUUAUCUCCAAACCAUGAUCAAUCAAAGCAACAACUAGCUCAUCUAUAUCUCCAACCUUCAAUAAUGCCUCUAUAGUUGCUCUAUUCUAAUACUUCCGAGUAUGAUGAUUUGAAACCUCUUUAUCCUUAUUACUUUGAUCAUCAAAACAUACUCUUUGAUUAUGAAUCCUCCUCUCACUUGCUAAUUCUUUGCAACAAUUACGUAAUUUAUCUUUUUCAUCCUUACAUAUGUAUGUACUAAUAGCAUGAUUUAAUCCAGAUUCUUCCAUUAAUUGCCUCUUUAUAUAAUACUUUCAAUAAAGACAUCAUGGAAUUCUUUCAUGACAAUUCUCAAAAUCUCCUUUAAUGUGAAUUCAAUUUAAGAAUUGAGCUUAUAUUCUUCAAGCACUCUUUUAAAUUUGUUAUUGCUUCAAUAUUAGAGAGUAGUUCGUAAGUUGUCAAUUUAUCUUUAUCUUUCAUUUCAUUUGUUUUUUUUUCUAAUAUUAUUAAAGUAUCCUUUAUGAGCAAUUCUUAUGAAGCCACUUCAUCAUCCUUAUUUCUUCAAGUUUGCCUCUUGAAAGAAUUUCCUUCUCUUGUAUCAUCAAAAUUUCUUCUCAUCUUUUCUUCUAUUAAAGCUUCAUGUUAGCUUUAAGCAAUGUAUGCAUGUAGUAAUAAAGCUUCUAUAGGAUCUUUCUAGCUUAUAGUACCACAAAUUAUUGCAAUAAUUCUUAAUAAAACUUCUUGUAGCAUUUUUUCUUUUUGCAUCAUAGAAAUGGCUGAAGACCAAAAUCCACUUACUUGAAUAUUUCUAAUAAAAUUUUAUUUUCUAUCAUUAUCUACAUUAAUUCUAUAAUUUAUAACUUCUAUUGCUUCAAUCCCAUGUAUUACCAAAUAAUUCUUAAUUAAUACUUUUAUAUCUCUUUUAUCAAAGAUGGUUUGGAAAAGAUUACCAAUAUCCUUCAAUGCAACUUUUCCAUCUUUUUAAUAAACAAUGCUUUCUUACAACAUGUCAUUGAAUUCACCACAAUCUUUUUAAAAAUAAAAAUCAUCAUCACAUCAAAUACAUCUUUGCAUAUAUCCUUAUUUAAGAGUAGCCUUUGAACUUGUUACAGAAGUCUUCUACUCAAUCUUUGUAAGUUUGAUUUAAAGAUCCCCCAUCCCAUGUAUAAUUUCUUCAAGUUCCAUAUUUUCUUUCUUUAGUGUAGCUAGUUACAAUUGGACAAUAGGCAUAGUCAAUCUUAUAGUAGGCAUUGAGGUUUUUGGUACUUGUAUCCCUCUUUGAGCACCAAGCCUAUCAUUUCUCCUUUCUCUUUUGGCAAGCAAUCUAAUAGCAUCUUCAAUAGCCUUCUACUUUGUUAUCAAUCCUUCAUCUUCUUUAUUAUCUUCAAGAAGAAUCUCUAACUUCUCUUGUAAUUCUCCAUCAGCAGCUUGAAGAAAUAAUUAAUUUUUUUUUUUUUUAUCUCAAUGUUAAUUUUUUUAUUUUCAAUAAUCAAAAAAAUUAACUUUCAAAUUUUUUUAAUAAUUUUGUAGCUUACAAAUUCUUGUUAGGUCAUUCAAUCCAUUAUAAGAAUGAUUUCUUGGUAACUCGAUCAGUAUUGUCUAAAAAAUACUCAUUUUUUGAUAUAUAUAAAAAUACCUUCUAUGAACUUCCAAAUUAUUCCAUAAUAGACCUUAUAUGCUCCAUUAUCUCUAAUUUAUAGCAAGCUCAAAUAAUGGAAUCAUUUUCUUUUCAAAAACAUGAUUCAAUUUUAUUUCUUACACAUAAUAUUUUAAAUAUUUUAAAAUAUUCUUUCCAAAAAAUUAGUCACUCUUGUUAACUACCGCUUGCAAUGCUUUGGUUGCCAAAGCUUCUUUGCAAUUAUUGCUCUAUUACUAUUGUACAAAUAAUGUAAAUUCUUAAAACAGUUUUGUAAUAUUUGGAUCAAAGUACAUACCUUAUUCAUUAGUAGAAAAUUCACUUGAAGCUCUACUUAAAAAUCCACAUGACACUUCGGCAUGGACAUAUACAUCUAAACCAAUAAUUACCCAUAUAAAUACGUAGAAAUAAGUAAAAGUAGAUAAAAAUGAGUUAAUUCUAUAAUAUCUUUUAUACAAGCUUCUUAGAAGCUUUAUAGACGCUGUUUUGACUUUAUAAGUGUCUUUAAUUGACUUUUUAGAUUAGAAACGUAGUGAAUAAGUUGGCCAUGUGCCACACAUAUUAUUAGCUUGAAGACCAAGCUAACUAUGUAGUCUACAGAUAGAAAAACUUACCUUAUAAGUCAAGGCAUAUGUCCUACAAAGUCAACACAUAUUGGAGGUCCUAUAGAACAUCUCCAUAUAGCCCCUAAUAAGAUAGUAUAUAUAGAGACAAGAGUGAAGCCCUCUUCACUCUUAUCAACUUCUUUCUUGCUUCUAGUCUAGUUUUAAGACUCUCAAGUUUUCUUAUCUUUUGGAAAUAAGCCAUUCUAAUUUUUUUUAAUAUGUGUAAUUUCUUAUUUUUAUUUUUUCACUCUUUCUUUGACAUAGAUUUCAUUGGUUUAUGCAUCAUCUUUUAGUUCAUGUCUUUGACAAGCUCCACCCAAAGUUUCAUCAAAAAUUCCAAAUUCAACCUUCUUACCUUCUUGCACCAUCAAUUUCAAAUAACCACAAAUACAAUCUUAUAUCUUCUACUCCAAACUUUGAGAUCAAGUUCACUACUUAUGUCAUUAUAUAUUAUCAUGUUUGAAAAUGCACCGGAUAUCUGGUUCUAGAAGGUGAAGUUGUAUUUUACAAGUAUUUAAAAAUCUUAAUAUGAAUUAUCCUAAAAAGAAGAGUGUAAUUUAAAUUUUAAUUCAAAAAUACUCAAAUUCAAUAUAAAGUGCUCAAAAAUACUCUCCUUAGUAAUUUUAAUUAUACAUAAGCUCCAAUUGCCUUAUUACUUUCAUAAUUAGGUAAUUUUGAUUUUUCUUUAUAAGUCCUAAUUCUAAUCAGAAAGCUUUAGCAAGCUAUAGCUCAUAAUUUAACCAUCCACUUAGAACAAAAUUUUGCAUAAAAAUGCUACUAUAAGUCUUUUAUGUAUUCAAAAGAAUUUUCUCUAAUCUAACUUAUAAAUUAUGAGAAAAUACUUAAAAAUCACACUGCUGUUAUUUGACUACCAACUUGAAAGUUGAUGCAAAUAUUCUAGCUAUGAUUUUUCUUUCUAUUAUGUAACUUGAUCUUUAAGUCCUCUAACAUCAUGCAAAAUUUUACUUUGAUCCAAUUGGUAGAUCUUCAAAUAUCAUAAAAAUCCUAUCCAACCUCAAACUGCCAACUUUUGAUACUUUCAUGUAUUAAAAUCUAGAUAUCUUUUAAUUAUAUUAUUAUAUUAAUAUAAAAUUUUACACAAAUUUAUCACAUCCAAUCAACUAAGUACUAUUAAAUUUGGAACCAUAGAUGUGACACCAAUUACACAAACUAGUUGAGAGUGCUAGGCCUAAUUAUAUUGUAUAGAAUCCAAAUUACCAAUACAAAUAUUGACUUUGAACAACAAUUGCAAAAUCAUUCCAAAUCCUAUGAAAACAAGCUUUACGUCUUUAUAAGAAGCUUUAAGCUAGCUCUCCAAUUUUAAUUGUUGAUCUUAGAAUGCCCCCUUAUUUUGACCUAGGCAAUUGUUUUAGUAACUUGAGGUCUGAUUUCAACCCAAUCUCACAAAUAGUGUUGUGAUGUAAAACGACUAAUAGGUGAAAGGAUGAAAAAAAUAUCAUAUUUUUGAAGAUAUUAUUUUAAAUAUAUUAUAACAAAUUAUCUUAAAAAAUAGAUAAUAGUCAAAGGAUAGAAAAAAUUAAAAGUGAUAAUAUUACCUUUUUGCAAAAUAGGCUUCUAUUCACUUUGUAGGACCACAAAUAGAAAAAAAUAAAGUAGAUUAGAAAAAUAAAAAAUAUAUGCACUUUUAGAAAGAAGUUAAGAGUAGUUUGUGGCAAAAAUUACCUUAAAAAGUUGAUAUCCGGAGAGGACCGGUUACCAACCAAGGUCGAAAUCAGACCCUAAAGCACAAAAUCAAGCCUUGACGAUGAUUUUGGAAUUCUUUUGGAGAUCAAAGAGUAGGGUCUAGGAAUUAAUUUGAUGGAGUUUCUAUGAUCAUUUAUUUGGAUGAAUUUGAGUGUGUAUUGAUUUUAUAAGAGGUUUACAAAGUCAAGAUUUGUUUUGGAUGACUCUGAAUUUGUGAAAUAAAAUGAGUGAUACUUUUUGGAGAAAUUUUUAAGUUUGGCAAUAGAUCUACAAGUAAAAUUUUAAGGGUUUGUAGAUACAUAUGUGUUUAAUUUAUACUAUAAGUUUGAGCUUGAUCAGAGGGUUAAAUUGGAGGUUAUUGAGGUUUAAGUGCAUUGGAAUCAUAGAAAGUAGAAUUUUAGAUCCAAUGAGGAUUUCUAAGAUUUCUUGCAAUCUACUAGUUGGAUUGGAGUGAAAGUUUUGUGCACAAGUAGUAGACUUCAUUUGAUAUACAUAUAUAAAAUUUCAAAAUGAUCAAAUAGUUUGAAAGGGAGAUUUUGGCAUUGGAGUUUUAUCAUUUAGAUUGGAGUAGGAGAGUAGCCAACACUUGAGUAGAUUUUAGUAUUGAUCUUCUUUUUAGUGAGUUUGAUCUUCUUCAAUUUUUUUUUCUUUUCGUCAACUUAAUUGUUAAGAGAUGUGCAAAUUUUGAGUUAAAAUCAAUAGUUCAUUCAUUAAUCAUUGAGGUCUAAAUCUGCUAUAGAAAUUACUUGGAAUUGAUUAAGGUUUGGUUAGGAUUUAAGGUUUGGUUUAGGAUUUGAUUUGAUUAGGAUUUGGUUAGGAUUUGAUUAAUAUUUGUUAAAUAUUUGAUUAGGAUAUGUCUAGGAUUUGUUUAAGAUUUAGUUAGGACUUAUUUAGGAUUUUUCUAGGGUUUGGUUAGGAUUUUUUUAGGAUUUGAUUAGAAUUUGGUUAAAAUUUAAUUAGGAUUGAUUAAGAUUUGACUAGAAUUUAUUUAAGAUUUAUCUAGGAUUUGGUUAGGACUUAUUUAAGAUUUGAUUAAAGAUUUUAUUAGGAUUUAAUUAGAAUUUAAUUAGAAUUUAUCUAGGAUUUGAUUAUGAUUCGAUUAGGAUUUGAGUAGGAUUUAUCUAGGAUUUGUCUAGGAUUUGAUUAAGGCUUAUUUAAGAUUUGUCUAAAGUUUGGUUAAGAUUUGUUUAAGAUUUGAUUAGAGUUUGAUUAGGAUUUGAUUAAGAUUUGUUUAGAGUUUGACUAGGAUUUGUCUAGGAUUUGUUUAGGAUUUUUUUAGGACUUAUUUAGGAUUUUUUUAAGAUUUGAUUAGGAUUUAUUUAAGUUUUUAUUAGAAUUUGGUUAGGAUUUGAUUAGGAUUUGUUUAGAAUUUGACUAGGAUUUAUCUAGGAUUUAGCUAAGAUUUGAUUAGGGCUUAUUUAGGAUUUAUCUAGAAUUUGAUUAAAAUUUGUUUAAGAUUUGGAUAGGAUUUAUUGAAGAUUUGAUUAAGAUUUGAUUAAGGUUUUUCUAUGAUUUGUCUAUGAUUUGGUUAAAAUUUGGUUAGGAUUUGAUUAGGAUUUGACUUAGAUUUGUCUAGGAUUUGGUUAGGACUUAUUUAGGAUUUGAUUAUGAUUUGGUUAGGAUUUGUUUGAAAUUUGAUUAGAAUUUGUUUAAGAUUUGGUUAAAGCCAUUUAAAAUUUGAUUAAAAUUUGAUCAAGGUUUAAUUAUAUUUUGACUAAGAUUUAAUUAAUAUUUUAUUUUAAUAUUUUAUUAAGAUUUUUAUUUGAGUAUAUAUAUAUUUUUUGAAUUUCUAUAUUAUUUUUUUUAAUUAUUUUUUACAAGAUCUCUAAGAAUUCUUUGUAUUUUUUCUAUAAUUUCUUUGAAAUUUUAAUUGAAUUUUAUUGAUAUUUGAUUAUACUUUCUAAUUUUUAAUUAUAAUUAAUUUAAGAAUCUAUUAGAGUUAUUAGGACUUGUUUCUGCAAUUUUCUUUUUAUCUUCUACAACUAGGUGCUCAAUACAUUUUCAAGCCAAAUGCCACGUAAUACGACAACGAUCGACCUCUAAGUAUCAAUUUAACCUAUGAUAGGAAUUUUUUGGCAUAAUCUUAUUUUCAACUUAGUCUUAGUAUCAACCAUGCUAAUUAUUUACUUCUUUUAACCUAAUUUUAUCAGUUUAUGGUCUUUCUAAGGCAAUAAAAAUAUUUUUUUAGUCUAGAAGAUAAAAUUACUAAUCAAUCUUUAACUUAAUAACUAUUAAGACAAGAAAAUAAAGUAAAAGACUUUUAUAAAAGCCAUGUUUAAAUAUCUUGAAUUAUUAUUGAAUCAAGAUAAUUAGAUAUUAAUUUAAAAUUUAUUUUUGAUUAUAUAUUCAUCAUAUAGUUGUAUUAUAACAUGACUAUGCCAAAGUUCAAAAUCAGCCACUAUAUAUACUCUUGAAUUCUAAAACCUUGCUUGUGACAUGGAUUAAAACAAAAAAUUCUUAUCAAUCAAUUUUGAAAUGGAUUGAAGGAUAACAUCAAAUAUUUGUUAAUGACAAUGCCAAAAGUAGAUUCUUUAGAAUAAUGUAUUUUUUAAGCCAUUGUGAACUCUUAUUUAUGCUCCAAAAUUUUAUUUUUUAAUUUUUUCUUAUUUUAUGAUAAUUGAGUAUGUUAGAUUAGGAUUUAUAUAAGUAGAAUCUGGCUUUAUUAAUUUUUUAGAAUUAUAACCUUUGAUGGUAUAAAUCCUAACCUGAUUCAUUGAGUUAAAUUAAUUAAGACCAAAAUUAUAAGGAUUAGAAAUUAGAAUAGUAAUUUGAUUAGUUUUAAUAAUUUAGAGAUUAUUAGUCAUUGCUAUAAGGGUUGAUUGUGAGCCUAUGAGUUCACCUACAAUCAUCUCAUAUGAUUUAGAGUGAAUUAGAAUUAGAAAUUUUUAAAAGAUUAAGUGAAGUUUAGAAAUGACAAUUUUGAAGCAUUUUCUUCAAAUUCAACAAAUCCAAGCAACAAAGUAGUUUUUUUCAAUUAAUGAAGGCUUUCAAAUGUGAUGGCGGCAUUGGAUUCACCUCAUGGAGUGAAGAAAACAAGAUCAGCACCUUCUCCUCCAACAUACAAGUGGAGCACUGAAAUUUUCAUUUUUGAAGGAUUUUUCAAUAAUUGCUAAAAUCUUUAGAGAUAAAAACUUUCAUAAAAAUUGCAAAUUAAUAUAGAUGGAGGUAUGUGAGUAGUCAAUCUUAGCAUAAAAAGGUAUUUCAAACACAAUGGUGAAGUUAGAUUUACCAAAAAUUGCUUUUUUGACCACUUAUAGAAGCCAUCAGCCUUGGUAACGAAAUUAGCUUUGGGUGAAUGAAGGCUGUAGAUCUAGAUUAGGGAUCUUAGAAAUAAAGGGUGGAGAUGCAACCACCCUUCUAUGAGCCUUUACUCAAUUGUAUAAGUCAAGCUUGGUUUUUCAAGCCCUCUCUCUCUCCUCUUUUGGUGAAGGACAAAGCUAUGCCAAAAUUUGGCAAAAAAUCCUAAUUUUAAUUUCAUUUAGAUUUUUAAAUCUCAUUGUGAAAUUUGUGGAUGGAUGUGCAUGGAUUUAGUUGUAAAUGAUAGUCAUUGGGUUUUAAAAUAUGAUUCAUUGUGGUAGAUAGCUCCCUUGGUCUCUGAAGUACUCGUAGGAUUUUAAGAGCCUUGGAUUUUCCUCAAUUAGUCAUUUAGUUUUUCUAAUUUUAAUGUGAAAUUUCUUGUGUUUGUAGCUUUUGUUGCUAACUUUUCAACAAGAUAAGGCUUACUCAAUUUGGAAUUGAAUUGAAUUUUUGGUAAAAUUUUGAUUGCAAAAAAAUCGACUGCCUUUUCAGUUUGGAUUAAUUGAGUUUGGGAAGGCAUUUCCUACUAUCUUAUAAUUGGAUUCAAUUAAAAUUUUAAGAGCAUUGAGCUUUGAAAGGCACAAGUUUUGCUAGAUUUGAAGAUGAUUUGGAGUUUUAAAAAAUUUGUAAGUAAAGGGGGAUGGUCACUAGAUCACUCAACUUCAAAGGAGCAAUUCUUAUGACUAAAUUACUAAAUCACAACGAAAUUUGUUGGAACAAGAGCAUCUUUAAGUUAACCUUGCAACAAACUAAGAAUUGUUCAAUUUGAAGCUAGUUACUAUUUUCGAAAAAUUUUGGAAUAGAAGGGGGUCGCUGCCUUUAAUCCUUGGAUGUUGUAAAGGUGCCUUUGCUUUUACCUCUCUUAUUUUAUUUUAUACUUUUAUCUUCAAAGUAACUCGUAAUCUCUACAUUUUAACUUUUGGCUAAUAAAUUUUAAGUUUUAAGUUUUAAUCUUUAAUAUUUUUACUUUAAUUUUUAAUUUUAAUUUUUAAAAUUUAAUUUUUAACUUUAUUUUUAACUUAAACUUUUAAAUUUAAUUUUCAACUUUAAAUUUUAAAUUAAAUUUUUUACUUUAAUUUUUAAAUUUAACUUUUAACUUUUAAUUUUAACUUAAAUUUAAGUUUUUAUUCUUAUUAUGAGUUAAUAAUAAUAACUUAAUUAAUUAUUUUUAUCAUUUUGCAUAGUAAAUUUUAUUUAAUAUUUUAAUUUAAUAUUAAUAACCAUUGCUUGGAAGGAGUUAAUUUUAAUUGAACUACAAACACCUGCAUUUAAAUUAACUUAAAAAUUUCACAAUUGAGAGUUCUUUCAUUCUAUCUCUUGAGCUUGUUGUGUAUUACUAAUUCCAUAGAGUGGUGGAUUUUAGGCUCAUAGCCAUUGCAUGUAAAAAUCAACUAUUUGAAAGGCAUCAAGAAGAAAAAUUUGAUUGAAGAAGAACAAAUCAAGUAAGUACAAUAAUUCCUAAGUUUUCAAAAAUUUAUUCAUCAAGGAUGGAACUAAUACAAAUUGAUAUAGUAUGUUUUAAAUUUCUCACUAAAUAGUAAAAUAUUCAAUAUCAUUAAGAGGAUUUGUACUUAUAUUAUAGAGGAGUUAAACAGAGUCUUCAAUAUUAUCCAAAAAAUAAUAUAAUCACAAAAUAAGGAGCAUAGUAGCUAAAAAAGAAAAUGUGCUAAAAAAAAGUUUUUCCAAUUACAAUAAUAACUAUUCAAAUAGAAUUAUGCGUAACAUCUAAUAAAGGUCAUACUCUUCUUUUAAAUCCUUGACUUUAUUUUAUAAUAGAUAUAAAUUUAGGAUCUUAAAAUCAUUAUUUUUUUUAUUUUAUUAGAUUCAAGAGCCUGAACUUAUUUUGUAGAUGAAGACUUUGUCAAAAAAGUAAGAAAUAUUGUUAGUCAAAAAAAUUAAAAUCAUAGAUAGUCAUUUAUUAUCUUUUAGAGAUAUUACUCAUAAGAAUGUUCUUUUAGAUGUAGUAAUUAAAGAUCGUAAUGUUACAAAUAUACAUACUUAUUUUAAUAAUUACCUAUAUAAUUAAAUAGAAAUAAAAAAGUAGAUAAAAAUAGAUUAAUUUUAUAAUAUCUUCUAGAGUAGCUUCUUAGAAGCUUCAUAAAUAUAAUUUUGACUUUACACAUAUUUAUAAUUGAUUUUAAAGUUAAAAACUUGAUCAACAAGUUAUCCACAUGUCAGAAGCAUAGGUAGCUUGUGGAAUAAGCUUAUCAUAUGACAUACAUAUGGAAAAUUAAUCUUGUAAAUUAAGACAUGUGGCUUACAAAGUCAACACAUGUUAGAGGUUCUAUAGAAUAUUGCCACAUAGCUCCUAGGUGAAAAAUAUAUAUAAAGCCAAAAGUGAAGCGUUCUUUAUUUUUAUCAAUUUCUUUCUUAUUUUAAUCUAGAUUCAAGAGUUUUUACUUUUUUUUAUCUUUUGGCAAUAGCCAUUCUGAUUUCUUUUAAAUAUACAUGUUUUCUUAUUUCUAUUUUAUCAUACUGAUUUGAAAAAAGUCUCACUUGAUUAUUUGCUUUCAUUUAAUUUUUAUUCUAGAUAAAUUAAUAAGAUUAUACUUAUAAUAUUAAAACUUUGUCUUUUUUUGAUUAAAAAUAGAUUAUCCAUUUUUCUUGAUAAAACAUAAGCAUAUUAGAAGUUGUAGAUUAUCUUCUUCUAAAUUAAUAUUAUCUUUAGUAUUUUCUUUAUUCUUAAAUUCUCUCUUCUAUUUUUCUUGAGCAAUAUUAAAUAUCUUCUUUUUUCUAAGUAUUAUCAUAGCAAAGCUUCUUGAAAUGAAGAGGGCAUUGGCAUAAAUACAAAACAAAUUGAAGGAAUUAAUGCUUACAAUGCAUCAACUUAAUUUAUCACCAUAAGGAGCAAUAAGAAUAGCAAGGAACAAAGAUAUAGAGAUGAUAGGAGUUCCUUCAAUAUCUUUAUCAAAUCAUGUUAUUUUUUCUGUAGUAAAAUACCUUUUUAGUAUUAAAGAGCACUACCCUAGAAGUUUGAUGGCACAAGAUCUAAGUUUUAAAGAUUUAUCAAUCAAGUAUAAUUUGUGAUUGAACUUCAAUUUCAAAGCUAUCCAAUUCUAAGAUUACAAGUUAGCUUCAUUGAUACAUUUCUUUCAAGUUCAAUAUUAUUAUAAUUUUUAUUUAUUUUUGAAUGAUGAGAUCUAAUAUUACAUAAUGUGGAGGCUUUUUUGGUAGAGUUUUGAUCUAUGUAUGAAAAAUAUGAUGUAAUUUAUUUUGCAACCAAUAAGAUUUAUAUUUUACAAGAAAAUAAUUGAUCAGUAAUGUUAUAUGCUUCACUGUUGCUAAGAAGUGAGAUGAUGAUGUAUUUGUUAGCUAAUUUUUCUAUAACUUAUAAUAUGAAAUAAAAAAAUUAAUAUUCAACUUAUAUGAUCCUUAAACAUUGAGUCAAGUAAUUGAUUUUGCUAUGAAGUAUGAUAAUUAACUUUUUGAAUUUUGAUUUAAAAAUUAUACAAGUUUUAACAUUAUUAUAAUUUAAUGGAAAUAUUAAUACCUCUUCAAUACAUAUAUUUAAAAGUAGAAGAUAUAUAAAUUAAUCAAGAAGGCUUAUGCUUGCAUUGUAGAGAACCUAAAUACAUUGCUCAAUAUUGUCCAAAAAAGCAAUGCAACCACAAAAUGAGGAGUAUGGCUAUCAAAAAAUAUAGCAUGUCAAAAAAAUAUAUUUGUCUUGCUAUAAUAGGAACUAUGCGGCUGAAACAUUAUAAAACACCUAUUAAAGAUCACAUUCUCUCCUUAGAAUCAUCUUCUUAUUUUACAAUAAAUAUUAUUUAAGAACCUAAACAUCACAAAGUCUCUCUUUUAUUUGAUCAAAAGCCUUAGUAUGUUUCUUUGAUGAAGAAUUUGCUAAAUGACAUAACAUAUCUUUAACAAAGAAAACUAAAUCAUAGAUGUUCAUCUAUUGUCUUCAAGAGAUAUUAAUUAUAAAAUCCUUCCUAUAAAAGUAAUAAUAAAUUUUUAUAAUAGUUAUGUAAUAUUUAAUAUCAUGAAAUCUUUCUCUAAUUUAGUUAUUUUAUAUUUAUCAUUGCUUAAAAAAUAUAAUCCUAAAAUAGAUUAGAUUUCUUAUAGUCUUGAUAUUUUUGAAAGUAUAAUUAAGAAUAUAGUUAAUCAAGUAAAAGUCAUAAGUCUAGUACAACUAAACUAAUAUUUGUAGAUACAAGAGCUUUCUUACAUGUUACAAAAGAAGGAUUAUCUUGUGUCAUUUAUGUCGCACCUAUUUUUAAUGGUAGAAAGACUUUAAGUGGAUUUCAAAGAAAAUAUCAAGAUUUUAAAGAUGUAUUUGAGAAAAAAAAUGUAAAUAUUUUUUUUGAACAUUGUUGCUAUCACUACUCAAUUGACCUUAAAGAAAGAGCUCAACCAUCAUUUGGAUCAAUCUAUAAUUUAUCACAAAAUAAAUUUGCUAAAUUUAAAGAAUAUAUUGAAGAAAAUUUGGCCAAAAACUUUAUAUAUUGUCGUAUUAUGUGUUGUCUUAUUAAAGAAUACACUAGGUACCUAGUUAUGGAAGGUGAGGUUGUGUUUCAUAAGUAUCCAAAAAAUCCUAAUACGUUUCAUCCAUAUGUCAAGAACAUAAUCCGAAUUUCAAUUCAAAAUUAUUAAAAAAACAUUCUUCUUACUAGCCUUAAUCAUACAUAAAUCCCAAUUACCUUGUUACUUUCAUAUUUAAGCAAUUUGGAUUUUUCUUAUAAACUCUAAUUCUAAUUAGUGAGCUUAACAAGUUGUAAUAUCUAAUUUGACCAUCCACUUAAUGUAAAAUUUUGCAUGUAAUUGUCAAUUUAAGUCUUUUAUAUGCUCAAGAAUUUUCAGCCCAAUCCAACUUAUAGAUUGUGAAAAAACCUCUCAAAAUUGCACUAAUAUCACUCAGCUGCCAACUUAAAAAGUGAAGCAAAAAUCCCAACAGUGAUUUCUCCUUCUUUAAUUAUUAACUUUAAUUCAAAAUUGGUAUGCAACUUGAUCUUUAAGUCUUUCAACACCAUGCCAAAUUUCACCUUCAUUCGACUAGUAGAUCUCUAGAUAUCACAGAAAUCCUAAUCAAUUCUAAAUUGCCAACUUUCAAAAUCCUCCUGUACUAAAAAUUAGAUAUCUCUAGACCACACUAUUAUAUCAUUACAACACUUUGUAUACAAUUUGCACACCCAAUAAUUCAAAGAGUAUCAAAUUUUGAACCAUAGAUGCUACACCAAUUGCACAAACUAGUCAAAAUUGCUAACUUUGAUUAUAUUAUAUAAAAUCCAAAUCACCAAUAUAAACCCUGAUUUUGAACAACAAUCGCCAAGUCUUCAAAAAUCCUAUAAAAACCACCUUUAUGCUCCUAGAAAGAGCUUCAAGCUAGCUCUCAAAUCCUAAUCUUUGAUCUUUGAAUGAAUCUCUAAUUUACCCUAGGCAGUUAUUUUAGUGACCAUAGGUCUGAUUUCGACCUUGUCUUACAAAUGGUUGAUCCCAAGGUAUCAAUCUAAUCUAUCUUAAGGAUUUUUUAGUCCAAUCCUACCUUCAACUUGAUCCUAGUAUCAACCAUAUCAAUCAUUUACCUCUUUUAUCCUGAUUUUAACAAUUUAUGGCCUUUCUAAGGUAAUAAAAGAAUUUCUAUAUGUUAGAAGGUAAAAAUACUAACUAACUUUUAUCUACUUACUAUUAAGAUAAGAAAAUAGGCUAAGAAGCUUUCAUAAAAGCCUUAUUAAAAUAUUUUGAAUUCUUCUUGAACUAAUAUAAUAGAGUAUUAAUUAAAAAAUUAUUUGUAGUCAUAUUUUCACUAUAUAAUCAUGUCACAAUACAACAACUCCAUUCCAAAUCUCUAGCAAAAGCUCCAAUUUUACUUGUGAAGAUAAAAGAUAGAUCAUUACAGAUGUGUAUUGAUUAUUGAAGACUCAAGAAAAUCACUAUUAAAAAUAAGUACUUGCUAUCUUUGAUAUCUAGACUUUUUGAUCAAUUGAAUCAAGUUAAGAUCUAUAUAAAAAUAGAUCAAUAAGGAGCAUAUAAUCUGAUAUGCAUCAAAGAAAGAAAUGAAUAAAAGAAUAUGUUUCAAACUAAGUAUGGACAUUUUAAAUACAACAUUAUAUCUUUUAGACUUAUAAAUAUACUAGCAACUUUCUAACAUCUAAUAAAUGAUGUCUUUUUAGAAUUUUUAAAUGACUUUAUUAUCUAUUAUCUAGAUGGUAUAAUAAUCUAUUCUAAGAAUACAUAAGAAUAUGAACUUCAUAUUUAUCAUGUGUUACAAAAAUUAAGAGAUAUGGAAUUCUAUACCAAAAUAGAAAAGUGUAUGUUUUAUACUACUCAAGUUGACUUCUUAAGAUACAUUAUUUCAAAUGAUGGACUUAUAAUAGAUCUCAAAAAACUUCAAAUUAUUAUGAAUUGAAAGAUUCUAAAAAUAGUAAAAAAUAUCUAAUAUUUUUUGAAAUUUAUCAACUAUUAUUAGAUCUUCAUCAAGGACUUUUUUCAAGUUGUAGUACCGCUUUCAUGUUUGACUUGUAAAGACAAACUUCAAUAGAAUUAAGAAGCCAAAGCAACAUUUGAAGCUUUGAAGAUAACCUUUAUUUUUGUACCAAUCUUAUAUUAUAUUGACUUUUUUAAGCCAUUACUUAUGAAAAUAAACACAUUAAACUUUGCUUUGAAUGUCGUAUUCUCUCAAAUAGGAACAAAUGAUAAAUUACACCUAGUAGCUUUUCAUUCAAGAAAAUUUUCAGUAGCCAAGAUUAAUUAUGAGAUUCACAAGGAAGAACUUUUUAUAAUUAUAGAUUUUUUUUAAGAAUAAUACCAUUAUUUAAAAGGUACUUUUAAUUAAGUCACUAUUUAUAUAAAUCAUAAGAAUCUUGAAUAUUUUAUAUCAAUAUGUAUUUUGAAUCAUUGCCAAGGUCGUUGAAAUAUAUUUAUAUUAAGAUUUGAUUUCAAAAUUCUUUAUUAAUCCAAAAAAAAAUAAAAUUUAUCAAACGUUCUUUUUAGAUAUUCUUAUUUUAUACCAAAAGAAGGAAACGUAUCUUUUAAUAAAGAAAGAAUAAUAUUCUUGAAAUCAAAGCAUUUUCAUCUUUAAGUAAUAAAAUCAACAUUGAUUGUUAAAUCAAGUAUAUACAUCAAUCAAGUAUGUACUUUGAUCCUCUGAUUCAUGUUAUCAAAAAUUAUUCUUUUAUGUAUUAUAAUACAUUCAAGUUCAAAUUUAAGAACAAUCUCCUAUAUUCUAAAAGAUGCUUAUAUAUUUUGGAAGGAGAAGCAUAUCAUGACUUUCCAACAACUAGACAUUUUGGAUACUAAAAGAUUUUGAAACUUAUAUCUAGAGAUUUUUGGUGGCCACAAAUGUAGAAGGUAAUAAAAGACUUUGUUUAAUCAUGUAACAUUUGUUUAAGGUCAAAAAUUCCUUGUCAUUGAUCCUAUGGACUACUUCAACCAUUGUUCAUACGUAUACAAUCAUGGUCUUCUAUUUCUAUGAAUUUUAUUAUAAAUCUUUUAAUCUUAGAUUGAUAUGAUUCUAUAUUCAUGAUAAUAGAUUGUUUUAUCAAGAAGGCAUAUUUUGUAUUAUAUAAAAAAUCUAUCAUAUGUGAAAAAAUAGCUAAAUUUUUUCUUUAAAAUAUCUAUCGCUAUCAUAGAUUAUCUAAAGAUAUUAUAUCAGAUAGGAAGAUUUAAUUUUUAGCAAGAUUUUAGAGAACCCUUUUCAAGAUUCUAAAGAAAGAUAUAAAUUUAUCUUUGGCCUUUCAUCCUCAAUCUCAUUGACAAAUUGAGCAUGUUAAUUAAGUUUUGAAAUAGUAUUUAAGAUGUACUAUCAACUAUCAACAAGAUGAUUGAAUGAUUCUUUUUACCUUUAGUAAAAUUUGCUUAAAUAACACAGUACAUUCUUCUACUCAUCAAAUAUCUUUCUUUGCUAAAUAUGAUUAUCAUCCAUGACUUGAUGCUUUUGAUUUUUUAAGAAUUUUUCAAAUUUGGCAAAUUCUUUAUUAAAGCUAUAUGUAACAAUGGAGGUGCAAUUAAAAGAAGCUCAAGAAUGACAAAAAAUAAAUACAAAUACCUAUUGCAAAGAACAAUCACAAUUCAAUAUGGGUGACAAAGUAUGAUUAUUUUGUUGUAAUAUCAAGACUAUCUAUUCUUAUAAUAAGUUGGACUAUUAUAAGUUUGGACCUUUUUUAUCUAUAAAUAAAUCAAUCUAGUAGCUUAUUGAUUAGACUUAUUGGAGUGAAUAAAGAUCCAUCUUGUAUUCCACAUAUUUCUUUUAGAAGCAUACAAAACAAUGAAUAUACUAAGAAAAAAUGGAUGCCACUUCUACCUAUAGAAGUAGACAAUAAUAAAAAAUUUGAGGUGAAAGAAUAAAGAAGUCUUAGACUCAAAGUGGCAUUAAAAUAGAUUAAAAUAUCUUGUUCAUUGGUACAAAUAUGAUAUUAAUAAACACACAUUGGAGUUAGUAAAGAAUCUUGUAAAUGCAGCAAAAAAAGUAGAAGAUUUCUAUUAAUCACAUCUAUCAAUACUUAGAUAAAAAAAUAAUAAAUCUUUGCAAUAAAAGAAAUAAGAUAAAGAAAAGAUAAUAUUCUAACUUCUAUCUUUAUUUGUAGCUUAUGUGUAUAUUGUGGCAUUAAGGAGAUAGAAUACCAAUAAUCAGCGGAUACAACUUAAGAGCCAUUAUUUGCUGACUUGCCAAAUGAGACAUUGUGAUUAUUUCAACCUUCAAGAUGACAUAAUUAAAAUAAAGAUACUAAAGAAUAACAUGUUCAUCCUUGAAUAUAUUAUGAGAUAUAAUAUAUUUGGUAUCACAACCUUAAAAGAGACUCUUGAUGUUUGUUGAUUUUAUUAGAUAUAGAAAUAACUUUUGAUGGUGUUUCAAAUAUUUUAUUUGAAAGAAGUUAUGAAGGCCUCAAUAAUGUUCAAAUAAAAAGAUGGUCUUCUUAAUCUAAAAUAGUACAUUAUUCAUGGCUAAGAAGACCUAACAACCAUCUUUAAAUAGAAUAAAGAUUAGAGUAUAUUAUAAAUAUUAUUUAUUACAUCUUAGAUUUUUUUAAUAUAUGAUAAUUAUACCUUGUGGAACUUGUCUCUGGAAGGUAGAAUAAUAUGAUGGACAUAUUGUCAGAGACAUACGUACUUAUUUUAAUAAUUAUCUAUGUGAUUAGAUAGAAGUACGUAAAAAUAGAUUAAUUUUAUAAUAUCUUGAUAGAUAUAAUUUUAUUUAUAAUUGACUUUAAAGUUAAAAAAUUAAUCAAUAAAUUAGCAAUAUGUCACACAUGUAGGUAGCUUGUAGAAUAAGUUAAUUAUGUAUCACAUAUAUGAAAAACUUGCAUUACAAAUUAAGACAUGUAACUUAUAAAAUCAACAUAUGUUGGAGGUUCUAUAUAAUAUCACCAAGUAGCUCUUAGGUGGAUAAUAUAUAUAGAAACAAGAGUGAAUCGUUAUUUAAUCUUAUCAAUUUUUUCUUGUUCUAAUUUAGAUUCAAGAGUCUUUAGUUUUUUUACCUUUUCACAAUAGCCAUUUUAAUUUUUUUUUAAUAUAUAUAUAUAUAUAUUUCUUACUUUUAUUUUAUCAUACUUUUUUUAAAAAAAAUCUCAUUUGAUUAUUUUCUUUUAUCAAGUUUGUGUACUUUAUGUAUAAUAGUAUAAUAAUAUUUAAUAUGAUAAGAUCUCUCUCCAAUCUAAUUAUUUUAGGAUUAUCACAAUUAAAAAAAUAUAACUAUCAAAUAGAUUAGAUUUUUCAUAAUUUUUAAUUUUUUCGUAGUUUAAUCAAAAAUUUUAUUACUUAAGUAGAUACACAUAAGUCUAUUACAUCUAAAUCAUUAUUGAUAGGUAUAAGAGCUUUUAUAAAUGUAGUAAAAAAAAUAUCAUCUUUUGCUAUAUAUGCCAUAUUUAUUUUGAGGUAAAAAAAUAUCAAUGUUAUUUUUAACUAAUAUCAAGAUUUUUAGGAUAUUUUUAAAAAAGAUUUUAAAUAUUCUUCCAAAGCAUUGAUCCUAUGAUUGUUUAAUUCAUUCAUAAAAAAGAACUCAAUUAUCAUUUGAACUAAUCUACAACUUAUUAGAAAAUGAGUUAGCAACACUAAAAGAAUACAUUGAUAAAAAUUUAGCUAAGACUUGCAUAUACCAUUCAAAAUCUUCAAUAUGAGCUUUUAUCUUAUUUGUGAAGAAAAAUAAUGGAUCUUUAUGGAUAUAUGUAGACUAUCAAGGACUUUAUAAGAUCAUUAUCAAAAAUAGAUAUUUCUUACCUUUGAUUUUAAGACUUCUUGACCAACUCAAUCAAGUAAAGAUCUAUACAAAAAUAGAUCUAUAAGGAGCAUAUAACUUGGUUUGCAUCAAAAAAAGAGAUGAAUAAAAGACUAUUUUUUUUAUCAAAGUAUCAACAUUUUGAAUAUAAUAUCAUGCCUUUUGGAUUCAUAAAUACACUAGUUAUUUUACAACAUCUCAUAAAUAAUAUUUUUUAUAAAUUCCUUGAUGAUUUUAUUGUGUGAUAUGUAAAUGAUAUUCUAAUCUAUUAUAAGAAUAUAAAAAAACAUAAACUUUAUGUUUGUUAUGUAUUAUAAAAACUUAAAGAUACCAAAUUACAUACCAAGAUUAAAAAAAAAAAAAAAAAAAAAAAAAAAAAAAAAGUACAUAUUUCAUACUACUCAAGUUGACUUCUUAGAGUACAUUAUUUCUAAUAAAAUAUUAAUGAUAGAUCAAAAGAAGUUUCAAAUUAUCAUGGAUUAGAAAAUUAUAAAAAUACUAAAAGAUGUGUAAUUUUUUUUUAAGAUUUAUCAUUUAUUAUAAAACCUUCAUCAAUUUUUUUUUCAAGUUGUAGCUCUAUUUAUACUUUUGACUUAUAAAAAAAAAUUAAGUCUAGUUAAGAAGCCAAAACAUUGCUUGAUGCUUUGAAGAAGGAAUUUACUUCUAUACCAAUCUUGUAUAGCAUCAACUUUGUUAAGGGAUUUUUAAUAAAAAUAGAUGUAUUAGAUUUUGUCUUAGAUGUAGUAUACUCAUAAAAAAGAAAUAAAUAGUAAAUUAUAUUUAAUAACUUUUUAUUUUAAAAAAAAUUCAGCAAUAGAGAUUAACUACAAAAUCUAGCAUAAAGAACUUCUUAUAAUUCUAGGUUCUUUUUAAGAAUGGCGUCACAAUAUAAAAAGAAAUUUCCAUCUAAUUAUUGUAUAUAUAAAUCACAAGAAUCUUAAGUACUUCAUGUCAAUAUGUAUGUUGAAUUAUUGCCAGACUCAUUAAAGCAUGUUAUUAUCAAGAUUUGAUUUUAAGAUUACAUAUUGACCUAAAAUACAACAAGAUUUAUCAAACGUAUUUUUUAAAUAUUCUUAUCUUAUACUAAAUAAAAGUGAUAUAGGUUUUGAUGUCAUAGAUAUAUACAUUUAUCCCAAUAGUUACUUAUAUGAUUAGAUAGAAGUAGAUAAAUAUAGAUUAAUUUCAUAAAGUCUUCUAGAGAAUCUUCCUAGAAGCUUCAUAGAAACGGUUUUGACUUUAGAUGUGUUUAUAGGUUAGAAACUUGCUUAAUAGGUUAACCACAUGUUGGUAGCUUGUGGAACAAGCUAAUUAUAUGGCACAUACAUAGAUAACUUGCCUUGCAAGUUAAAACAUGUGGCUAAUAAAGUCAACACAUGUUCGAGGUCCUAUAGAAUAUCACCACAUACCUCUUAAUUAAAGAGUAUAUAUAGAAUCAAGAGUAAAGCCUUCUUCUUUCUUAUCACCACUUUUUUAAUUCUUAGUCUUGUUUCAAGAUUUUUUAGUCUUCUUGUUUUUGGCAAUAGCCAUUCUAAUUUGAUAUUACAUCACCUUUUGAGUGACUCUCUAGUUUUCUUUAGUGAUAUAAGAAAGUAUUGACGAUUUUCUUUCUUCAAGAUUCAUGUCUUUGAUAAUUUGACAAAAGUGCUAACAGACUAUUUCUAUUUUUUUUAGAAGUGAGUGGAUUACCUUACUUCUAUUGUUAUGUUUUGCAGAUUGCUGACUAUCCACCUUUAAACAAAAAAAUCUCAUUUUCUAAUACUAAUCUUUUCCUUAAAGAGAGUGAAUUAUCCCUCUUUGUGGAAAUUUUUAUUAGAGGUUGCAGAUUACCUUCUUCUAAUUUAACUGUUUAGAUUUUUUUGAGUUUUCUAUAGAAGAAAAGAUUAUGGAUGCUAUUCCUAAUAGAAGUGAGAAUAGAUUUGUAAUUAUUGUAGAUCUUCACGAGUUUGUAUAGACUCUUAGGACAAAAAUUUCAUGCAUUACCAACAUCAAUCAUAGAAGCACUACUUCUAUACGUAUGGAAGAAGUCUAGAAUCUAUAUCAAGAAGUUAUGCAGUUGAAAGAAACAAGUCAAUUAGCUUCACAAUCAAAUUAAGUGGGUCUUGUUUCUAGAAGCUCAAGAGAGGUAAGAAUUAGUAUGCCUAAGAAGUUUAAUGGAAUAAGAUUAAAAUUUCAAGGAUUUUUACAACAAAUUAAGCUCUACUUAAGGUUAUGUAUUUUCCAAUAUGUAGAUGGAUUUACUCAAGUCGGCUUUAUAGAUGCACUUCUAUUUGAAAGUAUUCUUUCUUGAUUUGUACCUUUGAUGGAAAAGGAUUCACGACUUUUUUAUAAUUUAAAUUUAUUCUUAAAAGUGUUUAUAGCCACAUUUGGAAAAAAUCAUCAAGAACGAGUAGUAGGCAUUAAACUUUUAUAUUUAUGACAAGGAUUACAAUCAGCCACUACAUAUACUGCUAAAUUCCAAAACCUUGUUUGCAACAUGGACUAGAAUGAAAAAACACUUAUCAAUCUAUUUCAAUAUGGCUUGAAAGAUAGCAUCAAAGAUUUGUUAUUAAUAAUGCCAAAAGAAAAAUCUUUAAAAUAAUUUAUUACUUAAGCCAUUGCAUACAACAAUUGAUUAUUUGAAAGGUGUCAAGAAUAAAGAUUUGAUUGAAGAGGAAUAAAUCAAGUAAUAGCAGCAACUCUCAAGUUUUCUAAAGCGUAUUCAUCAAGGCGAGAACCAAUAUAAAUUGAUACAAUAUAUUUUAAACCUUUCAUAGAGUAGGAAAAGACUUGACGUUAUCAAGAGGGUUUGUGUUUAUAUUAUAGAGAAGCUAAGUACACUGCUCAAUUUUGUCCAAAGAAGCAAUACAAUUACAAAAUAAAAAAACACAUUUAUCAAAGAAGAUAAUGUGCUGAAAAAUGAGUUUCCCCAGCUACAAUAAGAACUAUGUGGUUGGAAUCAUGUACAAUACCUAGUAAAGGUUUUAUUUACUUCUCAAAUCCCUCACCUUGGUUUACAAUAGAUAUAUGUUUAGGACCCAAAAAUUACAAAGAUUUUGCUACCUUAAUAUCACUGAAUCCUUCUUUGUGAAAAAACUAGUAUUUUUACUCUCAAAUGACACUCUCAAAUUCACUUCUAAGACUUUUCACAAGUUUGAUGACCAAUCUAACUAUCUCAAAUCUGAUUUGUCACUCUAAUAUCACUCUUAUACUCACAAAUCACCUCUAUAUACCAUAAGAAGCCUUUUAAGCACAAUUAGCAACUUUAGGACAUGAAAUUAUAAAGUUAGAUCACUCAGGAUCUAUCUCAGCAAUAACACAAUACAAACUUUGCCUUUAGAUGGAAAAAAACCAAACACAAACACCAAAAUGUUCUUAACCACAAGUAAGAGCAAACCAAGAUCUAGAUUUAGAUCUGAAUCUGAAAGUUAUGUAUUUCUAAAGCCUAACAUCAGCAAUAAUAACUUGAUCUACUCUACACUUAUAAAAUUACUUCAAAGAACUUCAAAAAACAUUCAAGCAAAUGUGAGUAGGCCCAUAACCUAUUGAAGAAAAGAAGUCUAAAAGCUACAAAUAGUUAACAUCAGCAAGGAUUGUACUCUAAGAGAAGUGUGGAGAAAGAUGUCUCUUACUUCCAAUAUCCUUUACUUAUAGUGGAAUUUACAUCCCAAGUACAUAGAUUUCAUCCAAAGUCACCUUCAUCCUUUCAACUAGAUCUAGAUUCAUCUUAACCUAGCUCCCACCUUAAAACCCUAGCUGCCGCUAUAAUAACUUCUUUUAAUCCUUUAAUGCUUUUUGACUAUUAGCAACUUACUAUGAUUAAUCUUUAUGUGGUGGCAACUAAUUAAGAACUUCUUGAUCUUCAACAUGUACAUCAAAGCUAUCAAAGAAUCUUACAAAUAUAGUAAAGAAAGUUGAAGCUUUUUAUCAAUGACAUCCAUCAAAUUCAAGAUAAAGAAUAAUAAAUCUUUGCUAUAAAAGAAACAAGAUCAAAAGAAGUUAACAUUCUACCUUCUAUCUUUUUUUGUAGCUUCUGUAUAUUUGUCAUACUAAAGAGAUGGAGAACCAACAACUAGCAGAUUUGACUCAAGAGCUUUUAUUUGCAAACUAACUAGAUGAAAUAUUACGAUUGUCAUAACCUUUAAGAUGACAAAAUUGAGAUAAAGAUCUUCAAGAAUUACAUGUCCUUCUUCAUAUAGAUGGAAAGAUACAACAUGUUUGAUAUCACGACUUUAGAAGAGACUUUCAAUAUUUGAUAAUUUUAUUAGACGUAGGAACAAAUCUUGAUGAUAUUUCAAAUAUUUUAUUUGAAAGAAGUUACAAAGGCUUCAAUAAUGAGCAAAUAAUAUGAUGGUCUUCUUGCCUUGGUAUGAGACACUAUUGAUGGCUGAGAAGUCCUAUCAACUAUCUUCAAAGAGAGCAAAGAUCAGAGUAUGUCGCAAAUAUAAUUUACCACAUCUUAAAAAUUUUCAACAUAUAAAGACUAAUUUUCAUGGAAUUUGUCACUAGAAUGAGAGAUAAUGUAAUAGACAUAUAUAUUUAUUCCAAUAGUUACUUAUAUAAUUAGGUAGAAAUAGGUAAAUAUAGAUUAAUUUUAUAAAGUCUUUUAGAAAAGCUUCCUAAAAGCUUCAUUGAUGUGGUUUUGAUUUUAGAUGUGUUUGUAGGUUAAAGACUUGGUCAAUAAGUUAACCACAUGUUGAUAGCUUGUAGAACAAGUUAACUUUGUGAUGUAGCUUGUGGAACAAGCUAACUAUGUGGCGUAUACAUAGAUAACUUGCCUUCCAAGUUAAGACAUGUGGCUAGCAAAGUCAACACAUGUUGGAGGUCCUAUAGAAUAUUGCCACAUAGCUCUUAGUUAGAGAGAAUAUAUGGAGGUAAGACUGAAGCCUUCUUCACUCUUGUCACUUUUUUUUUAGUCUUUAGUCUUAUUUCAAGAUUUUCUAUUUUUUUUUUAGCAAUGGUCAUUCUAGUUUAAUAUUACAUCAUCUUUUGAAAGACUUUCUUCAGUGAUACAAGAGUGUAUUGAGUAUUUUUUUUCUUCAAGAUUCAUGUCCUUGAUAUUUUAUUAACAAAAAAUAGUCAUCUUGAAGCCUAAGUAAUUUCAUCUUUCAGCAAUAAAAUCAUUAUUGAUUGUUGAUUUGUUCUUCACUAAGAAAAUUCAAUUAAAUAUGUCUUCUAAUCUUCUUGUUGAUGAUAUUAAGAAUACUUCUUCUAUGUUUCAUAAUAUUUUGAAAUUUGAAUUCAAAUAAUCUAUUCCAUUUCAAACAUCGUAUAUAUGUUUUAAAAGGAGAAGUAUAUUUACGUGUUCUUCAAGUACCUAAUAACUUUCUAACAAUAUGAUAUUUUAAAUACAACAAGACUUUAGAACUUAUAUUUAGAGAUUUUUAGUAGCUACAAAUAUUAAAGAUUGUAAAAGACUUUAUACAGCCAUAUAACAUUUGUUCAAGAUCAAAAAUUCCUUAUCAUCAAUCCUAUGGACUUUUUCAACCAUUGCUUAUAUCAAAACAACUAUGAUCUUUUAUUUCUAUAGAUACUAUUAUGGAUCUUCUAAGUUUAAGUUCAUAUAACUAUAUAUUUGUGAUCAUAAAUUACUUCAUAAAAAUAGUAUAUUUUAUAUUAUAUAUAAAAUUUAUUUUAAAUAAAAAAUAGCUAAGUUUUUUUUUAAUAAUAUCUAUUAUUUGCAAGGAUUAUCAAAAGAUAUUAUGUCAAAUAGAAGAAUAUAAUUUAUAUUAAGAUUUUAGAGAUUCUUUUUUAAGAUAUUGAAGGUGGAUAUAAAACUAUCUUUGGCCUUUCAUCUUUAAACCAAUGGGCAAAAAAAAUGGAUGAAUUAAGUUUUGGAAUAACAUUUGAAGUAUUCCAUCAACUAUUAUCAAGAUGAUUGGACAAAUUUUUUGCCAUUAGUAGAGUUUAAGUAUAAUAAUUUGAUAAAUUCUUCUAUUGAAAAAAAACCUUUCUUUACUAAUUAUGGUUAUCAUCCAUGACUUGAUACUUUUGACUUUUUAAAGGUUAAGAAUCAUGAGACAAAAGAUUUUACAAAUCAUUUAUCAGAGCUUCAUACAAUAAUGAAGGUAUAUAUUAAAGAUGCUCAAGAAUGAUAAAAAAAUCAAUAGAGAUAUCUAUUGUAAAGAACAACCAUAAUUCAAUGUAGAUGAAAAAAUAUGAUUACUUUGUUACAAUAAGAAGACUACUUAUUCUUGUCACAAAUUGGACUAUCAAAGAUUUAAACUAUUUUUAUUUAUUUAUAAGUCAAUUUUAUUGCUUAUUAAUUAUAUCCAUCAAUGUCUAUAAAGAUUCAUAUUAUAUUUGAUAUAUCUCUUUUUGAGCCAAAUAAAAUAAUCAAUAUCUUGAAAAGAAGACAAAUGCCUCUUCUUUCUAUGAAAGUAGAUAAUAAUCAAGAAUUUGAGAUAGAAAAAGUCUUAGAUUUAAGGCAAUAUCAAAAUAGGUUAAAAUAUCUUAUUUAUUGGUAUGGAUAUGAUAUUAGUGAAUGUACAUAAAAGAUAGCAAAGAAUCUUUUAAUUACAGUAAAGAAGGUUGAUACUUUUUAUCAAUGAUAUCUAUCAAAAUCAAAAUAAAGAAUAGAAAAUCUUUACUAUAAAAGAAAUAAGAUUCAAAGAAGAUAUCAUUCUACCUUCUAUUCUUGUUUGUAUCUUUUAUAUAUUUGUAGCACUAAGAAGAUAGAGAACCAACAAUAAGUAAAUUCAACUUAAGAGCUAUCAUUUGUUAACUUAUCAAAUGAUACAUUGUAAUUAUGACAAUCUUCAAGAUGAUAUAAUUGAGAUCAAGAUCCUCAAGAAUAACAUUUUUUUUAAAUAGAUGGCAAGAUACAAUGCGUUUGAUAUCACAAUCUUAGAAGAGACUUCUAAUAUUUGAUGAUUUUAUUAAAAAUAUAAAUAAUUCUUAAAAAUAUUUUAAAUAUCUUAUUUAAAAGAAGUUAUGAAGGCCUCAACAAUAAUCAAAUAAUAAGAUGAUCUUCUUGCCUAUGUAUGGAAUACUUAUCAAUCUUCUAUGAAGAGAACAAAGAUUAGAAUAUAUAGCAAAUACAGUUUGUUGCAUCUUAGAUUUUUUUAUUAUAUGAUGACCACUCUUCAUAGAACUUGUUUCUAAAAGAAAAAGUAAUGUCAUGGACAUACAUAUUUACUCUAAUAAUUACCUAUAUAAUUAAAUAAUAUUAGAAAAAAAUAGAUUAAUUUCAUAAUAUCUUCUAGAAAAACUUCCUAAAAACUUUAUACAUGUUGAUUUGACUUUACACAUUUUUAUAAUUAAUUUGUAGAUUAGAAACUUGAUUAAUAAGUUAGCAACAUGUCAAGAGUGUUGAUAGCUUGUAAAACAAGCUAACUAUAUGAUGCACAUAUAGAAUAUUUGUCAUCCAAGUUAAGACAUGUGUCUAGCAAAGUCAACAUGUGUUAGAGAUUCUAUAGAACAUUUUUACAUAGCUUCUAAUUAGAUAGUAUAUAUAUUAGCAAAAAUAAAGCUUUUUUUAUUCUUAUCAAGUCUUUUUUUGUUUCUAAUUUAAUUUCAAGAAUUUCUAAAUUUAUAAUCUUUAGUAAUAAUUAUUCUAAUUUCUUCUUGAAAAUAUAUAUACUUUCUUACUAUCAUUUUGUCAUCUCUCUUAAAUACUUAUCUUAUUUAUUUAUGUAGCUUCUUUUAGGUUCUUAUUCUUGAUACAUAUAUAUUUAUCUAGAUAAAAAAAAUAUUAAGUAGAUAUUAAAUAUAAAUAUAUUUGAUAAUAUCUUGUGGUGAAGCUUGUUAGAGGCACCAUAGAUGUAGAUUUGACUUUAAACGUAUUUGUAGUUAAUUGGUAGAUUAAAAACUUUGCCAACUUAUUAGUCUCAUGUUGCACAUUUUGGUAGCUUGUGAUAUAAACUACUUAUGUUGCACACAUGUAAAAAUAAAAUUUACAAGUUAAAUACAUGUCUCAUAAAUUAGAGACGUAUUUGAGGUCCUACAAAAUAUUGCUACAUAGUUUCUAGUUAGAUAGUAUAUAUGGAGGCUAAAAUGAAGUCUUUUCUAUUGUUAUUAAUGCCUUUCUAGUCCUUAGUCUUGUUUCAAGAGUCUCUAGUCUUCUUGACUUUAGCAAUAGCCAUUUUAAUUUCAAUAUUAUAUUAAUUUGAGUAAAUAUAUAUUCUUUUUGAAUGAUACAAGAGAGUAUUGAGGUUUUAUUUUAUGUGAUUCAUGUCCUUAAUAAUCCAAUAUCAAAGAUGGUUUUUUAUGUUUUUAUAAAAUAAUUUUUUAAUUAUCUUUUGGACUUCAUUUAAAUCUUUAUACAUUGAUUAGACUUUGAAUUGGUUUAAAAUAUUGUAUGAAGUUGUAUAAUUAUACAUUUUAUCUUGGAUAUUUUUUAUAAAAUACAAUACAUCACACAUGUCUAUUAUAAUAUUAAAUGUGAUCUUUUUCUAUUCUACUUAUACAUACAAGAUAUAAUAUCUUUUUUUUAUUUAUAGAUAAUUAUAAUAUUCCUAAUAAAAAUUCUUUUUCUACUUGAUAAUUUUUUUUCAUAUCUAUUUAUAUUAAUAAUAAAAAAAGAUAAUAUAAAUUUAACUAAAAAGUAAAUAUGCUAAAUUAUUCUAUAGAUAUACAUAUACAAAAUUUUAUUUAAAUACUUUAUUAAUGUAUAUAAUAUCAAGAUAUAAUAAAUAAAAAAUAAAAACAUAUUUAAAUUAAUUUCUUAAAUAAAAAGUAAAAGAUAGUUAUUAUAUUUACUAAUGGAAUGUCUAUAUGCUUACAUUUAUAUUCUUUUGUUAUAUAAUUAUAUAUCUUGUAUGCAUAAAAAUAAGAAUUAUUUUUGUAUAUAUAUUUCUAUCAAAAAAAUUUAAUUUAGAAUUAUGAAUCUUUCACAUAUAUUAUUAAAACUUGGGCAUUGAAAAGCAUUUCAAUUCUAACAAUCAUUUAUUUAUUAAAUAAAUUUAUCACAAUUUGAAAGUAAAUUUGAUAUUUUAUUAUUUUAAAUUAUUUUAAUUAUUUUUUAAAAUAUUAUUGAUAUCAAAAAAUAAAUCAUUUUUUUGAAUUAAUCUUUAAUAAUAUCAUAACAAAUAAACAUAUAUUUUCUUUAUAAGGAUAUAUGUUUUUUGUAAAAAACUUUAUUUUCUAUAUCUUUCAAGUUGCAUAUCUUGAAUUAAUAAGGUACAUAUUAUUCUUUUUUGUCUUUAACUUCUUUUUAAUAUUACUUUUAGAAAUAUCAAAGACUAUAAAUUUAAUAUAAAUAUAUUAAAAAGAAUAUUUUUUUAUACUUUUAUCUAUUAUAUUGAAUGGUAUAUUUUUUGAUUUGAGAUUAUAAUAGGUGAUUUUUAUGUCAUGAAAAUAUUACAUUCUUCUUAUAUUUUUUAUAUAAUAUCAAUAAAAAAAAUAAAAAUAAAUAAAUAAAAUCCAACAUAUUACUUAAACAUAUUUACACGAUUUCUAUUACUAAACAAUAGUUCUUAUUUUUAAUAUCUAAUCAAAUUAUUCCAUAAUUUCUAUCACAAUUAUUUUUUAUUAUUACAAAAAAAUGAUAAUAUUUGGAUGGUUUAAUUAAACUUAGAUUCCUACUUCUUUAUAUAAUAUUUUAAUAAAUACUAUAUUUAUUUUUCUUGAAGAAUAUAAGUGUCUCAAUUAUUUUAAUUAAUAAACUUUUCUAAAAGAUCCUUUAUUGAUGUAUUCUAAAAGUUUUAAACAUUUUAAAUCUUUUCAAAUUUUUAAAAUAAUAAGUUUUCCAUCUUUUGUGACAUAUAAGUCUUUUUGUCUUUGUAAUAUGUGUUUCGUUAAUUUAUAUUCUUUAAGAGAAAUAUUUCCAAUAUAUUGUUUCAAUCUCUUAUAGAAGUUUUUAUUAUCAUAUUUAACUUUAUCAAAUAUUAUAAUAUCCAAUAUUAUUAAUAUAGUGGUUUUAAAUUCCAUUAAAUAGUUAUUAAAAAGAGUAAUUUUUAUUAGAAAAUAUAGUACUUUUAGUUCUAAACAACCUUUUUAAUUUUUUUUCUUUAUUUAAAAGAUUGGUCUAAUUUACCAAUUACAUUCUUUAUAUUCUUUACAUUCUUUCACUAAUAAGUAGAUUUUAUUCAUUAUGAUAUAAAAAAACCAAUAAAUAGAAGUCCAAAUUAUUUAUUGCCAUUGUUGUAAAUUAUCAAUUUUUGAAAUACUUCUCUAAUACAUUUAACAUUUUUACAAAGAUCGAUACAUUGGUAUCUAUUUAAUAUAUCCUCAUUAUUUACCAAUUCUUCUAUGUCUUUGAUAUGAACUUAACAUUGAUACAAAAUAUCUUUUAUUUUUAAUACAUCUUAUUUGGAAUCUAUCUUUUGUAUCUUUAAUAUGAUUAUUUUAUUACUUAAAUAUUUUUAAAGAUUUUCUUGUCCAAUAUUCAAUCAAAUAUUUCUAAAAUCUUCACAUGUGUUUUUAUUAAUAGUUCCAAAUUGGCAAUAUAGAAUUAUGCAUAAGUAUCCAAGUUUUCUCUUCUAAUCAAAUAAAUAAUAUUCCAUAUUAAUAUCAUUUUUUAUCUAAGCUUACAUUUAAUUUAAUAUAAACCUUGUAAAAUAUAUUAAAAUAAAAUAAAUAAAUAAUGAUAUGUAUAAGAAUUACACAUACAUCCAUACUUAUAGCCAUCAUUUGACUAUACAAGAGAUUAUUUAAUUUUUUAUUUCCUCAAAACAUCAAAACACAUGCAAUACUUAGCAAUUGAUUUCACAAUUAUCUACAAACCUAAUGUUUUGUCUAGAAUGUGAUUUCUUCUAAAUAUAUACAAGUCAUUUUUGUAUAUUCCUUAUAAAACUUAGGCUGACCAAUUUUCUUAUUUUAUCCAAAUUCUAAAGUGUACCACGACUAAUUUGACCUGAACCAAGUUAAGUAACAACACCUCAUCGACUUGUUCACAUCCAGGUAAACUCGUGCUCUGAACAUAAUUUCUCAACGAGUUUCUAUGGAAGUCUAUAAUCAAUUGUUAAGCAUUCUCUUUUACUUCCCUAACAAAAGUCCAACAUUACUCCACAAUUUACAACUCCUAAGUACUCAAGAAGUAUGAUACCCUUGGCAUAUCCAUUGCACAUGUCUUCAAUGUAUUCGAGUCGCUCCAAAUAAAGCCUUUGCAAAAUCACAUGAUCUAUCAAAGGUCAGGAUUGAAGUGGGGACCUCUCAGUUGUAAAAAACCAUCUUUAUUAUAGGCGGAAGUGAGACAAAUAAAGUCUUUCUAAUUCAUGUCCUUUUCUUAGAAUGUAGAAACUUGAAUAAAACGAAGGAUUUUGUUCCUUGCUAGCUGCAUUGAAUCUUAUAGGUACUGGUUAACAUGUGGUAGAUAGAAUCUUCUAUUUAAUGGUAACAUUUGGUAGAUAGAAUCUUCUAUUUAGAUAAGCUUUGAUAAAUGAUAAUCAGCCAGAAAAUAAUUAAUUCUCUUUAGUGUAAACAAUUAUUAAAUAAAAUAAUUGAUAUGUUAUAAAAAUAUUAAUAUAUGUAUUAAUAGUAUAAAUUUACUGUUUUCAAAUUUUAAUUUUUAAGAAAACAUUUUAUUUGAUAAGAAAAUAUUACAAAAUCAAAAAAAUUAAGCAAUAAGAAACAAACAAAUAUUUUCUCACAUGACUUGUAAAAAAAGAGUUGUAACAACUUAAAGAAUCUAAAAAAUUAUCUACAAAAGUUAUAAUACUUUAAAAUUUACCUUUAUGUAUUUCAAAUUCUUUAUGUAAAAAAUGAAAAAAAUGAAAAUAUGUUGAUUUAUAUCAAAAUAUUUACGAAUUGAUUCAUAUUUACAAAUAAUUUUGUUAAACAUUUGAAUGGGAUAAUAACUUUGUCUAUAAGUUUGUUAAAUUUAUACACAAGUUUUAUUAUUGUUAUUAUUAUUAUUAUUAUUAUUAUUAUUAUUAUUAAAUAUAUACUAAUAAAGCAUCUUAUUGUGGAUUAUGCAACAUUAAGUUGAUGUAUAAAGUGACAUAAAAAAUAAAGAAUAAAUAACUAAGUGAAGAGUCUAUAUUUGUUUUAUAUAAAAUAUAAGUGUUUUUCCAAAUCACUAUCUUAAUGUAAAAAAAUAUUACAAUUGUGGUUGAUUUAAGCAUAUCUUUAAUAACUCACCUAAAGUAGGAUUUUUUAAAAUAAGAAAAUAAAUAUUCAUUAUGAUUUUAAUAAAUUAAUUUUAUAUUUAUAAAAAUAUAUAUAUAUAUAUUUUUGUAAGUUCAAUUUUGAUUUAGAUGAAAUAUUAUAUAUUAUUUUUAAAGAAGAGGUUUUUUAAAAUUAAAAAAUUAUUUUGUCUAAAGAAUGUUUAUAAAAGAUAAUAGCAUAAUUAAAGCUAAUAAAACAAGGCCCAUUCUUUUGGCAAAUUAAGUGAAGGACAAAGAUAAGAAGAUUGGAUUUUAAAAUGUCAUUUACUUAUGUAAGAUAAAUUAUAAUUAUUUUUUAUUUAAAAAAAAUCAUGUGAUGUGAUUUAUUAAAAUAGAUAUAGUAUAAAUGCAUCCAUGAGAAAAUUAAUGACUAUAGAUAAAAGAGAAGAAAAAUCAUAUUUUUUUAUAUUUAUAAUAAGAUAAAUAGUAUAGAAGUGACUCAAUUUGCAUCCAAACAAGUUAAAAUUUUCUUUGAAAUUUUUUCAUUUAUUAUUCUGUUAUAAAAUAUUAGCUAUAAAAAUUUUGCUAAAUAACAUAGCCUUUAGUAAAUUUUAUAAUAUAUUGAUUUUAAGUUUAUAUGCAAAAUUUGCAUAAAAAAUUAAAAUUAAAAUACAUAUAUAUAUAUAUAUAUAUAUAUAUAUCAUUUGUAAGUAAUAGAGAAACUUGUAUCAUCAAGUUUUUUGAGAUUGUAAAUUUAAUUUUGUAGGUCAAUAAAAACUAAUAUUUUAUAAUAAUAAAAACUAUCUUAAUAUCUGCAAUUUGAUGCUCUAUAACCUUUACACACAAUGCUUUCAGUGUAUUUUGGAUUUGUACACUAUACCAUAGAAAAAUAAUUAAUAAGUAAUAGAAUUAAGAAUAUUCAAAAUCAUAAUUUUUUGUGGGCUUUAAAUAUUACAAAUUUUUAUUUUGGUUUAAAUUUAAUUGACUUAUUGCAUUUCUAUGUGUUUUUAAUUUUAAAGAAGAAUAAUAAAAAAAUAUUUAUUUUCUAAAAACUUAUGCUUUAAUUCUUAUCAAAAUAAGAUAUAUCUAUUAAAGAAUAAGAGAUUUUUUUAUUAAAAGAAGUCUACAUUAAUUGGCCAUAGUAUAGUAAUUUAAAAUAACUUGAAAUAAAAAUUAAAUCCAAAUUUAAGAAGUAGAAGGUCAAUGGUUGAGAGUCUUGUUAUGAAAUCUCAAUAGUAAUUGAUAAAAUUUUGUCUAUGGUUUUUUAUCUUUUUUUAAAAAAUAUAUAUAUAUAUAUAUAUAUAUAUAUAUUAAAAAAGAAUACUUUAUACAAUUAUAAAUUCAGAUUGAUUUAAUAUUAUUUAAAUCAAUUUUAAAAUAAUAUAAUAUGAUAUAGUUUAAAUUUCUUCUUAAAAAUCAUCUUCUACUGAUACAUUGAAUAUGAAGAAAAAUUAAUUCUUCUACACUACAAUCAUAUUAUUUUAUUUUUAUUUUUAUUUUUAUUUUUUAAAAGAAAUAAAUAAAAUCUUCAUUUCUUUUUGUAAACAUAAAAUACAUUCAACCCAGUUACAAGUGACUCAAGUAAAAUUAACUGAUUUAUUAAACACAGCUUAAAAGAUAAAACAAAAAAUGAUCCAACUGAUUUGAAAUUGCCAAAGGCAAUUGCUGAGUCAUAGACCCGAGUUGAAGAUCAAUGUCAAGGCAUUUAUGUGCUGUAAUAGUGGUUGAAAAGCAAAUCCUCAUAAUAUAGCUGGAAAGUAUCCACUAGAGAGUUCCUUCCAUUAAUGUGGAAAAAAUGUCUUGAUGACUUUACUAUAGAUGGAGCAAGGAAAAGAGAUGAUGCAAUUAAUUUGACCUCUCCAUGUGUUGACCACAAUAGCUUGGUGCCACAAUAAUCAAAGCAACUUGGCCUCUUCGCUUGCUUGACUUUUUAUCUAGAUUGUCUACUGAGAAACAAGCUAAAAAGAAUCAAUUGUCCUUUUAGGCAUCUCUAAUAUACCAUAAUCUUACAUUGUGGGGUUGUGAUGCUCAAAGUUUUGAAAAUGUAGCUCCAAAAAGGUUCAUUUGCUACUUGUUUUAUUAUACAUGGAGUCACUUGUUGCACAUCUUUUACUAGGGCUCUCUAUAAAGAGGCAAUGCAUGAGCAUAUCUUGAAUCCUUGCUUAGCUUUGAAUUGAGUGGUUUGCCUAAUCUAUGGUUUCAUAUACAAGAAGGAUGUUAUCUAGAAUAAAAUACAUUAGUAGAAAAAUUGACUAAUCAAAUGAAAUGAUUUCCAUGAGCAUUGGCUAAAAGUAGAUUUGUAAUAUCUUAGCAAAGAGUUUAUUGGCAACAUUAAAGAGGGUACUGGACGGCCAAAAUGUUAGUUGUUUUGUUGUGCCACUCUUGAAUAGUAAGGAGAUAAGACCUUGUGUGAUGCCCAAUGAGAUUGACUACUCACUUUUGUUAUCAUAGCAGGAUAAUUGUGUUUAAUAACAUCUCAAAAGGUUUUAAAGAAUUCCGAUAUUAUCCCAUCCGGCCUUGGUGCUUUCCCUGGAGCCAUGUUUUUCACAACUUUGUUCAGCUCUCGCACAAAAUUGGGGUCCGGAGCUCGGCCUUCAUUCUGGUUGUGAGACAAUCACUCACACUAUCUAGGCUCGUGUUUGUUGUUGUUGCGGCUACGUCUCACUUUGGGAGACACUUUUGCAGACCACUUACCGGUCUGCUGUUCGAUCCAGUUAGCUGCGAUGUUUGACGCACUUCAUCAUUUUAAAUGAGUGCUAUAUAUUUAACAAAUGAGGCUGUCCAAUGCCAAAUCAAAACCCUAUGGUCUUCUCACCCUCGUCUUAGUUUUAUACGAAAGCUUCGCAUGGCCGUCAAAUUCUACCGCGGAUACUGUGUGCAGAAAGCCCAGCAGUAUUGGCGAGAAGAAUUGCAAUGGCGCCAAUGCUUGUCACAGACUAUGGCCGAGCUAUGACCCGUUGAAUACAGUACUAUUAGGGAAGCUGGGUGUUGUGGUAGACAAAUUACAAAUUAUAGAACAAGGGAACGCCGAAGGCCAAAAGGUAUGCAGUUGGAAUAUGUGGAAAAGAGUGGACAAUGCGAGCAGUACGUUAGGGUACUGUUGGAGGUGCGUCAUUGGACUGUCUGCCGAGCUGACUUUUUGCUUGUGCAUUUGUUGGGGGGGGGGGAGAUGUGUAGCCACUCGCUGGGGGGGGUUUGGGGCCUCCACCCGGUCAUAAAUCAUGUCAUUCUACACUUCAAUACCAAUACUAAUUAAAUUUAUGAAAACAUUAGAACUCAACAUUGAUAUUUAUUAAAGCAUUCAUUCACUCUUCAUUCACUUCUUGUGGCCCCUUUCUUUCAACAAACGUAAAAGCCAAAUCAGAAAUAAUCACUAGAUCGACUUAAACUGAUGUCGCAUCGGCCCAUUAGCUUAGACUGAAAACAAUGUCGAAAGCACUGAUGCGGAUUCCAUCGCAUCAUCGCCGGACAACGUCAAUGCUGCGUGGGAUGUCUAAAUUUAGCUUCUGAGCUGGAAGCAUCUUCACUCACAAGUUGGAAUCGGCAUCUACGACGUGAUCGUUCUGUUGCUCCGCUGAAUUCACACACUCUGCGGCGAAUGCGCAGUUGAGCCUGUGAUGUGAGAAGUUCAUUUCGUUCUCUUGUCGAUGGGGAAAACGUGGGAGGUGAUCUCUACUGCCGACGGGACCCAAAUCUAGACUCGAAAUCGUUGAAUCCGUUUGGUUUAGGGUGGGCGGGGGCAGUUUUAAGCUCCCAAAUCUGAAGGAGCGGGUUUCAACAACCAUCUCCAAUGCAGAAUCACUGCAGAUGCUAACCCCACUGGCUGUGUAACCGACGAGGAAUAGUGAUGUCUGUGUUGUGGGGUCUUUGAAUAAGCAAGUUGUACAGUUUCAUUUACGUCACGGAAGAACGAGAUGAUGAAGGCGAAGGAUCAGAUUCGUGUUCCGUGCUGCCUGCUUCUGUCCUGGUCUGUACUUUGUGUUGUGUUCCUUAGCGUGGAUGCACAGGACGAGGGGGAGAAGUUCGUUAAGCGUUGUGAGGAGAACGUCAAAAAUGUUGCUCUGAGUGCGUCGAUGAACGACGGUAAUUGCGGUAAAUAUCAAUUUAUCCCAUCCUUUGCGUUGAAAUAAUUAUCAAUUUCAUAUUCCGACGAAAUUUGAAGUGAAUCGUAAAUUUGUUCUCUCAUCUCACGAUGGAUUGACCUGAUGCAUGAAGGGGGAGUCGGAACUAACUUUUUCAUGUCGUGUGUGUCGGUAUCCAUUGGGUGGUUUUACUCAGCAACUGUGAGUACUAUCAAUGGUUAUGUUGGACACUGUCUAGGUUUUCCAAAACUGUCAAACACUGCAGCGAGAAUACUUCGAUUAAAAUAGGAACAGAACGGGACGCCAGCCCCUGUUUUUUAGGAUGUGGCUGAUUUACUUGAAAGUCGAUUUCGUUACAGAAAAUUCAGUUAGUUUUUCUCCCCGCCACGGUUCUCUAUUGUUUGUCAAGCUGGAUACAAAAAAGGCUCUAAUUUUAAUUCUUACUUUCUGCUGCGGCUGCAGAUCUUUUAAAUAAUUGCAAGAGUGAGUGUUCACGAGUCGUAUGCAGCCCUCUGAAUGCGGAUUUGCAAUCAUCUCUGUGCGUUCGAGUGGAAGUCAAUGAUAUCUGUCCACCCACAGAGACCAACCAAUCAUGCAAUCUUUAUAUGAAGGUCAAUUACCAACGGAGUUAUGUCUUGUAAGGAUCAAGUUGCUUCAGUCUGAUCAGUAGCCAUUUCCAGUAGACAUUGACAGGAGGUGAUAAUUACACUGUUCUUUUGAAAUCUUGUUGAUUGAAAUACUUUUUACAUGUUCAGUCUCUUGUGCAAGUGUUUAAAAGUCUGGCACAGUAUUCAUAUUGAAAACGGUGUGCAGGCUUGCUCCACCUGCUUCAAGUCAACAGUUGUUGCCUGGGAUGACUCGAGAUAUUUGCCUCCAAAGAAACCUCGAUGGUUUAUUCAAGAGUAUUUCUCCGAACACGUCAUACACAUCCACUUUUUUCGGAUCUAUGAGCGGAGUCUUCAGAUCUUUUCCAGGAAGGGUCUGUUCUCUUUCAGCCUUCUGUUGAAUGCCUAUGCAUAUUUAAUGGUUUUCCUACAUUCAAUUGAGCCUAGAAUGUCGACACACCAUUAUCUGUGGUUGAGUAACCGGGGCUCACUCAGGCCUGGGAUGUUUGCAGCAUUUUCUAAGCCGAAGUCAAAUUAGAAUCAAAGUAAUCAUGUCCGCUAUGUCACAAAAUUCAUGUACAGACUGGAUGUAGACUGUGAUCGUCGAAUUAUUUCUGAUGCUCUAUCUUCUCAUGCCCUUGUUAGACUUUUCCAUCGUAGGCGGGAACCAGGUGAUAAUUGAACAAGCUGUAACGCUCUAGCGAGACGUUUGGAUAUAAUGAGGAUUUAAUUGACGGUCUGGGAGUGUUGCAACUGCAGGAAGAACCGCCCGAUAAGUGCAUCACUUUCGAAACUCGUCGACGGCCCUGGUGCGUUUAAGCGUUCCUAAAUCUACUUCCUAAUUGUAUGGUUGUUGAUGAUCCUACAGUUUGCGAUUGAACCAUGCCAUGAAAUUAGCCGCAAAUCGGGAGGGAGGUGUGGCAUGUAUGCUUUCUUACUUGUCUCUAAAUGUACGUCUGAUUUCCAAUGCAGGUUUAAGGGCGGCAUUUCUGUUCAAAAGCAUCUCAAGCUCAUAGUGGAUACUGGAAACAGUAUGGGUAAUGCAGUGCCUCCAGACUAUCCUUUAGCCAGUGGCAAAACCUUUCUGGAAGUGACGUCAAAAAUUAUUCUAAAACUUUUCAAGACGGUGUCACCAGAUGAUUUGAUCAGUGUUGGUUCAUUCAACAGUAGUGGGUACUACCAACUCGGUUCCCAGGUAAUACCACAACCAGGCGCCGAGGCCUUUCAGAAAGAAAUGUGCUGUGAACACGUGUAUGGCCGCACAAUUUUUCUUCUGUAUGUUCAAGCUUCAAAAUCCACAUGACUUUCAUGCUACGUAUACUCACUACACCUGGCUUGUCCAGCGCAGAUGAUCCAAAAUUGGUGGAAUUGGUUGUGUCUAGGUCCAAAUUUCAAACGCUUAUGAUGAAAGUGAAGAAUCGAACGAAUUGGCGGGGCUGGAGAACAUUGUGAAAACGAAUCUCAUACGAUCUUUGCCCGGCUCCCCCUCGAACCUCACUGCUGCAAUCUUGAGCGCAGUGCAAGCAUUUAAUGACACGCCUAGGGACACUUUGAAGGUAAGUGUCCCGGGGUGGUUCUGAUAUUGGCGUUACAAUAUGAUUUCUGGACCUGAUUAUUUGAGGCAUGAGACGAGAGUUGUGGUUUGCAAGCUUUUCUCUCGCUGGUCAGCUGCACUUGACUACAAAGUUAACAUAUAAUGCAGGUAAUUAUAAUCUUUACAGAUGGGCAGUUUGCAGCCCUGGAUGCAACCAUUUUCCCUUCAGCUCAACUGCUGGCGCUGCGUAUCAAGAUCUUCAUCUUCAAGUUGCCCCGGAACUCCGAUCUAGAUACUUUUUUGCGGAACACAACGCUUCCCGACGUCCUCUGCAGUGUGCAUGGCACCUUUGAAGUGCUGGAACCAUAUUCCACCAGUAACCCACUGUUGGCCAUUCGAAGCUUCUACACAUUCUUAGCAACCACACAUCUUGCUGUUGCCAAGAACCAAUCGACUUGGAGCAGUAUAUAUCCAAGCUUUUCUCAACGUUCCAACGGCACCACUGUUACAUAUCCAGGUUGGUGAUUGCGAUGACUAAAUUCCAGCUAAUCAAGGUAGUCCUGUAGAUGGAUUAAUUUGAUCUCAUCGAGUCCUUUGUCUUCGAAGGCUCAUGUUUAAAUGACCUGUCUAUUUGAUCUUGAUCAUGGUACUGUUGGAGACAAAUUGCCAAGACUUUAUUCGUCUGUCUUGGAGCACUAACACACGAACUUUUAUGGCUUCUGAACAGCAUUUGGAAGUGAUGGGCGGCUGAUCGGAGUGGCAGGCAUUGAUGUCUUCCCCGACCAACUCGAGGGCAGCUUAAGAGAUCUUGUGUACAAAGCUCUCGGAAGCCGGAGCGCCAAAGGGAAUUUGCCUGCGCCAUUCGAAAGCGUCAACUUAGUGUGCGAUUAUCAGGUGAACACCUCGGCACCUCGUCUACCACUCGUAACGCACACUGUUUUGGGCUGAAAUGUCGGCACAUAGUUCAGCGUGGAAUACAAUUUCCUAGAUUGUGACACACGGGGCCAUUGCAGACAGCGAUGAGGAGUGAGCAGCAGCCGUGCAACAAUGCAACCAGUGUUGCAAAUGGUGGGAUUUGUCAAGUAGAAGACACGGGGACGCCUUUGAAACAAAGAGUAUGUUGCAGUGGUUGCGGAGGAACAACCGAUGGGGUCAACAAUGGAAAACAUUGGGUGGUUGUGCUUGCUUCAGUCCUGGGAGUAGUGGGUGCUGUUGCAAUUGGAUUGGCUUUAUGUUGUUGCUGUGUUAGCUGCAAGACGGGUGAUGAACAAAACACCGACAUACCUAAAAAUCCCUUUGAUCAAAACUCCAGCUGGUAGAAAAUCAUGAAACCCUUCGAUCACCUCGCUGUUAAUGUCAAGUUGGAUCUCUUCCUGAUCGUUGUCAUUUUCAACUUUGAGUUUCCCGAAAAUGAACGAGAACCUAUUUGGGGUUCAACUUCUUAAAAACUUGGAUUCUGCUGCGCAUUGAAACUUGAAGUUGCAUGCCAAGCAAGAGAUUUGGGUAGGAAAUGAAAUGUGGUGUCAGGAGAAGACAAACCCCAGACGGUGUUCGUUUACACUCGAUGAAGCUUCGUGAAAUCUUCUGUAAGAUGGAGUGGUCUCUCAUUUUGUAUCAUGAACAUUCACGAGUAAGCUUGAGAUGUUUAACUUUUUUCACGGGAAUUGAAGUAAUUUUAGUCACUGACUUCAAGUCGAAGGGUAAGUAGUUCGGAGACAUUAAUUUUGAUAGUUGAUACAACCCAAUCAUCUUGUGUGGAUGCUCACGAGCGAGCCCCAGAAGAUUCAAUAUCUUGUCGGGAGGGUUUUAGGGCACACAGAUUCCGCUGGUUCAUCAUCUUUGGGAAAUGGGUUUUGUUUGCUUCUUGUUAACAAAAUGCCAAGUGGAACAGGAUCACAAUUGUGCGUCAAAAACCUUUCGACUUUGCACACGAACCUUGAAUCAAAUGAGCUUCAAGCCUUGAUGAAUUUGAUAGAGAAAUGUUGCAAAUUUUAACCAGCACUAGUUCAAGUCUGGGCCCCUUCAAUUUCUUGAGAAGGUGAUGUUUUCAUCGACUCACUCAAUGCACACGUCGUUGGAUUUCUCUACACUAAGAGGAAGAGGUAUGUUCGCAGCCGUAAUGGCCAUCUUCUAGCCAACAACAUAAUCAACACACGCAUGAAGACAUUGGCCAGCAUUUGGGUAUUUCAGAGGGGUAUUAAAUACGUGGGUCUCGAAGUCUGCAUGCGUUUUCAUGAACCAUAAGCCCGAUAAAUUUUCAUUCCACGCCAUAUCCCGUACGCCAAAAUUCUUUCGUUAAAACCAUUUCUAAACUGCUUGUUGAAACCAAAUCAAUAAAAUAAAUUCCACAAGUAGUUACACACCUUGUUGAAGACAUAUCUGCAACCGCAUGUUCCGCGCCAAGGAACAUCGAGAUUGCAGUUUAGUCACAACUAAGUCAACUUGUUGAAGAGUAGACAAGAAUAGAGGAGAACAGGGAAUUUGUAACCAGGCUCUAUACAACUCAAGCCUGAUCGGUUGGAUCGAUGGCUUGUACUUCACACACGUGUGCCUUCUCAGGUAGGAAACUCCUGCAAUUUCAUGACGUCUCUUGGUUCAUCAGAGGUCUAGGGAAACAUCUGCUCAAGAAAACCCUGAAUUAAAAAUCAUAAUUUUGUACAUCGGAGUAGACCUCCCAAAACUCACCACCGAAGAUCGUCACAGACAUCCCAAAAAACAGGAGUUAAAUUUGGGUUGCGAAUCGUCCAAUAUGACGAACUACAGAAGGAAAUGAUUGACACUGAAUGUGUACCAUGACUUCAUCUCUUGCGAUCCAAUUGACUGAUGGUGUAGAAUUUAGUCUCUGAGGUACGGAACUGAAUAAUUGCAGAAUAUUGGCAGAAAACUUCUAUCGCGUGGAUGAAUGCUAUAUUCAACGAGGCAAGGCCAGCGUGAAACACCAUUCAGCUCUACCCCGCGGCUGGCUUUCUAGUGCAUCUAUUCGCCAUUUGCUUGAGAAGUUAUGAUCCCUUCUGCUCAAAUUUGAAAUUUGGGUUGCUUUCCAACUGUGGGGGACUAUCAAAGCUGUUUUACCUCCUGCGAUUUCGAGCUGUAAGUGUAGGGAUCCUCAUGUGAAGUGUGUCAAAGAGUAGAAUUAAUGUUCCUUUUUCUGUGUUCGACAUUGAGGCGUUUUAAAAAAAAAUUGGUCUUGUGUGAGCUCUGUUGCGACUGAUUUUGCGUACAAGGUUUAUGCCUUGGGAUGCAGUGAUGAUGGAUUCCUCAUGUGGUAAUAAAAUGUUGACAAAUUAUUACUGUUUUGAAUGUUGUUCAGGGUUUUGCUCUGCGGCUAUUCAAUUUUGGCACUCUUGAUGAGGUGUUGCUAGCGUUGGCACACAGCGAGGCUGAGUGAGAAUCCAUAGCUAAAUCUUUAUUCGUUGUUUCGUGAUUUAGGGUUUGAAAGCUCCACAUCGCCAAGUUGCAUUCCUUACAACUACUAUAGCAAUUGAAUGGAAUCAGAUAACUUCGUCACACAUGCUUGAUUAGUUCAGGACCAUUACGCUCCGUUCAGACAAAUUCAAUUAACUAGACGCAACAGGAAACAUCACUGUGGUGCAAGAAGAGCUGGUUUAAGUUCAGCAUAUUAUCAAGAUUUCUGAUGUCAAUCAUCGCUAUGUAUGAGUAAUGAUCGUUGAGCAACGGAUUGGUUGUAAAGUACUUUGCAAUUCGGGCGAUUAGGUUGAGGGCUGAUUUUGGGGACGGGUUUUCAUGAACAUAGGAAGGAAUCGGGGGUUCCUCAUGUUGCGGCAGGGGUUGCUGUUUGUGAAGAGGUCGCUUGGAGGUGCUGCCGAAUGGAGGAUCUCAGAUGCAGUUGGUCAGAAGUAUCCGCGAUUUGCAUCUCCCUUGUCGAAUGUGGCAUCGGAUGCGGGGGAUAGUGAAGAAGAUCUUCGGGUUUUUAUUGUGGCAGGGGAGCCUUCUGGAGAUGUCAUUGGAAGUCGACUCAUGGGGUCCUUGCGCCGCUUGUCACCAAAGCCAUUGCGUUUUGCAGGAGUAGGCGGGUAAUGGUUCUUUGGCGUCCUGGUGUAUGCAUACUUUUCGCAUGCAGUUACGUUAAGAUAUAUUAUGUUCAAGAAUCCUACCAGGGAUUUUCCUUCUUUCUUCUUUUUCCAUUCUCGUAGUCUUUCUCGAUGAUUUCAUUUUGACAAGAGGUUUGGUAAUGGAAGCAGAGCUAAUAUGGAGAAAGAGGGGUUGGAUUCUGUGUUCAAGAUGGAAGACAUCACUGUCAUGGGCGCAGCUGAGCUCUUUCCUCACAUGUUUCGCAUAUGGGUACACCUUCUGCACUUAUCGAUUUCCAUUAGGUCUGAACCAUGUGAGCUGAGACGCAGCUAUUUGGUGCUCGCUUAAUAUUCUAGCCUACCCUUUGGACGCUGCUCACCAGAGUAUCUAAUAUUCUAGUGUGGAUUUAGUCCGUUAGUGCAACCAAUUUGCUUGUCGACGUGUUCAUCGACUUAUCAUGCAUGUUGUAUGUGCUGUGUCAUGGAUUAGCGGCGGCUCCGUCAGACUGUUGCAGAAGCUGUAGAUUUCGAGCCGCAUGUAGUUGUCACAGUGGACGCGAAAGGAUUCUCUUUUCGUGUGCUUCGAAGCCUGACAGGUAAUGGAUAUUCUAUGAUUCGGGGUUCGGACACUUCGAGAUUGGUACUGCUUGCAAGCAUUGUGCCUGUUGAAUUAUAGCAUUGUAAGAGACAUGUCUUAUACAUCAGUUUUUAUUCCAUGUUCGAACAACGAGAGAUUUCUUCCUCAUAUUCCUGUUCUUCUGCAUCAUGAAAUUAAUAAGGACCAGCGUGUGCCUUCUGUGGUGCAGCCAUAUACGAGAAAAAAAAAGAGCAGCCGCCCUUCUUGGUGCACUACGUAGCACCAUCAUACUGGGCAUGGAAAGGGGGUGAUGCGAGGUUGGAUAGUAUGAAAGAAUUUGUUGACCACCUUUUGUGUAUCUUGCCCUUCGAAGCUCCGAUGUGUAAAGCUCAUGGACUGGGAGCAACUUUUGUGGGACAUCCUGUACUGGAAGACGCCUACAUGAAUGUACCUGUAUGGGCCUUCUGGUACCUAAGCCCUCAUGCAUGAAUUCAUCCGAUUGCUAGUUCUAGUAAGGCUCCUUAAUUUCUAGUUCUUUUUCUUGCACAUCAUAUUUCUGUGUUGUUUUGUUUCAGCUCACGAAGUAAUUUUGAGGAUGAGUAAUGUCAUGUGCAGAGUGCAGAGCAUAGCGCACCAAGGAACUGGGAGAUUCAAGGAUUUGGGACCAAUUUUCGAGAAAAACACGGUGUGCAGUCUGGUAUGCUUUAUAUUUUCAACAAUGUUCUCUUAAUAGGCCUUAAAUAAAUGCCUGCCAGUUCUGGAGAAAUUUUGAGUUUAGUCAUUUCGAGUGUUCACUGAAGUAGAUCUAAUCAUUUGCAGGGACAAAAAUUAUUAGUGUGUUGCCUGGGAGUCGCGUUCAAGAAGUGAAGCGCAUGCUGCCACUGUUCAGAAUCGCCAUGCACCGUCUAGCUGAAGAUUAUCCGCAUAUCAAAGCUGUCGUACCAACUGCACAAAGUUCUGUUGUCACAAACAUGGUACAAGAAUCCGUAUCCAGAUGGGAAAUCCCUGCCAUAGUUGUUCCAGCUGCUUCAGAUCUCGAAAAAUAUGAUGCGUUUGCAGUAAGUUUCAAGCUCUCCUUUCAUAUUUUUGUCUGUGAAACCGACGGUGUAGUGGCUUAGACCUUCGUUUAAAUUACUUGCUGCAGCUGUUCAUUGUAAAUGUAAAUGUUUCGUGUGUUGUUUCAUUUAAGAACCCUAAACCUGGUGUUUCAAGAUUUAGGAGGACCUCAGAUUUUGCUUCCACAGGUUGUCUAGAUUGAUUUGAACUUCUGCUGUUUUACAAAGCUUAUCUGGUGUGUAUAUAAUCUUAUUUUAAUGUAUUUUCUUUCUUUGCAAGGCAAGCGAUGCAGGGUUGUGUACAUCGGGAACAGCGAGCAUGCAAUUGUUGUUAGCAAGGGUUCCAAGUGUGGUGGCGUACCGUGCCAAUCCAAUUACGGAGUGGCUGAUCAAAUCACGCACAAAGUUGGAGUACAUCUCGCUUCCUAACAUCUUAUUGAAUUCACCCGUAGUUCCGGAAGCUCUUUUUGGCGAAUGCACACCUGAGCGACUCGCUUCUCUUCUGAAGUAAGUGGAAUUUACCUCAACCUGGGACUUGGAGCCUAGAUUCACGCGUUUCUAAACUACACUCCUGAUUUUCAAAGUGCUUGUGCUUCUAGAUAACUUAAAGAACUCGUAGCUGUUGGAUUGUUGAGGUUGAGUAAACAAAACAAGAGUUUUGUUUCUGUACAGGCAAGUCCUUGAAGACCACCAGAUGCAGGAACUGCAGCGGACUUCGGCAGACCAGGUGCUGUCCAUGUUAUCUCCUCCAAGUAGCAGUUUGCUGCAUUCUAGUGGCGCAUUGCUUAUAGAAGAUGAACAUAGUGAGAAGCCAAGCAUGGCUGCUGCAGCAACUAUUUUAGAGUUUUUUGGUCUCAUGAAUAGCCCUAAGAAAUCACCCAUUUCGUACUGAGAAAUAGCCAUUUGAGUCACUUGAGUCGUUGUUCGGACUAAUUUGUGCAUCUCUUUGCCUGUUUGAGGAGCAAGAAUUUUUUGUGCCGACACCCCAUCAUGUUCCUUGUGCUGAGUUGCUUGUAGAUAAAUCUGCAAACCUCAAAUUUAUUCUGUACUGUGUGGAGCAGUGGAAGGCAUUUUCUUCAGUGCAGUAUUUGAAGAUUUGGGUCAAAGAGCUGGAGUGAUAUGAACAUUGGUUUGUCAGGAAAAUCGAUUAAUAAAAAUAAAUGUAUGACUUACAAUUAAAAAAUGUUACAAGAUGAGAUCAAAUAAUGUAGUGUUACAAGAAAUUGUUUGAACUCAGAAAUGUAAGAAAUCUUAGUAAAAUGGUAAUCUUUGAUAUCUUAUUGGUAAAAAGAAUGAGUUGUCUGUUUCCGAAUGAAAUCCAGAAAUCGAGAUGCGAAGGACACAUGGGGUGGUGGUGUAUUAUCAUCCAGAACCAAGUCCAAGUUGUCGACGUGUGAUAUCAAUCAAGGAUACCAUUUUGUGUCGAUUUCUGUGUGGUUGGUUCUGCGACGACGUCAACUUUUAUUUAUUAUAGUUCGACGCGGUUCCAGGGCUGUAUACAACGUGGUGCACGCGGCUACUUCGGGGCUGAUGCCAUGCAGUGAAUGUUUUCUCGCCUGGACUGGCCUCACCCUAACUUUCUUGCUUUCCGCUCGCUGAAAGCUGUGUGUCCUCUCUUCUCGUUUCCACGCAUCCUCACAUUCUGUGACAUUGCUCUCUUUGGCUAGAGCAGGUGAAACAGGCUUCUGUGCUCUCCGUGCUUCUCCAGAAAGUAGUUAGUUAUCUCUAAUCACACACCUCUAGUGCAAAAAUUCCCAAAAGAAGAUAGCUUCUUCAGACGAUCAACUAUGUGACAUCCAACAGCACCUGCUCCGCCAUGGUGCUUGAGCUGGUUGAUCGAGGAACGAAGCGGAGGAUGCACGACGAAGGCGAAGGUGCAAAAUGCGAAAGAGUGAUUGAAGAGCUUUUACGGCUCUAGGGGCAGUUGAAGCUGCACGAGAUUUAGGGCACCACCAUUCUUCCACAGAACAUGACCACUUCCACGACCAUUCUGUGAAGGAAUUACUGCUGUAUUUUCGUUAGUAUAGGAGAAGUCUCCUCAUUAUUGCCCUUUUCACACGGGACUUGCGGCUCAGUCACGGGACGCCGGCGAGUUUGCUGUUGACGACGGUCUCGCUCCGGAAGUCGAAUUUGAGCUCUGGAGUCGUUGUUUGUGUUGCAGAGGAGCGAGGGAGAUGACCACUGCACAUGUAGAGAUCAUCUCUUAACGAUGAGUGGGCUUAAUGUGUUAUUUCCGGUGCAAAAUAGCUUUUACUUGGUUGAGUUUCAAGGAGCAAUUAACGACAACCGCGUGUAGAAGAAACUAAGCACGGCGGAUGUUGUGGACAAGCGUUGCAUGGUUUAUUGUUCCUACGACACCCAUGGUUAUGCAGUAGCAGGUAACACAUGUGCUGACACAGCUUUGUGGGUUGUGGAAUAGAGUGAUGGUAUUUAUGUAUAUAGAGAUUUUUUUGAUGUGGAGUGUAAAAUAAGAAAACAUUUCUUUUACUUAAGAAAACACUUCUUUUACUUAAGAAAAUGAUUUUAAGAAUAGUUUAAUAGUAAUAAUAUUAUCUUGGUGUAAAUUAUAUGAGGUAAAUUAUAUGAUAGUUGUGUUUGUUAUCAUCAUUGAAGUCUUGAUUUGUUUAGAAUGUUGUAUUAAAAAGGAUAUGAACAUGUUGGCAUGGAAUUAACAUUGAGAGUGAUUUUAGAUUGGAAUUUUUUUAGUUUUUGGAAUUAGAAAUUUUUGAAGAAUAUUAACUUUGCCUAUCAAGGUUAGAUUCAAGAAGUGUAGGAUGUCAUUGAUUAGAAGUUUUUACUUAGUUAUAUCUUUUUUUCUUUACUUUGAAUUUUAUUCAUAUUUGCCAUUAUUUUUUAUUCUUUGUAUAGUUUCAAUGCCACUAUUAGUAAGCAUAGCUUUCUAAUGGUGUGUAAAUAAUCUUAAUUAUUUAAGAAUUAUUUGGUUUUUUAUUGGUCAAAUUGAUUUUAAAAGUGUAAUGGAGAGAAAUCAAGCUAAUUCUCGAAAUGAGGAAUUUGUGGAGAUGUAUGUUCAAGAUUAGAGUACUUUGGUUGUUAUAGUUUAUUGAUAUAUAUUACAUUUUUUUAAUUAAUAUAAAAAAAUUAGAUGAUAUGUCUUAGGAUAUAAUUUUUUUUUAACAAUUACAAUUUAUUGAGCUUUGUUACACAUGAACAUGACUAUUAAAUUGUGAAGUAUUUGUAGAAUAUUCAAUUUGCAAGAAUUUAUCUAUUCUAUGUGGA
rnacentral:lncRNA from 1 species